CCAUCUUCUUCAGCUUCACCUCAACACUUCACUUUCUGCUUUCGAUCAUGACUACUAUGGCUACGGUUGGGAAGCUUAUCGAAGAUCCCAAUGGACUUGGAAGAAGAUCCUCAUGCCCACAAAGUCAUAUCAAGUAUAUGGUCCCGCCAAUUAUCAAGCAGUGGAUCAUAUGAUUGACGCCCAAGUAAAUUGAACAAAUUAAAGCUGCAGAAAUCAAUUUUCAAUGAUCUGUCAUUGCUUACUUAAGCUAUGGAUAAUUACUUGAUUUAUGUCUCAUUACACAAUUUUGGAAGAUCAGCUGGUAAAAAUGUAUAAUAAAAUUUAUUGUGGAUUAAAAUAAUGCGGUGUUUGAUUUUGUGAGGUCCUUAAGUGGCAAACAUAUGGUGUGAUCCACAAGUUCCGUAACAAUUCAAAAUAGAAGGUUGAAUUGCUCUAGGAAUCCUAUCAUCUUACAAGAUUUAACAUUUUCAAUCUGUGAUUCUUUUUUACAUGGGUGUCAAUCAUAGUAUAUGGUGGUUAACAAGUUGCAUUUAGCAAGAAUUUCUUGAGUUGCUUCUAAUCAAUUCUCAUGCCAUUUUAUUAAUGUCUUAUGGCUAACAGUUGGGGCAAAAAUUGAUAUUACCCCAUUGAGAAAUAUAUCUCUAGGAUGAUGACUGUCCACAAUUAUCCAAAACACUUCAGUGCAACAAAAACUCAAUAUCCAUCUGCUGGAAGGAACGAUCAGUUUCUAACUCGAGCAAUCAUGGUAUAUGGGAGUUCGCUGACUAUUUUCCACAAUGUCAGAAUCUCCUAUUUGACCCCAUGUUCAAACUCGAUUAAAACAAAUGCCCUUGGCAUCUUUGACCACAAAUGAAGAAUAGUUGCAGAAAUUUGGAAAUGGAAUCUUAAGGUUUGGGUUAAGGGUUUGUAAAAUAUAGGUAUUUAAUUUGCGAUACAAAUGUCAUAUUAUAUCGUAGGAGAGGCAAGACGAAGGCCACAUAAUCAAGAAAGUUAACUAUUUAAGCUAACAUAAAACUUGGUGAGAACCUAUGGAUUGCAAACAAGCAGGGAAGUAUCAAGUGAGUUUUUUUUUUUUUUUCACAUGAAUGAAAAAUAAAUAUUAACCAUUAGAUUUGAUCAUGAAUGGUCAAAUUAAAAUCUAGGACAAGUGUAAAAUUACUUACAUAAAUCAAUGGUAUCUAAUUUAAUUGGUUGAACAGGUGCAUAAAUUAUUGUAAAAUUCUCUAGUAAUUAUCUUUGAUUUCUAUGGAUAAAAAACUUACAUAAACUUAUUUUUAUUAUCCAUUUAAUUUUAGUGUUCCAUUGAAUCAAUAUCAACCUGGAUAAAUUCAUAAAAAGGUAUAGAUUUUGUUAUUAUCAAGGGUAUAUGUAUUGGAAGGAAGGUGUAAAGUUUUUUGGCAGGGCUAAAUCUCUUAUGGGUAAUAUUUUCAUUUUUUUUCUAUGAUCAUGAUCAAAUAACAUUUUGACUUUUCUUUAUAUAGGUUUUCAGAAUAAGAGGGUUUAGUGGUAAUUAAUAUUGAAAUCAAUAGAUUUUAUGACAGUCCAAUGAUGAUUUUAAUAAGAAAUUUUUUUAGGUAAAUUGGAUCCGAGAUACCAACUAAGAGUAGGGUAGACUUCUUGAGAGCAUUUACAAAAACUAAGAUAACCUCAAGACACAAAGAAUACUUAGAAUGAUAUUUAUAAAUUACCCAUCUCAAAUGAUAUUUGAAUUGGAGUUAUUACCCCUUGAUAAAUUACAUAUCCUUAAAAAUCUCGUUUUUGUCGGUAAUAACUCCAGAGUGUUCUAUGUCAUGCGAUAGGGGCAACAAGUCUGUGGUAUUCAGAUCAGCUUCAGCCGUAUCAGUUGUAAUUCUUGAUAUCCUUCCUGAAGAAUCAGAGGCAUUGAAGUUGGCUUCGUCUCUCAAAUUAAUAUCAAGCAACAAAUUCUGAAGUUUUAGAUCAAGCUCUGCCACAGAUGAAUUAGUUUCCUUUUUCUUUGGUUUUCUUUUCUGAAUAUUUUGUUUCUUCCGUUGAGCUUUUCUUUCCUCGAACUCCAAAAUCUUCUCACGACAAGCACUGUAGAUGAUUAAUAAUGAGACAAUGAUGAAAGGCACCCUAAACAAAAAGUUAUCUUAUAUACCCACCAGCCUUCUUGAAUUUGAACUGUUCUAAAAGAUACUUGGUAUAGAUGCAGCAAUAAACCAAACAGCAUACUAACUCAAGUUGCAAGCAAAAAAUAAGCAAAAUAUACAUUUGAUAAGAAUCAGAUAAAACAUUUCCUUUCUGUGUUUUAGGGAGUAAAGUAUGUUCAUGAAUUAUGAACUUACAUUACCUUUCUAUAAGAUCUGCAGGUACUAUUGAAGUUUCAAGUCCAUCCAUUCCUUCCCAAGAAACCUCGUAGCAUUCUCUCCCUUGAACUCUUCGGCUCUUAAUGAUUUCUGACACAGGACACUUCACAGGGAUCUGUGAUCGGAUAUAAUAUAAAUAAGAUUCUUGUAUAUAUCCAGGUUCAAAAAUAAGGAGCCUGUAGAUAAAAUUUAUGUUCACUAAUAAUAGUAAUGGCAUUAUAGAAACUCGAUGAAUGGAAGAUUUCCCUGUUUAUUGAUGAUACACUGAAUGCAGUAGAAGCUACUGUAAAUCAAUGAUCAUCGAAGAAUUGAACCAAUGUUAUACAUUACCAAAAUAGAAAAUGUGUAGCAUACUUACAUUACUUAAUAAUCAAAUGGACAGCUUUGAUAGAUAAUAAACAUGUGAAAGAGAACAUAAGUUAUCAAAAUGCCACGCGAUUCUAAGCAUGAACAUAAUUUAGCUUUUUUCUAAUAUACUAAUUUAGCUGAUAUUAUAUUUUCAGAUAGCGGAUAUAAUUGGUUCAUGACAUGGUAUCAAAACAUGCAUGAUUAAUAGCAUGUUUGAAUCUAACUCCAUGAUCCACAUUGUCCAAGAAAUUUGAGUCAAAAUUUUAAAAAUGACACAAAAGCAAGUAUUUUUUGCUUCAAUUUGACGUGCAUUCACAACAAUGAACACCAAACCAAACGGGCACUAAGUGGUCUAGAGUUUGAUCAUUGUUACCCCCAUUUUUCUAAUAAAAAGUAGAAUUUCAAAACAAGGUAGGUGAGCAUUUACAUUAUUUAUGCUUCAAUCCAAAAGGUUUUGGUGUUUUACUAGUGGAAAGGGACAUGUAAGAGACUCAAUAAUUCACACCUUAAAGUUUGCAUUUAUUAUGUACAAAUACAGUUAAUAACCUAUAAAUCAAAUCCUGAUACGUUUGUUGACAAAAUUCUUUUAAAAACAUUAAAACCUCUCUUCUAUGUCAAAUAUUAAGUGUAUUAUUACAUAAUUUGGACAGAUAAUAUGUCCCUAAUUCUCUGAAAAGUUUACUUUUAUAGUAACACUAGAGCAGUGCCAUAAACUGUUUUCUAGUUUGAGAAGGAAACCUGUCAGAAAAAAUAAUCAACUGCAACUUUCAAUUCAAGUAAUGUGAAUUGAAUACUCCGAAGACGGUAAUAUCCCCACACUUACAAGUUACAAUGACAAAUGUUGAACAUUUUUCAUGUGACAUACAGACAUUUACCCCCUUAACUAAAAAAAAAAAGACGAUAAAAAAUAUCAAAUUAAAUUGUAGUGAAAAAUGAAACUAUUAAUUUUAAUUAAAGAAAAUACUACUUAUUUAUUCCUUCCAACAAUCAAAUAUUUUCUCAUUACCAACUUGUCUCAUUAAUCUCUUAUUUACUACUAAUUGUUACUUGUAGUUAAGUGUGUUAGAUUCAUGGGUUAACAAUGAGUCAUGCAUGUAAUUAAUAAUCAUUAAUGUCAUAUUUUUUUAUCAUUUGAAGUGGAGUAUUCAUUUUUUCUCUUAAUAUUAUUUUAUCCUUCACAAAAUUCAAAUAAGAUACUUUAUUUGAGAGGAUGAAUUCAGAAUCACUCAAACUAAUGAGUUAAGGACUUAUUGGUUAUUAACAUCGAAUUAAAACUAGUUUUAUGUAUUUUGUUUUUAUAAAUUAAAGACUAAUACUUGCUUAUUGUCAUUAUUCAAAAAAGAAAAAAGGUUAAAAAGAAAAGAAAAGUGAGUGGGAAAGACACACUCGAGUCGAGCGGGAGUCAAAGCUGGAAGUCCAAAGUUUCUGGAACUCAAACUAGUAGUGUGGGUGUGGAACAGGACAAGGGGGUUUCUGUGAAGGACUAUUUGGUGGACAAACUGAGGCCUGGUGAUGAAGACAGGGCUCUCUCUGAAGUGAUAUCAGAGACUCUGCACAAGAAGGAACUGCCCCCAGUGGAAGUUACUGAAGAAGGUGUGAGAAAGGUGGUUUCUGAUGCUGUGCAUAAGAGAGACGAUGAUCCUGAGGGAAAAAUGGAACAUCAAAGAAUACUGGGAAAGGUAACUGAGUCAGAGGAAGUGAAGAGAAGGUUAGGAGGUGAAAGUGUGGUGACAGAGAAAAAGUACCAAGAGAUGUAUGUGAAUAGUCCGGGGAAAGGUGUGGUUGAUAAGCUUAAAGGUAUGGUUGGGACAUGGUUUACCAACCCAGCAGAGAAUCAAUCUUCACAAGGUAAAUAACAAUGAAUAGUAGCUCUAGUUGUCUCCAUGAGGUUUCUCUUGUUUGAUCAAUGCCUUUUGAAAAUUUUACUUAUUUCUAAAUUAGUUGAUUGUAUUCUUUUACCAUACUUCUCUGACUAAUUCUUUUGUUACUCUUCACAUUCUGCUUGAGUUUUGCAGCUAGACAAAGAUAUUUUGUAUCGAUAUUAAAAUUUAUUAUCUCUCUAUUUGUUUAUUAUAUUUGCCUUGUAACAGUUUUUCGAUUUUCUUAUCUUGGAAGAAGUGUUUUGAGAAACAAACGAAAUUAUGAUUAUGUAUGUUUCUGUUAGUCUUAAGACUUGAUUCCAAGAUGGAUCGCAGUUAUUUGUUUACUUGUUUUGGUCAUGCUUACAUAUUUUUCUAUAUGUUUCUUUUUUUUUUCAUUUUGUAAGAACUGUUUAAAAAAAAGUGGAGUAAUUUUUAUCCUAGUGGUUUUAGACUUCAGUCCAAGAUGAGUUACAAUUUUUUUUUUUACUUUAUUUUGGGUAUGCUAUUUUUUACUGAAGCAAAGUGCCACAUUAAUUUUGAAUUUGUGGUUUGCAUGGGCCGAAGAUUCAUCUAUGAAUUAUGAGGCAGGAAGGGCAGAAGUGGAACAAGUUAACCAAGGUGCAGCAGGUGAAAGAAGGCAGCAGGAGUCAUCUAAUUGAAGAAGUGCUUUGAAGGAGUCUUUGCUUUGGGUGAUUGUGUAGAUUUUCUUAAAAGCUGUUUCAAUAUCUGUGUGUCUAGUUCUUUGUUGGAAGAAAGUUAGGAUGUUCAAGUCACAGUAAACUAAAAAUUUGUGUUUUUUUUUAAUGUUUAUGUAAAUAUCCAAUUUUAUUCGGGUUUAUUUUUAUAUUUUAUAUAAAAAUAUUAAAAAUAUUUUUUGAGAAAAAGAAAAGAGAAAAAUUAUAGAAGAUUUGACAGUUACAAGAAGACUUGGCAUCAGAAAACUGUAGUAAUGGUGAUUCAAUUGAGAAAAAAAAAUAUUACUAAAAGAUAAGAUCAUUUAAAAUAUUUUUGAGAAAAAAGAAAAAAAGAAAAAUUAUAGAAGAUUCUUUUAAAUAAAAAUAAUUAAAAUAUUUUAGAGAGAGAAAAAAGAAAAAUCAUAGAGGAUCUGAAAGUUACGAAAUUGAUCAUCAGAAAACUGGAGUAAUGGUGAUUCAAUUGAGCAAAAAAUAAAAUAUUAGUAAAAGCUAACGUCAUUGAAGUUGUAAGUCUAAAGACAAGGAGAUCGUGGUAUAAUGGAAUCCUAAGUUGUUGUUGGAUUUUAAAAGAAGAGACGCACUAGCAUACAAGGAGAAUUCUGUGAAGGGAAACCCAUAGAAAGAUUGUUUUUUCGCAAUUUUUUCAAUGGAUGAUUAUGAUGCUAAAGAUCAGGUCUUUGUUCUUUUUGCGCUCUAUAAGAUCAGGUUUGUUUGUUUUUUUUUUCUUUUCUCUCGUUCAUUUGUUGUUAUGUUUGGCUUUUUUUAUUUAAUUUUUGGUUUCAUGAAUUCGUGUAUGUAUGCUAUCCAAAUGUUUGUUUUUUGUAUAAAAUAAGUAUACACAUUUCGACCGCAUGUUUACAUUCAUAUUGUGGGUUAAAAAGCAUAUUUUUUACCUGCUUAUUGGUCCCGAUAAAUUUCCGUAUAUAAAAUAGUAAGAUCGAGUGUCGAGUUUACAAGAACUUUAACUGUAUCCAGAGUUUGUAUAUGUUCAAUUUUAAGUAGUCAAUAAAUUAAAAUUGAUAUUUGUCAAAUAAUGAUACGGAAUAUAAAAUUUGACAUAAAUGAAGAUAAUUAAGCAUAGUACAUUAAAGAGAUAGAAUACAAACACUCAGAGGUGGGUUGUCAGUUGAAGUAGAAUUACAGAAUAUGUUGAGACUCAACCUAUCAAAAUUACUCUUGAUGCAACAUUAAGGGUUUUUUACUAUUUAACGUUAUUUUGAUUAUUACCUUCAUCCACUAACAUACCCUAAUCAUGAUUUCUCAUGUGAAAAAGUUUAAAUUACCAAAUUUCACUCCUAAUCCCUUAAGAGCUAUAUGAAAUAAUUUGCUUUAAGAAUAAAGAUGUAUAAUAAAUAAGGUAAAAUAAUAUCAUUCUAUUCCUAAACAUGAAUUACCUAGAUGUUCUUUUCAAGUUCAUAGGAAAUAAACAUUUUCCAAUGCAUAAACCCUAUAACACUACAUGAGAAUAGGUAAUCAAGCUAUAAACAUGAUAUUAAGCACAGAAAAGAUAAUAAUAUUAAAAUAACAUUAAAUAAAUAGUUAGAAUCAUUACAUCAAGAGUGUUUAAUAGUUGAACUCCCAACAAUGGGUGAUUUAGCCUCUCAUUGUCAUGAGAGGGUUACUAAUACAAAAAGAAAGCAAGAGGUGUGAAAGAAAAUGGAGGAAAGGGUCCCAAGUGAAUGGAUUUUCUCUCUUCUCUCAUGUCUUGGCUUCUCAAUUUUGGUCCCACUAAAGAAUUGCUUGAUUUUUCCUUUCUUUUUCCUUUAAAAUGAAGCACAAUCAUGUUUUGUGAUAUUGAUCAAGCGCUAAGCCAGCAUGUGCUCGCGAAGCGCACAUGCAAAGUCCAUCUGACAUAAGUGAAUGUGCGUUAAGCCGCAAGGUGCAGGCUAAACCGCAGAUGCGUACUAAGCCGCCACAUACAGGCUAAGCUGUAGAUGCACACUAAGUCGUCGUAUGCACGCUAAGCAUGACCUCCAAGUUGGCUCCUCGCGUUGAGCGGUUGUUGACGCGCUGAGCGAGCUGCUCCAGUUCUUCAACCAUAUUGCAGACCUCCUACUGUGUAAUUCUAUAAAAAAAAAUACACUAAAAAAUACUAUAAAUUUGAUAACUUUAGCAUUUAUUGGACAAAAACUCAGAAGAAAUUAAAUUUCUAAUGUUCUAACACAAAAGAAGCAAUAAAAGAGAGGAAAAUUAGAUAAUUGUUAUGUGAUUUAAACAUUUAAAUUACGUAAGCAUAUCAAUUAACAGAUUAUACGUGGAAAAAAGUUUUUUUAAAAUAAAAACAAUGUUGUAUUUGCCCAUUUCUUCUCUCUCUUAUCUAUCUCUCCAUCACCCUUCAUCUUCCUCAUAUCCCACCACUGUGCCACUGAUGGUGUUUCAUUUUUUCCCUGGUGGUUGGACUAAAUGAAAACAAAAUAGAUGAAAGAAUAGAUAUGAACCAACAAAAUCUUAAUAUCAAAACAUUAAACCACAAAAUCGAGAAAAGAACAAUGUUUGGUUGGCUUCAGUAGGUUUCAUGGCUGGAUUCACAUUUGGAUUUCAUGUGGGAUUUCACAAUGAGGUUUGUUGUGAGUUGGGGCUCAUUGGGUUUUGCAACGGUGGUGGCAGUGGAGAUCACAGUCGUUGGGUUUUAUGACCGGUUGCGAUUGAGAUCAUAGUUGGGUUCCUACCAAUAUUUCUACACUAUGAAUAAAGAUAAAGAAAUUUCUACACUAUGAAUAUUUGAAAUUAAUUAAGAUUAGCUAAAUUCAUCUAAAUAACAAUAUGCAUAAAGAUAAAGAAAAUUAAGGAAGGAAAUAAAAGAAAAAAUUAAGGGAAAAUUUUUUGUUUGGGAAUUUUAACAAACACUUGUGUAUGCAAAGUAAAUUGAGAUUAAAUCAAUGAAAAAAUUGUUCGGGUUUAAUUUUAUUGGAGUUCAUAUCACGUAAUCACUACACAUUUAUAUUUAAUAAAGAUUAUAUUAUCAUUAACCUACCAUAUUAUCUUAACUUUAAUUUCUUAAGUGAAGAGAGCUAAAUCCCUUGAUUAAACUAUCAAUCCUUUGGAUUAGCAUAAUCAAACAAUUUGCAUUAAGACAAAGUGUUUAUUGAUGCUCAACUAUCCCUAGACAUAAAAAUUAUUGGGUGUUCUAUCCAAUUCGCAACUUAAUGGAAUUUUUCUAUUACAAUUGAAUGAAAAAUCAUGCAAACAGGUGCAAGCCAAAAACACAUAUUAGGCAUAAAAGAGAAACAAUUACAAUGUUUUAUUGAAUAAAAAAAAGUAGUUAUUACAUGGAAGAAGAAACAAUUACAUUAAACUCUAAGAGAAGAUUAGUUCAUGACAAUAAAAAAACAUGAGAUAUACAUCACAUAAAUGUCUUAAAAUGACACAAAAAUCUAAGAAUACAUGAUAAUUAUUGAUCAUCUAAAAUUAACUUAGGAUAAAAAAAAGUAACAUAUUAAAAUUUUAUAGGAAUGAAAAUGAUAUAUUUUAGUCUAUUUUUUUUAAUGCUUGACAUAACUCUCAACAUUUGUUGUCAGUCAUAAAAAAACUUUGACAUGGUUUUGAUGGAGUGGCCUAUGGUUCCUGUUGAAAAAGUGGGGCCUUGAUAUGGAUUUGGUGGAGUUGUCUACGGUUUGUCUAGAAGAUAAUUUUUUUUCUUUUAUUUUAUUUUGAAUAAUAAAAAUUUGAUAAUUUAAAAUUAAUUAUAAUUUCAAAUUGCAUGUAAUAGAAGCCUUGAAUUUAAUAAUGCUAGACUUUUUAUUGUUUACUUAACACACGUGUAAUGAAAGGAUUGAUUUAAUUAAUGGUUAAAUUUGAAGACUCAUUAUUAAACCAAAUUUUAUUACCUUUAUUGUAAACUAUUAAUGUUUUUUAUAAAAAUAUUAAUAUUUACUUAAAAUAAAAUUUUCAUUAAUUUAAGCAAUUCUAUAAGUUAAACAAAGAAAAUAAAAUGUUUCUUAUUUUAGUAUUUGGCACAAGAAUAAAUUACAUUUCUUUGUAGAUUAUUUAAGUUAUCGUAUGAAUUAUUUUUUAAGAAUAUUAUAUUGAAGUGAGUAUUUUUAUGAUUGCUUAAAUUUGGCACUUAAAAUUAUUUAAAAAGUAAAAUGGAAAUUAAAAUUAUGCUGCUCCUAUUAUUUAAGCUGACAACUUGUAAAGAAAAUAAAAAAUAUGAUACUAAUUUUUAUGAUAAAAAAAUAAUAAUAUUCAAUAAAUUGUAUAUUUAUUUUUCUCUUCUAUCACUAUUCUUAAAAUAUCACCACAUAAGUAAAUGAAAUUCAGGAAAAGAUUUUAAUAUAUGAAGACUUGUGGUCUAAAAAUUAAAUAGCUAGGACCAUAGAUAAAUAAUUUCAAAAACAUGCCACACUUCUAGUAGAUCAUAUCCUCUAAUUUACAUUUUAAGUUAAAUGUGAUCUACAAUACGUGAAGAAAUUUGGACCAAGACUUAUAAAAGGAAAAACUAUGAUUCAAUAAUUAUGAUAGACCAAGUUAAACAAGCAUUUUACAUUUUUUUGUAUCUCACUAAUUAAUUUUUAAUGAAAAAGAAAAUACUAUGCAGGUUAAAAUACAAUUAGAAAUAGACGACAUAACAAUUUUUCCAAUUAAUGACAAUGAAAAUUAGUCUUUUUUCAUAUAUAAGAAGAAUAUUAUUUUGUGAAUUAAAAAAUGGAUCAAAAUAAAAUAGCUAGAUAGGAACGAAAUAGUCUUUUUUUAUAUAGAUUUUUUAACCGAAAUAAUUUUUAAAUUAUAUCCUUUUUUCUAUAAUUGAUGUAUUCAUCAUUAAUUUUUUCCUUGCUUACUUAAUUCUAAACAUUUGUAGUCAAUGAUAAGGAACUUGAUAUGAAGGUAAUGUGGUGACCUAUGGUUCAAGUUGAAGAAGUGGGGGGACAUUGACAUGAACUUGGUGGAGUGGCCUAUGGGCUAUGGAUGAAGUUGAAGAAGUCAGAGACCUUAAUAUGGGUGGACUUUGUGGAGUGUCCUAAGGUUAAAGAUGAAAAAAUGGAGGACCUUGACAUGGACUUGAUGGAGUAGUCUAUGGUUCAAGUUGGAAAAGUGGGGACCUUGAUAUGGAUUUGGUGGAGUGGCCAGCGGUUUCUCUAGGAGAAAAUUUUGUUUUCAUUUCUUUUAUUUUGAAUAAUAAAAAUUUGAUAGUUUAAAAUUAAUUAUGGGUUCAAAUUGCAAGUAAUAAAAUAUUUGAAUUUUAUAAUGCAAGACUUUUUGUUAUAUACUUAACACAGGUGUAACAAAAGAACUGAUUUAAAUAAUAGUUAAAAUUUGAAGACGAAUUAAGCUAAAUUUAGUUACCUCUGAUGUAAAUUACUCAAAGAUUAAAAAAAUUAUUAAUAUUUUUUUGAGAUAAAUUUUUCAUUGAUUUAAGCAAUUAUAUACGGUAAAUUAAAAUAAAAAAUGUUUCUUAUUUUAGUAUUUGGCACAAGAAUAAAUUAUAUUUCUCUAUAGAUUGUUUAAGUUAUCGUAUGAAUUUGUUUUUUUUUAGAAUAUUAAAUUGAACGUGAGUAUUUUUAUGAUAUUUUAAAUUUGACACUUGCAAUUAUUUAAAAAGUGAAAUGGAAAUUAAAAUUAUGUUUCUCCUCUUAUUUAAGUUGAUAACUUGUAAAAAAUACAAAAUACGAUACCAAUUUUUGUAGAAAAAAGUUAAUAUUCUUUUUCACACUUCUUUUUAUAUAACUAAGUAAUUUUUAUAUGAUAAAAAAAUAAUAUUCAGAUUUAAAUACAAUUAGAAAUACAUGAUACAACAACCUUUCCAAUUGAUGACAAUUAAAUUUAGUCUUUUUUCAUAUAUAAGAGAAUAUUAUUUUGUGAAUUGAAAAGUUGAUCAAAAUUAAAUAGCUAGAUUGGAACGAGAUAAUCUUUUUUUUAUAUAGAUUUUUUUAAACUGAAAUGGUCUUUAAAGUACACCCUUUUCCUAUAAUUGAUUUAUUAAUCAAUUAUAUAUUUUUUCCUUGCUUGACUUAACUCGCAAUAAUUGUUGUCAAUGACGAACUUGAUAUGAAGGUAAUGGAGUGACCUAUGGUUAAAGUUGAAGAAGUCAGACCAUAACAUGGCUGGACUUUGUGGAGUGCCCAAAGGUUCAAGAUCAACAAAUGGAAAACCUUGAGAUGGACUUGAUGGUGUGAGCUUUGGUUUAGAAGACAAAUUUUCUUUUACAUUAUUUUUAGUUUGAAUAUUGAAAAUUUGAUAAUUUAAUAUUAAUUAAGGGUUGGAAUAUCAUGAAAUAGAAGACUUGAUUUUUUCUUUUUUUAAAAAUAUUGGACUUUUACUGUUUUCGUAACAAAAGUUUAACGAAAGGAUUGAUUAAAUAAUAGUUAAAAUUCAAAGUUUAAUGAUACCAAAUUUUCAUUUAAGCAGUUCUAUAGGGUAAAUUAAAAUAAAGUGAUUCUUAUUUAUUUUUGUAAAAAAAAAGCUGUACCAAAAAGAAUGUUAUUUAUUUUAGUAUUGAGCACAAGAAUUAAUCAUAUUUCUUUGUUAUUAAUUUUUUUUAUGAAUUUAGUGUACAUAGGAAUUUUAAAAAAAGAGAUAGAUACAGUAAAUGCAUAAUUUUUCGUAUUCUAAGAAUUAAUUCGGGAGAAUUGGAUAAUUAAGUCGAUAAUUUAAAAAAGCCAGCGUAAAAAAAGAAGUGAAUUAAAAUGUUAAAAAAAUAUUUUAGUAUUUGUCACAAUAAUAAAAAAACGUAAAAAAUAAUGAAAGUGAAAAAAAAGGCUUAAAAUAUAAUUGUUGUCUUUUUUUAAUAUGUUAUUUUAGUUUUUUUAUUUUUAAUUGAAAUAUUUUAUCUCUUAUUUUUAAAAAAUCUUGUAAUUUUAGUCUUUUUAUUUUUCAAUUGAGAUAUUUUUAAAAAAUAUGUCAUUUUAGUCCAUUUGAUCAAAUUCUUGUUUUUAAUUAGGAUAUUUUGUCCUUUAAAAGUUAUUUUGAAGAAACCAAGAAAUACAAUAAAUUUUAUUGAUUUUAAUAAAAUAAUUAUUUCCUAUUCUAAGAAUUAAGUCAGAGAAUUGGAUAAUAAAGUCAAUAAUUAAAAAAAGGAAACGCCAAAAAAAAAAAAAAAGACACUUGCAUCAGUAUAAAGGAAACCGUUCUAAGAAGUGAAUUAAAAUAUUAAAAAAAUAUUUUAGUAUUUGGCACAAUAAUAAAAAAGGUAAAAAAUAAUGAAAGUGAAGAAAAAAACAGGCAGGGCAGCAGUAUAAAUAAUAGAAGUUUGAUGAUUUAUAUGCAGAAGCAACAACUACACUUGUUUUCUAUAUAUUCUUGUGUGAUCAUGAAUUCCUCCUCCAUUUAUAUUCUUGUCUUUGUCCAGCUUUGGUUGUUAAGCUUACCAUGCAGAGAGAGUGUGUGCAUCCCAAGUGAGCGUGAGACACUUUUGAAGUUUAAGAAUAAUCUCAAUGAUUCUUCAAAAUCUUGACUUGUCUGGAAAUUCAUUCUCAUCUUCUAUACCUGAUUGCCUAUACGGUCUUCAUCGUCUCAAGUCUUUGGAAAUUCAUUCCAGCAACUUGCAUGGGACUAUUUCUGAUGCCCUGGGAAAUUUGACUUCUCUUGUUGAACUUCAUUUGUCAAACAAUCAACUUGAAGGAACCAUUCCAACUUCUUUGGGAAAUUUGACUUCUCUUUUUGCACUUUAUUUGUCAUAUAAUCAACUUGAAGGAACAAUUCCGACUUUUUUGGGAAAUCUCCGCAACUCAAGGGAGAUAGAUUUAACAAUUCUCAAUCUCUCUAUUAAUAAAUUCAGUGGAAAUCCAUUUGAAAGUCUUGGAUCACUCUCUAAAUUGUCAUCUCUUUGGAUUGAUGGCAAUAAUUUUCAAGGAGUUGUCAAGGAAGAUGAUCUCGCAAAUCUUACAAGCUUGACAGUGUUUGAUGCAUCAGGGAACAAUUUCACUUUAAAAGUGGGUCCUAAUUGGAUUCCUAAUUUUCAACUUACCUUUUUGGAUGUGACAUCAUGGCAGAUAGGUCCCAACUUUCCAUCGUGGAUUCAGUCACAAAACAAACUUCUAUAUGUUGGACUGUCUAACACAGGGAUUUUAGAUUCUAUUCCCACUUGGUUCUGGGAAGCACAUUCUCAGCUUUUGUAUUUAAACCUCUCUCAUAAUCAUAUCCAUGGUGAGCUUGUGACUACAAUAAAAAAUCCAAUAUCUAUCCAAACUGUUGAUCUAAGCACAAAUCACUUAUGUGGUAAAUUACCCUAUCUUUCAAAUGAUGUGUAUGACUUAGACCUUUCAACCAAUUCAUUCUCUGAAUCCAUGCAAGAUUUUUUAUGUAACAAUCAGGACAAGCCAAUGCAAUUAGAAUUUCUCAAUCUUGCAUCAAAUAAUCUGUCAGGAGAAAUACCUGAUUGUUGGAUUAAUUGGCCAUUUCUAGUGAAAGUGAAUUUACAAAGCAACCAUUUUGUUGGGAACAUCCCCCCAUCCAUGGGUUCCUUGGCAGACCUGCAGUCUUUACAAAUUCGUAACAACACACUCUCCGGAAUAUUUCCUACCAGUUUGAAGAAGACUGGCCAAUUGAUAUCCUUGGAUCUUGGAGAAAAUAAUCUUUCAGGAUGUAUUCCAACAUGGGUUGGAGAAAAGCUCUCAAAUAUGAAAAUCCUCCGCCUUCGAUCAAACAGUUUUUCCGGUCACAUUCCUAAUGAAAUAUGUCAGAUGAGUCUUCUUCAGGUUUUAGACCUUGCAAAAAAUAAUUUUUCUGGCAAUAUACCCAGCUGUUUCCGUAACUUGAGUGCCAUGACACUAGUGAACCGGAGUACACAUCCCGGUAUCUAUUCUCAAGCACCAAAUGAUACACAAUUCUCUUCGGUAUCAGGUAUAGUUAGUGUGCUACUAUGGCUAAAAGGAAGAGGAGAUGAGUAUGGAAACAUUCUGGGUUUGGUAACAAGUAUUGAUCUGUCAAGUAACAAAUUAUUAGGAAAAAUUCCUAGAGAAAUCACAGAUCUAAAUGGAUUGAACUUUUUGAACUUGUCCCACAACCAAUUGAUUGGUCCUAUUCCAGAAGGUAUUGGUAAUAUGGGAUCGUUACAAACCAUUGAUUUUUCGAGGAAUCAAAUUUCUGGUGAAAUCCCUCCAACCAUUUCUAAUUUGAGCUUUUUGAGCAUGCUAGACGUGUCUUAUAAUCAUUUGAAGGGAAAAAUUCCAACAGGAACUCAAUUGCAAACCUUUGAUGCCUCCAGCUUUAUUGGCAACAAUCUAUGUGGUCCACCACUGCCCAUAAACUGCAGCUCCAAUGGGAAAACUCAUAGUUAUGAAGGAAGUCAUGGGCAUGGAGUGAAUUGGUUUUUUGUUAGUGCGACAAUUGGAUUUAUUCUGGGAUUCUGGAUAGUGAUUGCUCCUUUGCUGAUUUGUAGAUCAUGGCGGUAUGCCUAUUUUCAUUUCCUUGAUCAUGUGUGGUUCAAACUUCAAUCUUUUCGCUCAGGUAUUAUCAUUGUUUAGUGUUGCUUAGAAUACACCGAUGUUAUCAUUGUAUUGGCAGGUUGAUUAAUUUGUAGUCAUUACUAUCUUUUUUUUUUUUUUUCAAAUUUGAGAGCCUUAUUUAAAUUCUGUUUUUGGAUGUAAAGAGGGAGAGUAGCUGAACGUAAAGAGGGGAAGGAUAGGAGGUGUGGGGAAAUGAAACUAAGGAUAACCAAGUAAUUUCAAAUGCUUUGGUAGUCUCAAUAGCAUUUUUGGUAGUGACAAUAGUAGCCCAUAUAUAUAUAAAUGAUUAUAUGUGUGAUACAACAAAAUGCAGGAUAGAUAAAACAACCCAUACCAACUAUACAAAUUACAAGUUAAUUAUUACUUUUACAUAUUUUGAUGUACAAUAAACAGCACCAACACAAAAAUGUUAUAUUUACUAGUAGCAGUAGUAAUUAACUAGUUUUUUAUAUAUAAAAGUGGUAAUUAACAACUCUUUCAUCACACAUAUGGACCCCUCCAAAUACAAUCUUUUUUUUUUUCACAGUAAAGGGAAUCUGCCGUCAAUUCAGUUCUCACUAUCAGAUUUAAUUAAACCACUGCUCUAACGAGGCACAUAUCAUGUUAAUAAAUAUAGUAUUUUCAAUGAAAAAUUCAAAUAAAAUAUCUCAAUAAAUAAUAUACAUGCACUUACACAUAAAAAUGUUAUUUAAACCCUGAACUGAACACACAAUGAUAUAUGAUUAUAAAUUGUCUAAUAAAUUAUAAGUUUUGUCUUUCAUGUAUGCACAGGUGUGUUUCUUCCCAAAUUGUGCAAAUGCUCGUCGACAAAUGGGUGAGAUCAAAAGCUCAGGUAUGGUGGCUCCAGGACCUGUGCACUCUCUUCAAUUCACCUCAAUUUCUCCACAACCUUUUGAUGCUAUGGAGCUCUCAGAUGAACCUGCCGUUUCUCCAUUCCCGCAAUACUAAGUAGUAGUAUUUUUCUUAAUGCUUACAAGAAAUAAUUUAAAUGAGUGUAUUUUGAUGCUUAAUGCGUGUUUAGUUUGUAAUAAGGAUGUUGCGCUACACACCAAUAUGGAAUGUGUCAUUAAUUUAUGUAUUCUGUUUUGUACAAAAUUUUAAUGCUGGAAGUGGUCUCUCGGACUCUUCCCAUUGAAAACCAGUGUAGCCAGCUUUCAUUAUUUUUGGUUAAUAUAUAUAAAUUGUUCUUUAGUACUGAUUGGUCUGAAUAGAGUGACAGAUUCUAACUCUUUAAAUGAAUGGUUAAGAAUUUGAAUUUUAUCAACUUUUAGUUCUUCAUCCUUCUACGAAUUUUAUUAUUAGUAUCUCAAUUAUCUUUUGGGCGGUCUUAAUCUAUAUUUCUGUUUGUCAUUGCUUAGUCACUUUCAUAAAAAAAAAAAAAAAAUCACUGUUAAACGAUGUAAUAAUCAUAUGAUUUCUUACUUGGGUUAUGACCUAAAAAUCAUGUGAUAAAAUUUUAAGGUAUUACAAAUAUUUUGUCAGUGUAAAACUGCUAAAUAUUUAAAAUUUUGACAAAAAAGAAGAAAAAGGAUGUAUAAUAAACAAAAUCAAUAAUUCACAAUACACAAAUUAACCUUAUAGCAUGUUAUUAUUAUAUCAAAACCUUUUUUUUUUGGUACCUUUCAAUUUGUCAUUCAAGUCUAGAAGGACCUAUGUGUGGACAUCUAAAGGACUCCAUUUAUGGGUGAAAAAUUUCAAAAUUUGUUUAUCGUACAGAGCAGGAUUUUAUAUAAAUAUACAAGUGGAGUUACUAUUAUCACUGCGUGCCAUCAAUGUUAUUCACAAUACCCACGUGGGUAGAAAAUUAGGAAAUUCCAGAACCAUUUUAUUUUUUAUGGAAAUAUAAUUUUGUUAUACAAGUAUAUAAUAGAAUCAUAUUUUUGUGACAUUGUUGGGGACAUAAGUUUUUUACUACAAAACUGUAUUUUCGUUAUUAUAAUAAAAGGGAUGUAAAGUAAAAUGCAACCGAGAUACAAUUCUAUUAUUGUUAUAAUAAAGGAGUGUAAAACAAGGUAAUGAGAAAAGGAUUUUAUUUUAAUUAUUGAAUAUACACCCAAUAUAAUCUUGAUUUCGUUUCAAUUUAAUUAUUUUACAACCCCUUUAUUCCGUGUAUAUUUUAAUAAACAAAACCAUGUUUCCAUUUAGACCAUUGUCACCCUCCAUCCCUUUCCAGUCUUUCUUCUUGCUCCCUUAACUUGCACAUCCCCUCCCCACUUCUUUCAUUUUCAGCAAGCGUCACACAAAUCUCUGCCACUCGUGGCGCAAUGCCAUCUCUACACUGUGCAGCAAUCUGACUCAAAGGAAAAAGUGGAGUCGUCAUCAUCUGAAUAGCUCAAGCAACUUCCAUGGUGGUGGCAUCUCACUCUCUUUACCUUCCUUAACCAGAAAUGGAAAAAUGACUAAAAAGAAAAGAAUCAUGACCGCAACACACAACUGCAAAGGACAAUAAUAGCCCCAUAUAUAAGUGAUUAUAUGUGUGAUACAACAAAAUCCAGGAUAGAUAAAACAACAAACCAUACCAAUUAUACAAAUUACAAUUAAGUUAAUUAUUAUUUUUACAUAUUUUGAUGUACAAUAAAUAGCACCAACACAACAAUGUUAUAUUUACUAAUAUAUUUUUUAAUAUUAACUAUUUUAAUACAAUUAAUACUGUUAUUUGAACAACAUAGACAUUAUCUUCAUUUUCUUUCCUUCACCGUCUUCACCCAUCUUUCUUUGUUAUAAAAAAUGUAACAAUUACAGUAAAAGUUAAUUUCUUAAGAAACAUGCUUCAUUUAGCUUAUUUUAAAAAUUAAUGUAAUAACAUUUUUAUCAGUUGUAAAUAAAGAAGAGUAUUUAUUCUAAAAUGAAUUAUAUAAACAUACACUUAGUAUUGGAUAUGACUUUACACUCCAUGUAAAACAAAUUCAAUAAACGACACCUGAAUCUUUUGUUCAUAAAUUUAGGGACAUUACAUGAAAGGUGCAUAGAUUUUUCCUAGUAGUGUCACAGUCCUACUAUUGUACGUAUCCCGCUUUUUUCUCCUUUUCAGAAUGAUAGAUACCACCACGCUUUUUGUUUCUGGUUCUAUACUCCUUUCAGGACAGAUUCCUCCAUGAACAGUGCUAUUUGGCCAAAGAGUGUUAAGUAGGUACGUAUAAAAAACAAUUCGACACGCAAAUUUCCAAACAGAGCACUAAAUUAAAUGGAAAAUAUUACAUACCAGGAUAUAACUAAAUUUGGGUUUAAACGCGGGUGAUCUACCACUGACUAAUAAGAUUUUAAAAAACAGUUUGCCAUUGCAAUUUCUACUUGAUCAUGAUUUACUAAACAUAUUCUUUGAGGAGUCUUCGUAAUUGCAACAUGACAAUAAUUAAUUAUGCCUGUAUCAAUUAUAUCUGUCCCUAGUAUUUUCCAAUACAGAAAGUCACGAGAAAACUAUAACAACUACUGUGGCCAUAGUUUAAAAGCUACAUUGACGUUCUAAAAGUAGGUGAAAGCAUGCAGGUGAUGCAACACAAACCUUGGGGUGGGGUCGAUCCAAUUCAGAUGGCUAUGACUAGGAGGAUGGUCUAGCUAUAGGCCCAAAAUGUUUGAACUUUGAAUCUACAAUAUUUGGGCAUAUAUAUGUGUACUCUUCCAAAACAAAACAAUUAUUUUAUAUUUUUAUCAUGUAAUAUUCAUCUCUCUUUUAAACUAUUAAUACAUAUACCUUGAGUGAGUUUAUCAGAUGUGCAUCAAGCAUUUUUUUUUUUCUGUGGCCGUGCAAGAUCUUUUACAGUUGCUGAUGUGUGUAAUUAUAACCACCGCCAUGAUUGGUAUGAGCCUCUAUCUAAUGUUAAAGUAAAUCUUUUCUGCCUUUGAUGAGUGUUUAAUUGACUCAAUAUAAUUGUUGUAGAUAUAAACAAUUGUACUUCAUUAUAAAGAGUUUUUAUCUGCAAGUAACACGUUUAAUCGUAAAGUAAAUAGUAUAUACGUACUCCGAAUAAUGGUGGAAACAAAAUUAACAAUGAUCGACAUGGUAGUUACCGGACUAAUAAUUUAAUAGUAUGAAUAACACAACAAUUGAUUCUGGGGGAAAUAAAAUAAAGUGAAAAAACUUGUGUAAAAGACAGAUACACUUUGAUAAGGGAAUCUAAAUUGUUUAACAAAACAUGAAACCAUAUUCGACUUAGCUGGAAUUAUGGUUAGAGUAACAUGCAAGUAACUUUGUUACUUUGAUUUUGAUGUUACUCCACACUGGAAAAAUGAUAUAAUAACAUAACAAGCAUAAUUAAUUAGAUUUAUUUAUUUUACACAAAGAAUCAAUUUUUAAUUUUGUUAUAUGUUGUAAUAUAUAAUUUAUAAUAUCAAGAGUCUAAUCCAUUUGAUUCAACAGACUAUACGUGAGCUGUUAGAAUCAAAAAUUUAAAAUUAAUUUUAUUCAUUGAAAAAUCAUUGAACCCUAAUCAAUGAGGUUUAAUCGUUAGUGGAAGCAGAGAAUGGAGAAUGGAGACACAUGAGAUGAUGCAAGGAACAAAAGUUUAUGCAAGUGCUAUCAACCGAGUGUCUUUAGUGUCGUGAAGACCCGGUUUCUAACUACAUUAUUUAUUAAUUAAUUCAUUUUCAAAAAGUGCCUCAUAAAAACACCCUUUUUGUGGUAAUUUGAUUUUUAAAAUAAUAAUAAUGACAUGAUAACUUUAGAAGAAAAAGAAGUACCAAUUUUUUUUUUUUGUUUUCAUCAACUGGUUUGCGUGGAGCCAUUUUUCCACUCUGUGACUGUCUGACCCGGGUGCUUUUGAAACAGGUUUUGCUUUGCUUCUUUGGCACUCUGCAACCUUGUGUACUACCAAAGCCAUUUGCUGCCAUUUUUCACAUCCAUAAUCUUUCAGUGAUUUUCUUGUCUCAAAACAAAAUCCUUUGAACAAUACUAAGACUCUAAGCAGAAACACACACACACAAUUUUAUUUUUUUUGGAAGCUCAAUGUUACUACUAUCUAUCUACCCUUCUCACAAUCACAAAGUCAAUGCUCCCACUUAACUGUUUUCCUACUCCAAAAGUGUUAAAUCCUCUCAUGUUAUUGUACCCCUAGUAGUUAUUUGUUUCUGACUGAGUCUCUUUAGUGUCCAAUUUGCUGAUGUGAAGGGUAGAAGGACCCAAUGACAAUGUCAUCAAAUUUGAAAAGAAAUAACUAUAAAAAAACAAAAAAAAACAUAGACCAAAACACUAUUAAACACUAAAUGAAAUUAAAUAUGUUUUUAUCCUUAAUAAAUACUCAAAUUUUAUGUUUAUUUUCUAAUAAAUUAUUAUUUUACGUCGAGAUCCUAAUAAACUAAUACUAAAUGAAAUUAAAUAUUGAUAUUAUUGUUGUUCUUCUACCUCCAACGUUGGUUGGCUCGAUAUAUGUGUGUGCUUAUUUUAACGUUAUUAGAUGCUACUUGUUUAUUUCGUACGUUAUUGUUGUCUGAAGCAUGGACACGUUGUGGAAUUCCUUAGAAAUUGUUAGGAAUGGUGUGUGAGAAUUCCCUCGGCCUGAGGCAUACGCAUCGUUGAGGACACGACAAAAUUAACACAUUGUCAUUUCGUCGCUUAGCCAACUAUAUUCGUGUGGCCAUUAAAAACGUUUCUCACUUACUCUUUUACCCAUUAAUUAUUCACAAGUUAAAGUCGCACGCAGUAAGUUGCUACCGACAAAUAUAUUCAGAGUUAUGAUAUUUAGACAUUCAGGUUUAUUGUAAAAUUAAGGUUAUAGUUAUCAAAAUCUUGCCCAUAACUUAGUAUUUCUAUGUUGUGGAAAUGAUGCUACCUUGGACAUUGUCUUCCCUGAUUGGUCCUUCUGGGGAUGGUAAGCUACGUACUAAGCCAACUUCACUCCUUUUUUCUUCUUCCUACACUUCAAUAAUAUAUAUCUCGAUCUGCCUAUUCUUCUUGUAAAUUUUGAAUUAGAUAAUCCAUAAUGUUAAAAAUUAACUUAGUGCAAUUUUUGUUGAACAUGUUUGUAUUUUGAAAUUAUAUUUUAAAACGGAAAAUUGAAAAAUCACAAUCAGCCCUAACGGGACCUUAAUUUUUAAACAAGUAAAAAGUAUUGCAUGUGUGGUGCACAGGGCAGAGAUUAAUAUAAAGCCAUGGCAUAUUUUGUUGGGAGAGUUGAAAGAAGGCACUACGAGGAUACCAUGGCUGAACAGAGAGCCUUAUGCUUACUGGAAAGGUAAUCCAGCUGUUGCUCAAACCAGAUAAUAUCUCAUGGAAUGCAAUGUUUCUGAAAAUCAAGAUUGGAAUGCUCGUUUAUUGGCCCAGGUAUCACACUUCUUAUUAGUUUUGUUUGAUUACACUAGCUUAUUGAAAGUAGUUUUAUUAUUUGGAUAUGAAAAAAUUAAUUUUGUAUGUAAUAUUUCUUAUAAGCAAAAGUUUCAUUAUAUAAAAUUGGCUUAAGCACAUGGUGUGCAGAAACUAGAAAUAACAGGCAAAUUCAAGCAACACCAUCCAGUAGCAAUAUUGUGUAUAACAUUAUACACUUUUUUAACUUUUAAUCUUUUAUUAAUACACAUGAAAUGAAAUGUUAAUUAGGGAGUGGAAAGGGUUAGCAGUACCUCAUGUAAAGGAAGGUUCAUUCCAACUUCAGAUGAAGUUAAACGCAAAUUGGCAAAUCGUCGUAAAUUUCUUUCAGCUAUACUUGGAAGGAUAUACCCAUCUAUUUAAUGAAAUGUAAAUUAGCAACACAAAAUAACUAUGAAAAGUCCAGCACAGACAUAGCACAGCUCAAAUUUAUAAUUCAAAUCACUAAGAAAUCAUUACAUGACCAAUGAACAAAAUAGUCUUUACUUAGUAGUAAGUGCUCACAGUUGUGCACCCAGGCCACCCCCAAACCACAAAAUAAAUUAGUUGUUAAGACAUGUUACUAUAAUAAAUUAUUCCACUGGAGGUAUGAAUUGUUCUAUUAGAAUAUGUCAAAGAAGACGAAGAACCUGUUUUCUCUGAAGGCCACUCAAAGAAUCCAACACAUAUCUGCUGGAGUUUAGUACGUUGAAACGGAUAUUGAGCAAGACCCCUAUAGAGAUGAGUAAAUUUUAAGUAGCUGACAACAGUGCUAUACAAUUUAUAUGCCAGAUCUAAUUCAUCAGGUUACAUUAAAAAUAAAAUUCCAAUUAAGAAUCUCAGAAGCUUAAUUAAAUUUUAACAAAACAUGUGCUAUCAGUAACUGUUUCAAAUGGACUUCAUAUCUGUUUUCAGAAAAUAACAUUUAUACCUGAUCAUUAGUCAGUAUUAAGAACCAUAACAGAAAGGCAUGACCUUUCUUGGCUAGAAAGAGAAUGAGAUGCGUUAACAAUACCAGACGUAAAUUGACUCAGUUUUCGCAUGUUCGGAUUAGUGAGUAUAUUGAAUAUAUUUCAAUCAGUAUUAAGAAUCAAUCUUUAUGAGUGGAAACCAUGAAUAAAAAAGACAAACCUACUUGUGCACAAUAUCUGAAUCUGCUUGGUGACAUUUUGGGUUCAUAUAAGCAUUAAUUACUUGUAAAAUGUUAUCAUCCGGCCAUAAAUCAUUCUUACCUCCUGCAUAGACAAAAGAUAGAAGCUAAGAUACAAUGUUCAAGAGACACCAACAAUCCUCCAUUUGACAAAAAUAAUUAUUAACUGCAAGUCAACAUUUGUGUACAAGUUGAUGCAGACAAUGCAUUCUAGAAGACAUAAAAAAAGCACAAAGAUAUUAGGUAUAUAAUUCCAUCCUUUGGUUUAGAAUUAGAUAUUAUAUUGGGUCCACUGUAACAUCUCUCAUUGCUUAACAAUUUACAUUUACAUGGACAGUAAUCAGUUAGUGUUAAUUUAGCUUUUUUCUAAUAUACUAAUUUAGCUGAUAUUAUAUUUUCAGAUAGCGGAUAUAAUUGGUUCAUGACAUGGUAUCAAAACAUGCAUGAUUAAUAGCAUGUUUGAAUCUAACUCCAUGAUCCACAUUGUCCAAGAAAUUUGAGUCAAAAUUUUAAAAAUGACACAAAAGCAAGUAUUUUUUGCUUCAAUUUGACGUGCAUUCACAACAAUGAACACCAAACCAAACGGGCACUAAGUGGUCUAGAGUUUGAUCAUUGUUACCCCCAUUUUUCUAAUAAAAAGUAGAAUUUCAAAACAAGGUAGGUGAGCAUUUACAUUAUUUAUGCUUCAAUCCAAAAGGUUUUGGUGUUUUACUAGUGGAAAGGGACAUGUAAGAGACUCAAUAAUUCACACCUUAAAGUUUGCAUUUAUUAUGUACAAAUACAGUUAAUAACCUAUAAAUCAAAUCCUGAUACGUUUGUUGACAAAAUUCUUUUAAAAACAUUAAAACCUCUCUUCUAUGUCAAAUAUUAAGUGUAUUAUUACAUAAUUUGGACAGAUAAUAUGUCCCUAAUUCUCUGAAAAGUUUACUUGUAUAGUAACACUAGAGCAGUGCCAUAAACUGUUUUCUAGUUUGAGAAGGAAACCUGUCAGAAAAAAUAAUCAACUGCAACUUUCAAUUCAAGUAAUGUGAAUUGAAUACUCCGAAGAGGGUAAUAUCCCCACACUUACAAGUUACAAUGACAAAUGUUGAACAUUUUUCAUGUGACAUACAAACAUUUACCCCCUUAACUAAAAAAAAAAAAGACUAUAAAAAAUAUCAAAUUAAAUUGUAGUGAAAAAUGAAACUAUUAGUUUUAAUUAAAGAAAAUACUACUUAUUUAUUCCUUCCAAUAAUCAAAUAUUUUCUCAUUACCAACUUGUCUCAUUCAUCUCUUAUUUACUACUAAUUGUUACUUGUAGUUAAGUGUGUUAGAUUCAUGGGUUAACAAUGAGUCGUGUAUGUAAUUAAUAAUCAUUAAUGUCAUAUUUUUUUAUCAUUUGAAGUGGAGUAUUCAUUUUUUCUCUUAAUAUUAUUUUAUCCUUCACAAAAUUCAAAUAAGAUAUUUUAUUUGAGAGGAUGAAUUCAGAACCACUCAAACUAAUGAGUUAAGGACUCUUAUUGGUUAUUAACAUCGAAUUAAAACUAGUUUUAUGUAUUUUGUUUUUAUAAAUUAAAGACUAAUACUUGCUUAUUGUCAUUAUUCAAAAAAGAAAAAAGGUUAAAAAGAAAAGAAAAGUGAGUGGGAAGGACACACUCGAGUCGAGCGGGAGUCAAAGCUGGAAGUCCAAAGUUUCUGGAACUCAAACUAGUAGUGUGGGUGUGGAACAGGACAAGGGGGUUUCUGUGAAGGACUAUUUGGUGGACAAACUGAGGCCUGGUGAUGAAGACAGGGCUCUCUCUGAAGUGAUAUCAGAGACUCUGCACAAGAAGGAACUGCCCCCAGUGGAAGUUACUGAAGAAGGUGUGAGAAAGGUGGUUUCUGAUGCUGUGCAUAAGAGAGACGAUGAUCCUGAGGGAAAAAUGGAACAUCAAAGAAUACUGGGAAAGGUAACUGAGUCAGAGGAAGUGAAGAGAAGGUUAGGAGGUGAAAGUGUGGUGACAGAGAAAAAGUACCAAGAGAUGUAUGUGAAUAGUCCGGGGAAAGGUGUGGUUGAUAAGCUUAAAGGUAUGGUUGGGACAUGGUUUACCAACCCAGCAGAGAACGAAUCUGGAAACAGUCUCUUUGCAAUGAAUAGUAGCUCUAGUUGUCUCCAUGAGGUUUCUCUUGUUCGCAUAGCGAAGAGCCUCUCGGCAAUGGGAUAUGCUAGUUUUUAUUUUUAUUCUUUUACCAUACUUCUCUGACUAAUUCUUUUGUUACUCUUCACAUUCUGCUUGAGUUUUGCAGCUAGACAAAGAUAUUUUGUAUCGAUAUUAAAAUUUAUUAUCUCUCUAUUUGUUUAUUAUAUUUGCCUUGUAACAGUUUUUCGAUUUUCUUAUCUUGGAAGAAGUGUUUUGAGAAACAAACGAAAUUAUGAUUAUGUAUGUUUCUGUUAGUCUUAAGACUUGAUUCCAAGAUGAAUCGCAGUUAUUUGUUUACUUGUUUUGGUCAUGCUUACAUAUUUUUCUAUAUGUUUUUUUUUUCAUUUUGUAAGAACUGUUUAAAAAAAAGUGGAGUAUUUUUUAUCCUAGUGGUUUUAGACUUCAGUCCAAGAUGAGUUACAAUUUUUUUUUUUUACUUUAUUUUGGGUAUGCUAUUUUUUACUGAAGCAAAGUGCCACAUUAAUUUUGAAUUUGUGGUUUGCAUGGGCCGAAGAUUCAUCUAUGAAUUAUGAGGCAGGAAGGGCAGAAGUGGAACAAGUUAACCAAGGUGCAGCAGGUGAAAGAAGGCAGCAGGAGUCAUCUAAUUGAAGAAGUGCUUUGAAGGAGUCUUUGCUUUGGGUGAUUGUGUAGAUUUUCUUAAAAGCUGUUUCAAUAUCUGUGUGUCUAGUUCUUUGUUGGAAGAAAGUUAGGAUGUUCAAGUCACAGUAAACUAAAAAUUUGUGUUUUUUUUUAAUGUUUAUGUAAAUAUCCAAUUUUAUUCGGGUUUAUUUUUAUAUUUUAUAUAAAAAUAUUUAAAAUAUUUUUUGAGAAAAAGAAAAGAGAAAAAUUAUAGAAGAUUUGACAGUUACAAGAAGACUUGGCAUCAGAAAACUGUAGUAAUGGUGAUUCAAUUGAGAAAAAAAAUAUUACUAAAAGAUAAGAUCAUUUAAAAUAUUUUUGAGAAAAAAGAAAAAAAAGAAAAAUUAUAGAAGAUUCUUUUAAAUAAAAAUAAUUAAAAUAUUUUAGAGAGAGAAAAAAGAAAAAUCAUAGAGGAUCUGAAAGUUACAAAAUUGAUCAUCAGAAAACUGGAGUAAUGGUGAUUCAAUUGAGCAAAAUAUAAAAUAUUAGUAAAAGAUAACGUCAUUGAAGUUGUAAGUCUAAAGACAAGGAGAUCGUGGUAUAAUGGAAUCCUAAGUUGUUGUUGGAUUUUAAAAGAAGAGACGCACUAGCAUACAAGGAGAAUUCUGUGAAGGGAAACCCAUAGAAAGAUUGUUUUUUCGCAAAUUUUUCAAUGGAUGAUUAUGAUGCUAUAAGAUCUGGUCUUUAUUCUUUUUGCGCUCUAUAAGAUCAGGUUUGUUUGUUUUUUUUUUCUUUUCUCUCGUUCAUUUGUUGUUAUGUUUGGCUUUUUUUAUUUAAUUUUUGGUUUCAUGAAUUCGUGUAUGUAUGCUAUCCAAAUGUUUGUUUUUUGAAUAAAAUAAGUAUACACAUUUCGACCGCAUGUUUACAUUCAUAUUGUGGGUUAAAAAGCAUAUUUUUUACUUGCUUAUUGGUCCUGAUAAAUUUCUGUAUAUAAAACAGUAAGAUCGAGUGUCGAGUUUACAAGGACUUUAACUGUAUCCAGAGUUUGUAUAUGUUCAAUUUUAAGUAAUCAAUAAAUUAAAAUUGAUAUUUGUCAAAUAAUGAUAUGGAAUAUAAAAUUUGACAUAAAUGAAGAUAAUUAAGCAUAGUACAUUAAAGAUAUAGAAUACAAACACUCAGAGGUGGGUUGUCAGUUGAAGUAGAAUUACAGAAUAUGUUGAGACUCAACCUAUCAAAAUUACUCUUGAUGCAACAGUAAGGGUUUUUUACUAUUUAACGUUAUUUUGAUUAUUACCUUCAUCCACUAACAUACCCUAAUCAUGAUUUCUCAUGUGAAAGAGUUUAAAUUACCUAAUUUCACUCCUAAUCCCUUAAGAGCUAUAUGAAAUAAUUUGCUUUAAGAAUAAAGAUGUAUAAUAAAUAAGGCAAAAUAAUAUCAUUCUAUUCCUAAACAUGGAUUACCUAGAUGUUCUUUUCAAGUUCAUAGGAAAUAAACAUUUUCCAAUGCAUAAACCCUAUAACAGUACACGAGAAUAGGUAAUCAAGCUAUAAACAUGAUAUUAAGCACAAAAAAGACAAUAAUAUUAAAAUAACAUUAAAUAAAUAGUUAGAAUAAUUACAUCAAGAGUGUUUAAUAGUUGAACUCCCAACAAUGGGUGAUUUAGCCUCUCAUUGUCAUGAGAGGGUUACUAAUACAAAAAGAAAGCAAGAGGUGUGAAAGAAAAUGGAGGAAAGGGUCCCAAGUGAAUAGAUUUUCUCUCUUCUCUCAUGUCUUAGCUUCUCAAUUUUGGUCCCACUAAAGAAUUGCUUGAUUUUUCCUUUCUUUUUCCUUUAAAAUGAAGCACAAUCAUGUUUUGUGAUAUUGAUCAUGCGCUAAGCCAGCAUGUGCUCGCGAAGCGCACAUGCAAAGUCCAUCUGACAUAAGUGAAUGUGCGUUAAGCCGCAAGGUGCAGGCUAAACCGCAUAUGCGUACUAGGCCGCCACAUACAGGCUAAGCUGUAGAUGCGCACUAAGUCGUCGUAUGCACGCUAAGCAUGACCUCCAAGUUGGCUCCUCGCGUUGAACGGUUGUUGACGCGCUGAGCGAACUGCUCCAGUUCUUCAACCAUAUUACAGACCUCCUACUGUGUAAUUCUAUAAAAAAAAUACACUAAAAAAUACUAUAAAUUUGAUAACUUUAGCAUUUAUUAGACAAAAACUCAGAAGAAGUUAAAUUUCUAAUGUUCUAACACAAAAGAAGCAAUAAAAGAGAGGAAAAUUAGAUAAUUGUUAUGUGAUUUAAACAUUUAAAUUACGUAAGCGUAUCAAUUAACAUAUUAUACGUGGAAAAAAGUUUUUUUUUAAAUAAAAACAAUGUUGUAUUUGCCCAUUUCUUCUCUCUCUUAUCUAUCUCUCCAUCACCCUUCAUCUUCCUCAUAUCCCACCACUGUGCCACUGAUGGUGUUUCAUUUUUUCCCUGGUGGUUGGACUAAAUGAAAACAAAAUAGAUGAAAGAAUAGAUAUGAACCAACAAAAUCUUAAUAUCAAAACAUUAAACCACAAAAUCGAGAAAAAAACAAUGUUUGGUUGGCUUCACUAGGUUUCAUGGCUGGAUUCACAUUUGGAUUUCAUGUGGGAUUUCACAAUGAGGUUUGUUGUGAGUUGGGGCUCAUUGGAUUUUGCAACGGUGGUGGCAGUGGAGAUCACAGUCGUUGGGUUUUAUGACCGGUUGAGAUUGAGAUCAUAGUUGGGUUCCUACCAAUAUUUCUACACUAUGAAUAAAGAUAAAGAAAUUUCUACACUAUGAAUAUUUGAAAUUAAUUAAGAUUAGCUAAAUUCAUCUAAAUAACAAUAUGCAUAAAGAUAAAGAAAAUUAAGGAAGGAAAUAAAAGAAAAAAUUAAGGGAAAAUUUUUUGUUUGGAAAUUUUAACAAACACUCGUGUAUACAAAGUAAAUUGAGAUUAAAUCAAUGAAAAAAUUGUUCGGGUUUAAUUUGAUUGGAGUUCCUAUCACGUAAUCACUACACAUUUAUAUUUAAUAAACAUUAUAUUAUCAUUAACCUACCAUAUUAUCUUAACUUUAAUUUCUUAAGUGAAGAGAGCUAAAUCCCUUGAUUAAACUAUCAAUCCUUUGGAUUAGCAUAAUCAAACAAUUUGCAUUAAGACAAAGUGUUUAUUGAUGCUCAACUAUCCCUAGACAUAAAAAUUAUUGGGUGUUCUAUCCAAUUCGCAACUUAAUGGAAUUUUUCUAAUACAAUUGAAUGAAAAAUCAUGCAAACAGGUGCAAGCCAAAAACACAUAUUAGGCAUAAAAGAGAAACAAUUACAAUGUUUUAUUGAAUAAAAAAAAAGUAGUUAUUACAUGGAAGAAGAAACAAUUACAUUAAACUCUAAGAGAAGAUUAGUUCAUGACAAUAAAAAAACAUGAGAUAUACAUCACAUAAAUGUCUUAAAAUGACACAAAAAUCUAAGAAUACAUGAUAAUUAUCGAUCAUCCAAAAUUAACUUAGGAUAAAAAAAAGUAACAUAUUAAAAUUUUAUAGGAAUGAAAAUGAUAUAUUUUAGUCUAUUUUUUUUAAUGCUUGACAUAACUCUCAACAUUUGUUGUCAGUCAUAAAAAAACUUUGACAUGGUUUUGAUGGAGUGGCCUAUGGUUCCUGUUGAAAAAGUGGGGCCUUGAUAUGGAUUUGGUGGAGUUGUCUACGGUUUGUCUAGAAGAUAAUUUUUUUUCUUUUAUUUUAUUUUGAAUAAUAAAAAUUUGAUAAUUUAAAAUUAAUUAUAAUUUCAAAUUGCAUGUAAUAGAAGCCUUGAAUUUAAUAAUGCAAGACUUUUUGUUGUUUACUUAACACACGUGUAAUGAAAGGAUUGAUUUAAUUAAUGGUUAAAUUUGAAGACUCAUUAUUAAACCAAAUUUUAUUACCUUUAUUGUAAACUAUUAAUGUUUUUUAUAAAAAUAUUAAUAUUUACUUAAAAUAAAAUUUUCAUUAAUUUAAGCAAUUCUAUAAGUUAAACAAAGAAAAUAAAAUGUUUCUUAUUUUAGUAUUUGGCACAAGAAUAAAUUACAUUUCUUUGUAGAUUAUUUAAGUUAUCGUAUGAAUUAUUUUUUAAGAAUAUUAUAUUGAAGUGAGUAUUUUUAUGAUUGCUUAAAUUUGGCACUUAAAAUUAUUUAAAAAGUAAAAUGGAAAUUAAAAUUAUGCUGCUCCUAUUAUUUAAGCUGACAACUUGUAAAGAAAAUAAAAAAUAUGAUACUAAUUUUUAUGAUAAAAAAAUAAUAAUAUUCAAUAAAUUGUAUAUUUAUUUUUCUCUUCUAUCACUAUUCUUAAAAUAUCACCACAUAAGUAAAUGAAAUUCAGGAAAAGAUUUUAAUAUAUGAAGACUUGUGGUCUAAAAAUUAAAUAGCUAGGACCAUAGAUAAAUAAUUUCAAAAACAUGCCACACUUCUAGUAGAUCAUAUCCUCUAAUUUACAUUUUAAGUUAAAUGUGAUCUACAAUACGUGAAGAAAUUUGGACCAAGACUUAUAAAAGGAAAAACUAUGAUUCAAUAAUUAUGAUAGACCAAGUUAAACAAGCAUUUUACAUUUUUUUGUAUCUCACUAAUUAAUUUUUAAUGAAAAAGAAAAUACUAUGCAGGUUAAAAUACAAUUAGAAAUAGACGACAUAACAAAUUUUCCAAUUAAUGACAAUGAAAAUUAGUCUUUUUUCAUAUAUAAGAAGAAUAUUAUUUUGUGAAUUAAAAAAUGGAUCAAAAUAAAAUAGCUAGAUAGGAACGAAAUAGUCUUUUUUUAUAUAGAUUUUUUAACCGAAAUAAUUUUUAAAUUAUAUCCUUUUUUCUAUAAUUGAUGUAUUCAUCAUUAAUUUUUUCCUUGCUUACUUAAUUCUAAACAUUUGUAGUCAAUGAUAAGAAACUUGAUAUGAAGGUAAUGUGGUGACCUAUGGUUCAAGUUGAAGAAGUGGGGGGACAUUGACAUGAACUUGGUGGAGUGGCCUAUGGGCUAUGGAUGAAGUUGAAGAAGUCAGAGACCUUAAUAUGGGUGGACUUUGUGGAGUGUCCUAAGGUUAAAGAUGAAAAAAUGGAGGACCUUGACAUGGACUUGAUGGAGUAGUCUAUGGUUCAAGUUGGAAAAGUGGGGACCUUGAUAUGGAUUUGGUGGAGUGGCCAGCGGUUUCUCUAGGAGAAAAUUUUGUUUUCAUUUCUUUUAUUUUGAAUAAUAAAAAUUUGAUAGUUUAAAAUUAAUUAUGGGUUCAAAUUGCAAGUAAUAAAAUAUUUGAAUUUUAUAAUGCAAGACUUUUUGUUAUAUACUUAACUAAGGUGUAACAAAAGAACUGAUUUAAAUAAUAGUUAAAAUUUGAAGACGAAUUAAGCUAAAUUUAGUUACCUCUGAUGUAAAUUACUCAAAGAUUAAAAAAAUUAUUAAUAUUUUUUUAAGAUAAAUUUUUCAUUGAUUUAAGCAAUUAUAUACGGUAAAUUAAAAUAAAAAAUGUUUCUUAUUUUAGUAUUUGGUACAAGAAUAAAUUAUAUUUCUCUAUAGAUUGUUUAAGUUAUCGUAUGAAUUUGUUUUUUUUAGAAUAUUAAAUUGAACGUGAGUAUUUUUAUGAUAUUUUAAAUUUGACACUUGCAAUUAUUUAAAAAGUGAAAUGGAAAUUAAAAUUAUGUUUCUCCUCUUAUUUAAGUUGAUAACUUGUAAAAAAUACAAAAUACGAUACCAAUUUUUGUAGAAAAAAAGUUAAUAUUCUUUUUCACACUUCUUUUUAUAUAACUAAGUAAUUUUUAUAUGAUAAAAAAAUAAUAUUCAGAUUUAAAUACAAUUAGAAAUACAUGAUACAACAACCUUUCCAAUUGAUGACAAUUAAAUUUAGUCUUUUUUCAUAUAUAAGAGAAUAUUAUUUUGUGAAUUGAAAAGUUGAUCAAAAUUAAAUAGCUAGAUUGGAAUGAGAUAAUCUUUUUUUUAUAUAGAUUUUUUUAAACUGAAAUGGUCUUUAAAGUACACCCUUUUCCUAUAAUUGAUUUAUUAAUCAAUUAUAUAUUUUUUCCUUGCUUGACUUAACUCGCAAUAAUUAUUGUCAAUGACGAACUUGAUAUGAAGGUAAUGGAGUGACCUAUGGUUAAAGUUGAAGAACUCAGACCAUAACAUGGCUGGACUUGGUGGAGUGCCCAAAGGUUCAAGAUCAACAAAUGGAAAACCUUGAGAUGGACUUGAUGGUGUGAGCUUUGGUUUAGAAGACAAAUUUUCUUUUACAUUAUUUUUAGUUUGAAUAUUGAAAAUUUGAUAAUUUAAUAUUAAUUAUGGAUUGGAAUAUCAUGAGAUAGAAGACUUGAUUUUUUCUUUUUUUAAAAAUAUUGGACUUUUACUGUUUUCGUAACAAAAGUUUAAUGAAAGGAUUGAUUAAAUAAUAGUUAAAAUUCAAAGUUUAAUGAUACCAAAUUUUCAUUUAAGCAGUUCUAAAGGGUAAAUUAAAAUAAAGUGAUUCUUAUUUAUUUUUGUAAAAAAAAAGCUGUACCAAAAAGAAUGUUAUUUAUUUUAGUAUUGAGCACAAGAAUUAAUCAUAUUUCAUUGUUAUUAAUUUUUUUUUUAUGAAUUUAGUGUACAUAGGAAUUUUAAAAAAAGAGAUAGAUACAGUAAAUGCAUAAUUUUUCGUAUUCUAAGAAUUAAUUCGGGAGAAUUGGAUAAUUAAGUCGAUAAUUUAAAAAAGCCAGCGUAAAAAAAGAAGUGAAUUAAAAUGUUAAAAAAAUAUUUUAGUAUUUGUCACAAUAAUAAAAAAACGUAAAAAAUAAUGAAAGUGAAAAAAAAAGGCUUAAAAUAUAAUUGUCGUCUUUUUUUAAUAUGUUAUUUUAGUUUUUUAUUUUUAAUUGAAAUAUUUUAUCUCUUAUUUUUAAAAAAUCUUGUAAUUUUAGUCUUUUUAUUUUUUAAUUGAGAUAUUUUUAAAAAAUAUGUCAUUUUAAUCCAUUUGAUCAAAUUCUUGUUUUUAAUUAGGAUAUUUUGUCCUUUAAAAGUUAUUUUGAAGAAACCAAGAAAUACAAUAAAUUUUAUUGAUUUUAAUAAAAUACUUAUUUCCUAUUCUAAGAAUUAAGUCGGAGAAUUGGAUAAUAAAGUCAAUAAUUAAAAAAAGGAAACGCCAAAAAAAAAAAAAAGAAAGACACUUGCAUCAGUAUAAAGGAAACCGUUCUAAGAAGUGAAUUAAAAUAUUAAAAAAAUAUUUUAGUAUUUGGCACAAUAAUAAAAAAGGUAAAAAAUAAUGAAAGUGAAGAAAAAAACAGGCAGGGCAGCAGUAUAAAUAAUAGAAGUUUGAUGAUUUAUAUGCAGAACCAACAACUACACUUGUUUUCUAUAUAUUCUUGUGUGAUCAUGAAUUCCUCCAUUUAUAUUCUUGUCUUUGUCCAGCUUUGGUUGUUCAGCUUACCAUGCAGAGAGAGUGUGUGCAUCCCAAGUGAGCGUGAGACACUUUUGAAGUUUAAGAAUAAUCUCAAUGAUUCUUCAAAUAGGCUUUGGUCUUGGAAUCAUAAUCAUACCAACUGUUGCCACUGGUAUGGAGUCCUCUGCCACAACGUCACUUCCCAUCUUCUUCAGCUUCACCUCAACACUUCUGAUUAUGCAAAUUGGGAAGCUUAUCGGAGAUGGAGCUUUGGUGGAGAGAUAAGUCCUUGUUUGGCUGAUUUAAAGCAUUUGAAUCACUUGAACUUGAGCGGCAAUUAUUUCCUUGGAGCAGGUAUGUCAAUUCCUUCUUUCCUUGGGACAAUGACUUCCUUGACUCACCUCGACCUCUCUCUUACUGGAUUCUAUGGGAAGAUUCCUCCUCAGAUUGGGAAUCUCUCCAAUUUGGUCUAUCUUGACCUCGGAAAUUAUUUUUCCGAACCUCUGUUUGCUGAAAAUGUAGAAUGGGUAUCAAGUAUGUGGAAGCUUGAAUAUCUUUAUUUGAGUUAUGCAAACCUAUCCAAAGCAUUUCAUUGGCUACACACUCUCCAAUCUCUUCCUUCUUUGACCCACCUAUCUUUGUCAGGAUGCACACUCCCUCACUAUAAUGAACCAUCCUUGCUCAACUUCUCAUCUCUGCAAACUCUCCAUCUUUCCUUCACUAGUUAUUCCCCUGCCAUUUCUUUUGUCCCCAAGUGGAUAUUCAAAUUGAAGAAACUUGUUUCUCUUCAAUUAUGGAGUAAUAAAUUCCAAGGUUCGAUUCCUUGUGGUAUCCGAAACCUCACACUUCUUCAAAAUCUUGACUUGUCUGGAAAUUCAUUCUCAUCUUCUAUACCUGAUUGCUUAUACGGUCUUCAUCGUCUCAAGUCUUUGGAAAUUCAUUCCAGCAACUUGCAUGGGACUAUUUCUGAUGCCCUGGGAAAUUUGACUUCUCUUGUUGAACUUGAUUUGUCAUACAAUCAACUUGAAGGAACCAUUCCAACUUCUUUGGGAAAUUUGACUUCUCUUGUUGCACUUUAUUUGAAAUAUAAUCAACUUGAAGGAACAAUUCCGACUUUUUUGGGAAAUCUCCGCAACUCAAGGGAGAUAGAUUUAACAAUUCUCAAUCUCUCUAUUAAUAAAUUCAGUGGAAAUCCAUUUGAAAGUCUUGGAUCACUCUCUAAAUUGUCAUCUCUUUGGAUUGAUGGCAAUAAUUUUCAAGGAGUUGUCAAGGAAGAUGAUCUUGCAAAUCUUACAAGCUUGACGGAUUUUGGUGCAUCGGGAAACAAUUUCACUUUAAAAGUGGGUCCCAAUUGGAUUCCUAAUUUUCAACUUACCUAUUUGGAAGUGACAUCAUGGCAGUUAGGUCCCAGCUUUCCAUUGUGGAUUCAGUCACAAAACCAACUUCAAUAUGUUGGACUAUCUAACACGGGGAUUUUAGAUUCUAUUCCCACUUGGUUCUGGGAAGCACAUUCUCAGGUUUUGUAUUUAAACCUCUCUCAUAAUCAUAUCCAUGGUGAGCUUGUGACUACAAUAAAAAAUCCAAUAUCUAUCCAAACUGUUGAUCUAAGCACAAAUCACUUAUGUGGUAAAUUACCCUAUCUUUCAAAUGAUGUGUAUGACUUAGACCUUUCAACCAAUUCAUUCUCUGAAUCCAUGCAAGAUUUUUUAUGUAACAAUCAGGACAAGCCAAUGCAAUUAGAAUUUCUCAAUCUUGCAUCAAAUAAUCUGUCAGGAGAAAUACCUGAUUGUUGGAUUAAUUGGCCAUUUCUAGUGGAAGUGAAUUUACAAAGCAACCAUUUUGUUGGGAACUUCCCCCCAUCCAUGGGUUCCUUGGCUGAGCUGCAGUCAUUAGAAAUUCGUAACAACUUGCUCUCGGGAAUAUUUCCUACCAGUUUGAAGAAGACUAGCCAAUUGAUAUCCUUGGAUCUAGGAGAAAAUAAUCUUUCAGGAUGUAUUCCAACAUGGGUUGGAGAAAAGCUCUCAAAUAUGAAAAUCCUCCGCCUUCGAUCAAACAGUUUUUCCGGUCACAUUCCAAAUGAAAUAUGUCAGAUGAGUCUUCUUCAGGUUUUAGACCUUGCAAAAAAUAGUUUGUCUGGCAAUAUACCCAGCUGUUUCCGUAACUUGAGUGCCAUGACACUAGUGAACCGGAGUACAUAUCCCCUUAUCUAUUCUCAAGCACCAAAUGAUACACGAUACUUUUCGGUAUCAGGUAUAGUUAGUGUGCUACUAUGGCUAAAAGGAAGAGGAGAUGAGUAUGGAAACAUUCUGGGUUUGGUAACAAGUAUUGAUCUGUCAAGUAACAAAUUAUUAGGAGAAAUUCCUAGAGAAAUCACAGAUCUAAAUGGAUUGAACUUUUUGAACUUGUCCCACAACCAAUUGAUUGGUCCUAUUCCAGAAGGUAUUGGUAAUAUGGGAUCGUUACAAACCAUUGAUUUUUCGAGGAAUCAAAUUUCUGGUGAAAUUCCUCCAACCAUUUCUAAUUUGAGCUUUCUGAGCAUGCUAGACGUGUCUUAUAAUCAUUUGAAGGGAAAAAUUCCAACAGGAACACAAUUGCAAACCUUUGAUGCCUCCAGCUUUAUUGGCAACAAUCUAUGUGGUCCACCACUGCCCAUAAACUGCAGCUCCAAUGGGAAAACUCAUAGUUAUGAAGGAAGUCAUGGGCAUGGAGUGAAUUGGUUUUUUGUUAGUGCGACAAUUGGAUUUGUUGUGGGACUUUGGAUAGUGAUUGCUCCUUUGCUGAUUUGUAGAUCAUGGCGGCAUGCCUAUUUUCAUUUCCUUGAUCAUGUGUGGUUCAAACUUCAAUCUUUUUACUCGUAUAGUAUCACUGUUUAGUGUUGCUUACAACCAAUGUUGUAUCAUUGUAUUGCCAGGUUGUUCAAUUUGCAUUGUAGUUAUUGCUAUCUUCUUUCUUUCUUUUUUUUUUUUUUAAAUUUGAUGUUUUGGGAUGUACAUAUUUGCAUAUUGAGCAUAUUUGUAGUUAAGAUCAACUAGUUGUUCAAUUCUGUGUAUCACAUUCUUGUUUCCAAAAAUGGGGGACUUCUUGUUUCCAAAAAUGGGGGACUAGUGGUUCAAGAAAACGUGGUUUAAUAGGAAAAAAACUUAUAUUUAAUUAGUUCUUUCGUGUUAAUUAAAGUCGUGACUCGUGGCUGCAUACAAGACUUGACUCUCCAAGCCGGCCAGGCCAAGAACUUUGAUGAGAUAUCCAUAGAUAACCAAUGAUGCUUGAGAACCAACACAAUUGUUGGAGUAAUAUUCUAAAUUACCCUAACUAUAAAAAGAGCAAAUAAUAGGUGUAACUUUUUAAGUAUUAUUCGUUUUGCUUUUUCAAGUUUUACUUUAUAUAAUAAUAAAAGUCAACUUUUAAAAUUAAUUAUCAAAUUGAAAUGUUAACUUUACUUAAAAAUUAACACAAAAAAUACUAAAGAAUUUAUCUUUAUAAAACAAUUUUUUUGAAGAGUCAAAAUGAAUUAAUAUUCAAGUGUUCCAGGAUCAGUAUUAAUUACAACCAAAACUAACGGAAUAUGAAACCUGAAACAGAAAAGUGAUAACAAAAUGGCAGGAAGUAUCUUGGCUAAUUUUUUUUUUGAUAAAUAUAUAAAUUUUUGGAAUUCAUUUUUGUAAAAAUUUAAUAAAUUUUUUAUCUUUACAAAAUUAAAAUGCAUUAUUAUUAUUUGGUGUAAAUGUAGAUUCACAUAAAUUAAAAUUAUGAAUUUUUAUAUUGAUUAUACAUAUAUAUAAUGAAUGUAAAUAUAUUAUUUUUAAAUCAGUUAUACAUAUAACUAAAUAUGUAAUAAAUAAUUUGGAAUGUUUAAAUCUUACUUCAAGAAAAAAAAAUAUAUUUUAAUUUUAUGAGAACGAAAAAUAUCUUAAAAUUUUAUCUAGAUAACUUUUCAAUAUUUUAAUAUUUAUAAGAUUAAAAAUAUAUUUUAACCUUAUAAAAAUUGAUAGUAAUCAUAAUUUUAAAAAAUUAACGUAUUAUACAAAAUGUUGAGCUAAAGAUCAAUUAAGGGUAUUUUUGAAUGGUCAUGGCCCAAGCAUUCUUUGACAUGGUCACUGCCCAUGAAAGCUACCGAUAUCGCAUCAACAUUUACUCACUUCUUCCAUUAAAAGGAACUGGAGGCUGAAAGUCGUAAUCUUCAUUUUUAUACUUUUUAGAUUAUACAAAGUUGGAAAUAUUAAAACAUUAUGUGGUGGGCGAAUUAGUGAACAAAAAUUAUAAGAUCUGCACAGCUUAUUCUAAUUUAAUUCUAAUUAAGAAAUUAAUUAUUUUCCAUUUUACUCCCUUUAUGACAAAUUUAAUUUUUACUUAUAAGCCGGUCUCUGAUAAACCUUGUACCAUAUUUUAAAGCAAACCGUAACACAUCAUAAAACUUAGUGAUAUAAUUUUAGAUGUCUUUGUGUGUGUGAGAUGUAUUGUUAAUAUUUAUAGCAUCCUUCCUCAUAAAAUUUAGGGAUAUAAAAUAAUUUGAUUUGCCUUUUAUGUGUGUGUGCGUGAUGUAAUGUUAAUGUUUACGACCAAGCUAAAAGUACAACAAAAAUAAUUUUUAUCUGAAGGUUUUCUUGUAAUAAAUAUAAUGGCCGGGUGAAAUUAGCCAUAAUCAAAUUCUAAUUUUUUUAUUUCCUUUUUAUAUACAGUGCCAUAUAUAACAGGAAACUGAAUUUGUCCGUUUUCACACUAGACUAACAGCGCCAAGAAUGAGAAUGAACAUAAUUUUCAGCAACUUUGAUCUGUAGACUCUAGGUUAGUAUUAAAAACAUAAAACAAAAUAUUAUUGUAAACAUAAAGAUGAAAAUUAUUGAGUCUAACCUUUUUUAUGAAAAGAGGAGAGUAUAAGGGAGGAAAGGAAGAACCAAUAGAAAAAUCAAUUUUUGAUUCAAAACGUCCUUAAUUGCCCCUGUAGCUCAAUGGUACGUAGAGACUUCAGUCUUGCAAACUGAAGGUCUGUAGUUGCACACUAUGGGGGCAUCCAAUAUUAUUAAUUUUUUUUUUCACUUGAUUAUGAAAAAUGAAUAAAGUACGAACUGAUUAGAUAUUUUUUUCCAACUUAUUUUCAGAGCAUAGUAAAUAAUCAAAUUCUAAUUUUUUUAUUUCCUUUUUAUAUACAGUGCCAUAUAUAACAGGAAACUGAAUUUGUCCGUUUUCACACUAGACUAACAGCGCCAAGAAUGAGAAUGAACAUAAUUUUCAGCAACUUUGAUCUGUAGACUCUAGGUUAGUAUUAAAAACAUAAAACAAAAUAUUAUUGUAAACAACAACAACAACAACGCCUUAUCCCACUAGGUGGGAUCGGCUACAUGGAUCAACUUCCGCCAUAAUGUUCUAUCAAGUACCAUACUUCUAUCCAAAUCAUUAAGUUCGAGAUCCUUUUUUAUCACCUCUCUUAUAGUCUUUUUGGGUCUUCCUCUGCCUCGAAUUGUUUGUCUACUCUCCAUCUGGUCUACUCUCCUCACUACAGAGUCUACCGGUCUUCUCUCUACAUGCCCAAACCACCUAAGUCUAUUUUCCACCAUCUUCUCUACAAUAGGCGCUACUUCAACCCUCUCUCUAAUAGCUUCGUUUCUAAUUUUAUCCUGUCGAGUCUUACCACACAUCUACCGCAACAUUCUCAUCUCCACUACACCUACUUUAUUCUCAUGUUGACUCUUGACCGCCCAACAUUCUGUUCCGUACAUAAAGAUGAAAAUUAUUGACUCUAACCUUUUUUAUGAAAAGAGGAGAGUAUAAGGGAGGAAAGGAAGAACCAAUAGAAAAAUCAAUUUUUGAUUCAAAACGUCCUUAAUUGCCCCUGUAGCUCAAUGGUACGUAGAGACUUCAGUCUUGCAAACUGAAGGUCUGUAGUUGCACACUAUGGGGGCAUCCAAUAUUAUUAAUUUUUUUUUCACUUGAUUAUGAAAAAUGAAUAAAGUACGAACUGAUUAGAUAUUUUUUUCCAACUUAUUUUCAGAGCAUAGUAAAUAAUUUUUUUUUAGAAUGUAAGUUGAUAAAAUUAUAUAUGAUAGAAAUAUGACACUCUUACAACAAUUCAUAUAAUUCAGUCAACGUCAAUUUAUUUAUCUAUUUCUAACCAUCAUAUCAUUUAUUAUACUUUAUUUGUAACCAAAGAUCUGGUUUAAAUAAUAGUUAAAAUUUGAAGACUAAUUAAGUUAAAUUUAAUUACCUUUGAUAUAAACUACUCAAAGUUUUAAAAAAAUUCUUAAUAUUUUCUUAAAAUAAAACUUUCAUUUGAUUUAAGCAAUUCUAUACGGUAAACUAAAAGAAAAAAGUUUCCUAUUUUAGUAUUUGGCACAAGAAUAAAUUAUAUUUCUUUGUAGAUUGUUUAAGUUAUCGUAUGAAUUUAUUUUUGAGAAUAUUAUAUUGAACGUGAGUAUUUUAUGAUUGUUUAAAUUUGGCACUUGCAAUUAUUUAAAAAGUAAAAUGGAAAUAAAAAUUAUGUUUCUUCUCUUAUUUAAGUUGAUAAAUUGUAAAAAAUACAAAAUAUGAUACUGAUUUUUUUGAGAAAAAAAGUUAAUAUUCUUUUUCACACUUUUUUUAUAUAACUAAUUAAUUUUUAUAUGAUAAAAAAAAUAAUAUUCAGGUUCGAAUACAAUUAGAAAUAUAUAAUACAACAACCUUUCCAAUUGAUGACAAUUAAAUCUAAUCUUUUUCUCAUAUAUAAGAGAAUAUUAUUUUGUGAAUUGAAAAAUUGAUCAAAAUUAAAUAGGUAGCUUGGAAUGAAAUAAUCCUUUUUUUAUAGAUUUUUUAACCGAAAUAGUCUUUAAAAUACACCCUUUUCCUAUAAUUGAUUUAUUCAUCAAUUAUAUUUUUAUUUUUCUUGCUUGACUUAACUCGCAACAUUUAUUGUCAAUGAGAGGGAACUUGAUAGAAAGGUAAUGCAGUGACCUAUGAUUAAAGUUGAAGAAGUCAGACCAUAACAUGGCUGGACUUUGUGGAGUGUUCAAAGGUUCAAGAUGAACAAAUGGAAAACCUUGAGAUGGACUUGAUGGUGUGGGCUAUGGUUUAGAAGACAAUUUUCUUUUACAUUAUUUUUAGUUUGAAUAUUGAAAAUUUGAUAAUUUAAUAUUAAUUAUAGGUUGGGAUAUGAUGAAAUAGAAGACUUAAUUUUUUUUAAAAAAAAAAUGUUGGACUUUUGUACGUAACAAAAGUUUGAAGUUUAAUGAUACCAAAUUUUCAUUUAAUCAGUUCUAUAGGGUAAAUUAAAAUAAAAUAAUUCUUAUUUAUUUUUGAAAAAAAAACUAUACCAAAAAGAAUGUUUCUUAUUUUAGUAUUCAGCACAAGAAUAAAUCAUAUUUUAAAAAAAAAUAUUUUAGUAUUUGACACAAUAAUAAAAAAGGUAAAAAAUAAUGAAAGUGAAGAAAAAAAAAACAGGCAGGUUAGCAGUAUAAAUAAUAGAAGUUUGAUGAUUUAUAUGCAGAAGCAAGAAGUAGACUUGUUUUGUAUAUAUUCUUGUGUUGCAUGACACAUCAUGAAUUCCUCCAUUAUUUAUAUUCUUGUCUUUGUCCAGCUUUGGUUGUUUAGGUUACCAUGCAGAGAGAGUGUGUGCAUCCCAAGUGAGCGUGAGACACUUUUGAAGUUUAAGAAUAAUCUGAAUGAUCCUUCAAAUAGGCUUUGGUCUUGGAAUCAUAAUCAUACCAACUGUUGCCACUGGUAUGGAGUCCUCUGCCACAACGUCACUUCCCAUCUUCUUCAGCUUCACCUCAACUCUUCACCUUCUACUGCUUUCUAUCGUUACUAUGAUGGCUACGAUUGGGAAGGUUAUAGGGGAUUCCAGUUUGGUGGAGAGAUAAGUCCUUGUUUGGCUGAUUUAAAGCAUUUGAAUUACUUGGACUUGAGCGCCAAUGAUUUUGAAGGUAUGGCAAUUCCUUCUUUCCUUGGGACAAUGACUUCCUUGACUCACCUCGACCUCUCGUAUACUGGAUUCAUCUGGAAGAUUCCAUUUCAGAUUGGGAAUCUCUCCAAUUUGGUCUAUCUUGACCUUGGAAGUGAUUUUUUGGAGCCUCUGUUUGCUGAAAAUUUAGAAUGGGUAUCAAGUAUGUGGAAGCUUGAAUAUCUUCAUUUGAGAAAUGCAAACCUAUCCAAAGCAUUUCAUUGGCUACACACUCUCCAAUCUCUUCCUUCUUUGACCCACCUAUAUUUGUCAUACUGUACGCUCCCUCACUAUAAUGAACCAUCCUUGCUCAACUUCUCAUCUCUGCAAACUCUCCAUCUUUCCGCUACUAUUUAUUCCCCUGCCAUUUCUUUUGUCCCCAAGUGGAUAUUCAAAUUGAAGAAACUUGUUUCUCUUCAAUUUAGGGGUAAUGAAUUCCCAGGUCCGAUUCUUGGUGGUAUUCGAAACCUCACACUUCUUCAAAAUCUUGACUUGUUUAAAAAUUCAUUCUCAUCUUCUAUACCCGAUUGCUUAUACGGUCUUCAUCAUCUCAAGUUCCUGAACCUAAUGGCCAGCAACUUGCAUGGGACUAUUUCUGAUGCCCUGGGAAAUUUGACUUCUCUUGUUAGACUUGAUUUGUCAUAUAAUCAACUUCAAGGAACCAUUCCAACUUCUUUGGGUAAUCUAUGCAACUUAAGGGACAUUAAUUUCUCAAAUCUCAAACUUAACCAACAGGUUAAUGAACUUUUAGAAAUUCUAGCUCCUUGUAUUUCCCAUGGACUCACAAAUCUUGCAGUUGAGAGUUCAUGACUUUCAGGCAAUCUGACAGAUCAUAUUGGGGCAUUUAAAAAUAUUGACAUGCUACAUUUUUACGACAACUCAAUUGGUGGUGCUCUUCCUAGAUCAUUUGGAAAACUUUCAUCAUUAAGAUAUCUUGAUUUGUCCACUAACAAAUUCAGUGGAAAUCCAUUUCAAAGUCUUGGAUCACUAAAUUGUCAUUUCUUCUUAUUGAUGGCAAUAAUUUUCAAGGAGUUGUCAACGAAGAUGAUCUUGCAAAUCUUACAAGCUUGAGGGGAAUUGAUGCAUCAGGAAACAAUUUCACUUUAAAAGUGGGUCCCAAUUGGCUUCCUAAUUUUCAGCUUUCCUAUUUGGAUGUGAGAUCAUGGAAGUUAGGUCCCAGUUUUCCAUCGUGGAUUCUGUCACAAAACAAACUUCUAUAUUUAGACAUGUCUAACACAGGGAUUAUUGAUUCUAUUCCCACACAGAUGUGGGAAGCACUUUCUCAGGAUUUGUAUUUAAACCUCUCUCAUAAUCAUAUCCAUGGUGAGAUUGGGACUACAUUAAAGAAUCCAAUAUCUAUCGACAAUACUGAUCUAAGCUCAAAUCACUUGUGUGGUAAAUUACCCUAUCUUUCAAGUGAUGUGUGUCGGUUAGAUCUUUCAAGCAAUUCAUUCUCUGAAUCCAUGCAUGACUAUUUAUGUAACAAUCAGGACAAGCCAAUGCGAUUAGAAUUUCUGAAUCUUGCAUCGAAUAAUUUGUCAGGAGAGAUACCUGAUUGCUGGAUGAAUUGGACAUUUCUUGUGGAUGUAAAUUUACAAAGCAACCAUUUUGUUGGGAACUUACCCCAAUCCAUGGGUUCCUUGGCAGAGCUGCAGGCUUUACAAAUUAGUAACAACACACUCUCAGGAAUAUAUCCAACCAGUUUGAAGAAGAAUAACCAAUGGAUAUCCUUGGACCUUGGGGAAAAUUAUCUUUCAGGAACUAUUCCAUCAUGGGUUGGAGAAAAGCUCUUAAAUGUGAAAAUCCUCCGGCUUCGAUCAAACAGUUUUGCCGGCCACAUUCCAAAUGAAAUAUGUCAGAUGAGUCUUCUUCAGGUUUUAGACCUUGCACAAAACAAUUUGUCUGGCAAUAUUCUGAGCUGUUUCAGUAACUUGAGUGCCAUGACACUAAAGAACCAAAGUACAGGUCCUCGUAUCUAUUCUCUAGCACCUUUUAGUUCAAGUUAUACUUCCAGAUAUAGUAUAGUUAAUUAGUGUGCUACUAUGGCUGAAAGGAAGAGGAGAUGAGUACAAAAACUUUCUGGGUUUGGUAACAAACAUUGAUCUGUCAAGUAACAGGUUAUUAGGGGAAAUACCAAGAGAAAUCACAGAUCUAAGUGGAUUGAAUUUUUUAAACUUGUCCCACAACCAAUUGAUUGGUCCUAUUCCAGAAGGUAUUGGUAAUAUGGGAUCGUUACAGUGUAUUGAUUUUUCGAGGAAUCAACUUUCUGGUGAAAUCCCUCCAACCAUUUCACAUUUGAGCUUUCUAAGCAUGCUGGACUUGUCUUAUAAUCAUUUGAAAGGAAAAAUUCCAACAGGAACUCAAUUGCAAACCUUUGAAGCCUUCAACUUUAUUGGCAACAAUCUAUGUGGUCCACCACUGCCCAUAAAUUGCAGCUCCAAUGGGAAAACUCACAGUUAUGAAGGAAGUGAUGAGCAUGAAGUCAAUUGGUUUUUUGUCGGUGCAACAAUUGGAUUUGUUGUGGGAUUCUGGAUGGUGAUUGCUCCUUUGCUGAUUUGUAGAUCAUGGCGGUAUGCCUAUUUUCAUCUGCUUGAUCAUGUGUGGUUCAAACUUCAAUCUUUUUACUCAUGUAGUAUCAGAGUUUAGUGUUGCUUAGAAUACACCGAUGUUGUAUCAUUGUAUUGGCAGGUUGUGAUCAAUUUGUAGUCAUUGCUAUCUUCUUUUUUCAGAUUUUAGAGCCUUAUGUAAAUUCUGUUUUGGGACGUAAAGAUUUUCAUAUUGAGCAUAAUAUCGCAGAUGAAUUCUUGUUAAUUUUGUAAUUUAGAUCAACUAGAUGUAAUUCUAUGAUAAAAACAUUUGCUAAAUCCCGUAGAUUAAAAUUCAAAUAGUUAGUAAGUACUGUUGGUUAAAACCAAGUUUUGAAAUCACAUGUUAGGUAAGUUGCUUAAGUUAAUAUUGAAUGAGUUUUUUGAAACUUUAAGAAAAGUAACUUUAAAAUAAAUGUUUUUUAUAUAAGUGUUUUUUUAAGAAAUAGAUAAGAUUCGUUUCUUAAAAAAAGUAAAAAUAAUUUAGACAAACAUACCAAAAAAAAGUUACUUAUUUUAUUAAAAUAAUUAACCAUUUAUUUCAAUAAAUAAGUUUAAACAAAUUGAUGUAUUAUAUUCGCUUGAAAUCAGAUUUCAAAUAUUCAUUUGUUGUUGAGUAUUACAUCCAUUUCUAUCCAAUUAUUUGGGCUUAUAACACAUUCCUAGUAUUGGCUGCCUUUGGAGCACAAUUGAGACUUUUCUAGAGUUUCUAUUGAACAUGAUUCAGAAAGUACGCCCUUAGAGCCUUAGAAGCAAACAAAAUUUUAUGAUCAAAGUAAGCAAACCACAUGACCACAAAAUAAAUGUUUACUUCUACUAGUCAGCAUGUCUUGGAUCACAUUUUGAGCUAGCUAGUAAUCAAAUAUAUAUAUAUAUAUAUAUAUAUAUAUAUAUAUAUAUAUAUAUAUAUAUAUAUAUUCUGCAAUGUCAAUUUUUUUUUUGAACCUAUUUUUUAGUUCAACAAUUGAGGUACGACAAUUUAAAUAAUAAAUUCUUCAGCUUGUUUGUAAGCUUAAGGACAUUGAUAAUAGAAUUUCAGAAGUUUUCUCGUCUUCAUUUUAGUUCAUACCCACGUUAUUCUCUUUUCUGCAUUUAAUUUGCUUGCUGUCAAAGACUUGGCAACUUGUCAUUGUUUAAACAUUUGUUGCAUUGUUAACAUAGAUGUAUCCUAACUUGGUAAAUGUUUGUCUUAACUUACAAAUUCUUUCACAAAAAUACCUCUGAAACUUAUUCUAUUUUUUCAUAAUUAAUUUCUUAUUUCGGAAACUGCAAUACAAAUGUUUGCUGAGUAGUCAAACUACACCUUAAGUACUGUUGGGGUUUGAUCAGAACCUAGGAUCAUAGGUCGUAACACAAAUUUUAGGUUCUUAAUCAAUGUGCCGUAUAAAAAAAAAAAAUUCUAUCUUAUUUAAUAGUACUAUCUGAAAGAGGUUGUCAAUUUCUCUGUAUAUUUAAUCUUAUCCAAUUUACAGAAUAAAACACUCAUAUAUGGAAGUUUUUUGAGGAACUGCACCUCCCAAGCCAUAAGCCAUAAGCCAUAAUUCUCUCACAAUUGACAAGAUAAUCCUUUCACUCCAUCUCUCCUCUUAUUUAUAAGCAAUCUGCCAUACUUCUUCUCUACCUAAGCUCAACAAACAGGUAUCAACAAUUAACAAACUAACGAACUGACUAACUCUAAAUACUAACAGAUAUUCUUUUAAAACGUAUUAGAUGGAAUGUUACUAAUGCCUUUUAAUUAUGAGUAAUUAUCCAAUAAAUGAGUUAACUUAAAAUGGAAUAUUCUUAACACACUUUUUAAACGGUCAAAGAACAAUCAUUUAGGUAGUAUAGAAAGAGUUGGUGAGGGAUAAUUGUAGAGCAUAAUUGAGGAGGUGAUGACACAUAAGCAAAUAGUGUGGUGUGGCAAUAUAUACUUGACAUGGCAGCCACGCAGCAUAUUGUCUUGUAGCUUAAUAUUUAUAUAUUAUAAAUAGAUAGAUAGUGUAUGCAUCAAAGGUUGCUAGCAUGACAUAGUUGGUGUAGUGACAACUGACAGAGUUGGGAAGCAAAGUACAAAAGUUCAAUGUUGAGAAUUAUUGUCCACAAAUCUGCGCUCACAUGCAUCUGGUGUCAAAUACAAAGAUGACUCAACGGUACGCGUUGAAAUGUUGAAUGCUCCUUCCGAAAGUGAUCUUUAAAAAACUUAAAAUCUCAUAAACUUUUUCGAUCUCCUGUGUUCUGUCCUUUGGAAUUUCAAAAUUAGGAGGUGAAAGGACGAAAUCUGCUGUGUGUGUGAAAGUUGUUGUCAUUUCAUAACUUGUUAUGCCGAAAUUGAAAUUAUGAUAAGAUGAAUUGGAAAGAAAACAUUGAUCCACUGGAAUGUGAAAGGAAUUUAAAAAGUCCACAGGAAUUAGAAAAAAAAAUUGUAGAAGAUGUGGCCGUACAAGAGGACUUGAUCAUAAAAAAACUCAAGUAAGGGUCAUUCAACUGAGAAGAAAAAAUAAAGCGGUUGCUAAAAGAUAAAGUCAUGAAGUUACAAGCCUAAAACAAGAAAGUCAUGGUAUAAUUAAUAGAAUCAUUUGGUUACUUAGAGACCAAGUUGUUCUUGGAUUAUAAAAGAAACUCGUUACCCUCAAAGAGGGGGACGAAUAAAGAAGGAAAAUUCAGUGAAGGGGCAUGUAUUUGUUUUAUUCCAUUUUUCUGUUGUUAGAAAGUGAUGAAUUAUUUUCCUUGUAGUAUAAAAAUUCCGAGUUUAUGUUCUUUCUUAAUUUAUAUUGCUUGUUUUUAAAUAAAAAUAAUUUAAUUUUAACUCAUUCAAUUGUUUGUGACAUUAAAAGAGUAGCACUCCUACUUUUUGAUGUUGCUUAAUCAUAAAAUUUAAUUGAAUAAUCAUUAAUUUGUUAUCUUAAAAGUUCAUAGUUUUUAUUUAUAAAAAAUUGAUUCAAGUAUCAAUCAAUAACAUUACAAAUAACAAUUCUAUCUUCAAUAUUAUUGGAUUGUGAGGGUCUAAUGAAUAAUCAUUUUGCUAGCUUAAAUCCUUGUGCUACAUUUUUUCUUUUGAUAAAAAAUUAAAAAAAAAAUUCUUUAAAAAAAAUCAAAUGUGCUCUUUUUAAAAUAAAUGAAAAGAAUGUUUUGGUGUAAAAUAAAUAUAUAUAAAAUUAUAAAGAUUUUGUGCAUUUAAAUAUAGGUUCCAUUUUUUUAAUGGACACUUUAGGGUGUCAAGACCUUUCCUAAUCCACUCCCCAACCUAUUUUUUGUUCAAAGACCAUUAUUUUUUGAGGAUUUUUCAAUGUUUACGUGUGUAUUCUGGUCACGUAAACUUUUGCUUCCUAUUCUUUAGGCUUGUCAAAUAGAUAGAUUAAAUAAUUUUUUUAUUAGAUUACAGUGGAUGGAUUAUUAAAAGCAAUCCGUUAAUCAUUUAUGAUCUAUUAAAAAGUCGGAUAGUAAUUAUUUUGUUUAUCUUUUAAUUAGAAUACCAUUCUGUUAGACAAUCAGUUAAUCAAUUUAGGAUCUAUUGAGAAUACUAUAUAUUUCUGUCAACAGUUCAUAAGAAAAAAUGAUGCAGGUUUAUCUUUUAUCCUUUCCAUUAUAUUAGUUUAUCUUUUAGAAUAAUUUAUCGUUUAGUUUAUUUAUUUUUAGAUUAAUUUAUCUUUUAGUUUACUUUUUAUUCGUGAACACACAUAUUCAAAUAAAUAAAUAAUAAACUAUUCAACCUAUUCUUUAAAAAGAUAUUAUAAAAGGUAAAAAAUAAACUAAGAGAUUAAUCAUCGAUUAUAUAUCCGUUGAAUGAAAUUCAUCCAAUUCAUCUUAUUUAUAAGCCUUUCCCUUUACUUGGUCAUCCUCAUAACUCACAAGCCACGAUGGUAUUCAUCUUUCCCUUCCUUUAAUUAUGCGAUUCAUUACAAUGCAAAGUAUUUCUAGCUUUUCAUUUUCUGAUACUGCUAUAUAUUGAUAACGGGAUAUUGGAAACGAUUUUUGUUUUGGUUUUUCACCCAUGAUAUUACAUUAUUAAUGCUGUGCAUGAUUCAUAUUUUAAGGACAACACAAAAUGAUAGAGUAAACAUAAAAGUCAUUUCUUGUUGGGUUACAAAUGGGUUGGGGUUGUAUAUGUGUUUCUCUCAUAUCCUUCAGAAUUCUUGUAGUUAUUCCUAACAACAAUUAAAUUUUAUUCUUCUUUUUAGACAACUAUCUCUACUUUUUUGGAACAAAAAAUUGCAUGCAAAGUUAUUGAUAUCAGUAUUAUCUAAAAUAAAAAAAUUGAAGCAUUUGUACGUCUAACGUUUUUGUGGACAGGCACCAGGAAAAGGAAAAGAAACAUAGGGGGAAUUGGUGGUGAGGAGACAGAGGCAAAUUAUAAGAAAUGCAAAAGAUGAUAGGGACAGGAUCAGUGAGUUACCUAUUCACGUUUUCCUCAGAAUAAUAUUGGAAUUUAUGAACACAAAAGAUGUUGUUCGGCUUUGUGCUUUGUCUAAAAGUUGGAAGGAUUUUUGGAAACGUUUAACUACUCUCUCAGUUUUGAUUCUUGGGACUCAAGUAUUUUCAAUUGCCACAAGUUUGUGUUCGAGGUUUUGUCUGGUCGAGAUGGUUAAUUCCAUUCCUCUACUUAAUCUUGAGAUCAUUCUCCGCACCGACCUCGAACAACUAGAUGAUAUAUAUCCUGAAAUAUGGCGUGUCUCACAACAUCCAGCAAUUGAAAAUCUUUCUUUUUGUGAACCAUAGAUUCCAUUUGGUGUUUCCCUCUUCUAUUUUUUCUGUCCAACUAUGACAUCUCUUCGCUUUUCCCCUUCCUGAAAAUAUGCUGUGUUAAAGUCCUUUGGAUUAAUAAUUCUAACCCGGAUCUUGCUUACCCUAUUGAUGGUUACAAAAUUGUGUUUUCAACUCCGAGUCUUGGUUUUCUCAUUAUCAACAAUGUUCAUCAUGGUCACCAACUUCCCUCCACGUGUAAUCUUUCAUCUCUUGAAGUAGAUAUUAAUGUCAGUGUUUCGCCAUGUUCUCCAUUCUUUAAAAGUUUGUUCCAAGUGCUUGCUAAUGUUAACAAAUUGACACUUUCUUGGAGGACCCUAGGAUGAUGCUAUUUUUAAUUUUUACUUUGUAUGUUUUGUCUUUUUCGGUAUGUGUUUGAAAGUAUUUUUUUUCUCUACGAUUUUAAACUUAUUAUCUAUUCUAAUAAAGUGCUGAAAGUUAUAUUCCUAUUUCUUGCUUAAAUAAUUUAGUAAAUAUUUCUUUUAUUUCCCUUUCUUUCUGAUGCUCUCUUGAAAGAAACUAUAGGAUGUUAUAUAUAUUGUGGGGAGUGAAAAACACAAACUUUUCUUAUAUAUUCUUUUGAACGUUUACUUAAAAUUCUUAAGGUGAAGAUUUUUUAAAAUUGUUUAGUUUUUUAUUUCAUUUUAUUAUUAACUUAUUCCUUUUUUUUUUCGGUCCAAGAUUAACGUAUUCCCUUAUGCUCUCUUACAUUAGAUUAUAGAUUGUUACACUGUGAGUGCUCUGUUUGCUCUGUUUGUUAUAUAUGUUGUUUUUAAUUGACUUUUACGUAAGAUUAAAGUUUUUAAUUAUAAGAAACUAUUAGAGUGAAGCAGGGGAACAAAAAUCUUGCAUUGAUAUUAAGAAAUACAUUCUUUGGUGAUGCAGAAACAAUGUUGUGCCAUUUGCAGAGCAUUAUUUGAGAAAAUAGUAUCAAAUAACGACAUAAUCAAUUGGUGUCGUUUGUGUGUGUAAAAUAGAAAAGCAAGUAGCAUAGCAAGAGCAGGAGUUUGAAUAAGAAAUAAAUGUUGAGCAUGUUAAAUCAACAAAACAAAAUUGCAAAUAAUGAUUUAAGAAUAUGGCUGAAAACAAGGAUGUGAUCCAACACUAAGGUAGAAAAUAAAAGCAUAUCAGUCAAAUGGCAAGCCAGGACAGAAAAAUAUUUAUUUAGUACUUUGUAUAGACUAAUAGUGAUUAGGAAGGGAAGGUGGAAUCUGGGUUUGUGGAGUAGGUCUAAAUUCCUAAUAAUUUGCAUAUAAUAUUUCCGUUAUGUAUUUUUAAUAUUUUUUAACAUGUUUGUAAUCUUUUGUUUAUUGCAAUCAAUUACUUAUCUCAUUUUAUGCACAUGUAAGUAGUAAAUUUAUAAAAUAUUUUUGUCAAUUUUAUAAGUUAGUUGUUUUGAAGGAAAAUGAACAUUGGGGAAGUUGAAGUUUCCUUGCUGAGCUGUAGUCUUAACAAAUUCCUAACAACAAACCUACAGGAAUAUUUUCCUACCAGUUUGACGUAGAAUAACCAAUUGAUAUCCUUGGACCUUGGGAAAAAUAAUCUUUGAGUAACUAUUCCAACGUAAUGGAGUGACCUGUGGUUCAAGUUGAAGAAGUCAGACUUUAACAUGGCUAGAAUUUGUGGAUUGUCCAAAGGUUCAAGAUGAAAAAACGGAGCACCUUGAGAUGGACUUGAUGGAGUGGGCUAUGGGUUGGGAUAUCAUGAACUAGUACACUUGAUUUUUUUUUUUAAAUGUUGGACUUUUAUUGUUUACAUAACAAAAAUUUAAUGAAAGGAUUGAUUAUAAUAGUUAAAAUUUUGAAUUUUAAUGACACCAAAUUUUCAUUUUAAACAGUUCUAUAGGAUAAAUUAAAAUAUAAUGAUUCUUUUUUUAAAAAAAAAUACUGUACCAAAAAGAAUGUCUCUUAUUUUAGUAUUCAGUCCAAGAAUAAAUCAUAUAUAUUUCUUUGUUAUUAAUUUUGAAUUUUAUUUUAUGAAUUUUGUGUAUAUAUGAAUUUUAAAAAGGGAGAUAGAUAAAGUAAAUUCAAAAUUAUUUCCUAUUCUAAGAAUUAAUUAAGUCGGGAGAAUUGGAUAAUAAAGUCAAUAAUUAAAAAAAGGCAACUAAAAAAAAAGAAGAAGAAAGAAGCACUUAUACAAUUAAGCUUAAUAUGCAGAAGCAAGAAGCACUUAUACAAUUAACUUGUUUCAUAUAUGCGUUGCAUGAUCAUGAAUUCCUCCACCAUUUAUGCGUUGCAUGCUUGAAUCUCUCUUGAAAUGAGAUUUCAAAUAUUCACUUGUUGUUGGGUAAUGAAAUCCAAGGUCCGAUUCCCUGGUGGUAUUCCAAACCUCACUUUUUCAAAAUCUUAACUUGUCCAAAAGUUCAUUCUAAUAUUCUAUACCUGAUUGGUUAUACGGUCUUCGUCGUCUCAAGUAUCUGGACCUAAGGUACAGCAACUUGCAUAGGACUAUUUCUUAUGUUCUAGGAAAUUUUUCUCUUGUUGAACUUGAUUUAUCAAUCAAUCAAUCAACCUGAAGCAACCAUUCGAACUUCUUUGGGUAAUCUAUGUAACUUAAGGGAGAUUGAUUUCUCAUAUCUCAAACUCAACAACCAGAUUAAUGAUAUUUUAGAAAUUCUAGCUCCUUGUACUUCCCAUGGACUCACAACACUUUCAGGAAAUUUGACGGUUUGUUACCGUUCAGGGGCUAAUCUUUUCCAUUUUUUACCAUAUGGAAGUAUUUUUUAAAUUAUUUUCCAAAAGAAGAUAAGUUGUAUCAGUUGUUACUGAGUUAGAAGUCGUGAUAUCGAUUAUGACUUAUUAUUUUUUUCUUUUUUAACGAAAAUCAUAAAAUUAUUUAUGACUUUAAUGUCAUUUUUUUAUCUAUAACUUUAAAGUUAUUUUUUUAAAAAAAAAAUUUAUGAAUUCAAAGUUGUAAGUGUGACACCCUCUACCCAGACAUAUAUAUGAAUAAAUAAAAUAUAUAAAAAUAUCGAUAAUCAUAUUCACACGGAUAAAAGAUUCACAUUAGCUUCACUGUUAUCAAUUAAAACUUAUUAAAACAUAUUCGGCUCAAAAUAAGGCCGUCAAAAUUUACAAAAAUAUUUUGUUAAACCAGUGAGAUAAAAUAAAGUAGACUAACAUAAUGCAAUUAAUAUAAAACUUAUGUCUCACAGUCACAUCCUAUCAGUGCAUUGUGUCCCGACGUUCUUCAGCACAAGGUUUCUUAAAUCACUUCACCUAGUCAUGUGCUUCCCCGAAUACAAGGUUCAAGAUCAUCACAGGAUCCAAACACAAACAACACACAGGGAGUGAUUUAUCACAUUCCUAACUAAUAGAGAAAAAUAAAACAACAUAUAGGUAUAAAUAUUAUAUAACAAAAUACAAUUUACUUGAGCAUAACUCACAUUAUUUCACCACACGUCUCAUUCGUUUUCACAACAUUUGCAUAUUCAAUAGUCAAAACACAAUAUCAUCAAAUCAAUCAAUAUAGAACAAUACACAAGCGUUAUGCAGCAGAUACACUAAGACUCAAUCUUAUAUACAAUGUAGUACCAUGUCAGUGAAAAAUCUCGUCGCCCUUAAAGGGUCUUAACAUUAACUCAUCGCCCUUAAAGGCUCUUAACAUUAACUCAUUGUCCUUAAAGGGUCUUAUAGUCGUGUGAUUGUACAAUCUACAGUUUACAACUCAAAUGCACACAACAUCUCAAUCAUGUGCAUACUGAGUUUAUCACAUACACUCGAUCUCAAUUAUAAUGUUAUAAUAUCAAAAUAGCAUGUUGUCACACCUCAUGAAUCAUAUUCACUUUACCUAUGAACUAUGCAAUACUUGACAUGGACUAUGUGAAGUGUCCUAAGGUUCAAGAUGAAAAAAUGGAGAACCUUGACAUGGACUUCAUGGAGUAGUCUAUGGUUCAAGUUGGAAAAGUGGGGACCUUGAUAUGGAUUUGGUGGAGUGGCCAGCCGUUUGUCUAGGAGAAAAUUUUGUUUUUCAUUUCUUUUAUUUUGAAUGAUAAAAAAUUGAUAGUUUAAAAUUAAUUAUGGGUUCAAAUUGCAAGUAAUAGAAUAUUUGAAUUUUAUAAUGCAAGACUUUUUCUUAUUUACUUAACACAGGUGUAACAAAAGGAUUUGAUGUAAGCUACUCAAAUAUUAAAAGAAUUAUUAAUAUUUUCGUAAGAUAAAUUUUUCAUUGAUUUAAGAAAUUAUAUAUGGUAAACUAAAAUAAAAAAUAUUCAUUAUUUUAGUAUUUGGCAAAAGAAUAAAUUAUAUUUCUUUGUAGAUUGUUUAAGUUAUUGUAUGAAUUUGUUUUUUUUUUUAGAAUAUUAAAUUGAACAUGAGUAUUUUUAUGAUUGUUUAAAUUUGGCACUUGCAAUUAUUUAAAAAGUAAAAUGGAAAUUAAAAUUAUGUUUCUCCUCUUAUUUACAUUGAUAUCUUGUAAAAAAUACAAAAUACGAUACUGGUUUUUUUGAGAAAAAAAGUUAAUAUUCUUUUUCACACUUCUUUUUAUAUAACUAAUUAAUUUUUAUAUGAUAAAGAAAAUAAUAUUCAGGUUUGAAUACAAUUAGAAAUACAUGACACGACAAUCUUUCCAAUUGAUGACAAUUAAAUUUAGUCUUUUUUCAUAUAUAAGAGAAUAUUAUUUUGUGAAUUGAAAAAUUGAUCAAAAUUAAAUAGCUAGAUUGUAACAAGAGAAUCUUUUUUUUUAUAUAGAUUUUUGAACUGAAAUAGUCUUUAAAGUACACCAUUUUCCUAUAAUUGAUUUAUUCAUCAAUUAUAUAUUUUUUUUCUUGCUUGACGUAACUUGCAACAUUUGUUGUGAAUGACAAGGAACUUGAUAGGAAGAUAGUGCAGUGACCUACGGUUAAAGUUGAAGAAGUCAGACCAUAACAUGGAUGGACUUUGUGGAGUGUCCAAAGGGUUCAAGAUGAACAAAUGGAAAACCUCUAGAUGGACUUAUGGGGUGGGCUAUAUAUGUUUAAUUUAGAAGACAAUUUUCUUUUACAUUAUUUUUAGUUUGAAUAUUGAAAAUUUAAUAAUUUAAUAUUAACUAUGGCUUGGGAUAUCAUGAAAUAGAAGACUUGAUUUUUUUUUUUUUAAAAUUGGACUUUUAUUGUUUACGUAACAAAAGUUUAACGAAAGGAUUGAUUAAAUAAUAGUUAAAAUAUGAAGUUUAAUGACACAAAAUUUUCAUUUAAGCAGUUCUAUAGGGUAAAUUAAAAUAAAAUGAUUCUUAUUUAUUUUUGUAAAAAAACCUGUACCAAAAAGAAUGUUUCUUAUUUUAGUAUUCACCACAAGAAUAAAUCAUAUUUCUCUGUUAUUAAUUUUGAUUUCUUUUAUGAAUUUAGUGUACAUAGGAAUUUUAAAAAAGGAGAUAGAUACAGUAAAUGCAUAAUUUUUCGUAUUCUAAGAAUUAAUUCGGGAGAAUUGGAUAAUUAAGUCGAUAAUUUUAAAAAGCCAGCUUAAAAAAAGAAGUGAAUUACAAUGUUAAAAAAAUAUUUUAGUAUUUGGCACAAUAAUAAAAAAAGGCAAAAAAAUAAUGAAAGUGAAGAAAAAAAUAGGCUUAAAAUAUAAUUGUUGUCUUUUUUUUUAAUAUGUUAUUUUAUUUUUUUAUUUUUUAAUUUAAAUAUUUUAUCUCUUAUUUUUUUAAAAUCUUGUAAUUUUAGUCUUUUUAUUUUUUAAUUGAGAUAUUUUUAAAAAAAUAUGUCAUUUUAGUCCAUUUGAUCAAAUUCUUGUUUUUUAAUUAGGAUAUUUUGUCCUUUAAAAGUUAGAGACAAUAAUAUCGCUGGACUUUGUGGAGUGUCCAAAGGUUCAAGAUGAAAAAAUGAAAAACCUUGAAAUGGAUUUGAUGGAGCCGGCCAUGGUUUGUUUAGAAGAUAAUUUUCUUUUACAUUAUUUUUAGUUUGGAUAUUAAAAUUUUAAUAAUUUAAUAUUAAUUAUGGGUUGGGAUAUCAUGAAAUAGAAGACUUGAAUUUUUUUAAUAAAAUGUUGGACUUUUAUUGUUUAAUUAACAAAAUUUUACGAAAGGAUUGAUCAAAUAAUAGUUAAAGUCAAUAAUUAAAAAAGGAGAUAGAUAAAGUAAAUUCAAAAUUAUUUCCUAUUCUAAGAAUUAAGUCGGGAGAAUUGGAUAAUAAAGUCAAUAAUUAAAAAAAGGAGGCAACGUAAAAAAAGAAAAAAGAAAAGAAAGACGCUUGCAUCAGUAUAAAUAAUAGAAAGAAGUAAGUUUAAUAUGCAGAAGCAAGAAGCACUUAUACAAUUAAGCUGUUUGAUAUAUCCUUGUGUGAUCAUGAAUUCCUCCAUUUAUAUUCUUGUCUUUGUCCAGCUUUGGUUGUUCAGCUUACCAUGCAGAGAGAGUGUGUGUAUCCCAAGUGAGCGUGAGACACUUUUGAAGAUUAAGAAUAAUCUCAUAGAUCCUUCAAAUAGGCUUUGGUCUUGGAAUCAUAAUCAUACCAACUGUUGCCACUGGUAUGGAGUCCUCUGCCACAACGUCACUUCCCAUGUUCUUCAGCUUCACCUCAACACUACGUUUUCUGCUGCUUUCUAUGAUGGCUACUAUCACUUCGAUGAGGAAGCUUAUGAGAAAUCCCAGUUUGGUGGAGAGAUAAGUCCUUGUUUGGCUGAUUUAAAGCAUUUGAAUCACUUGAACUUGAGCGGCAAUUAUUUCCUUGGAGCAGGUAUGUCAAUUCCUUCUUUCCUUGGGACAAUGACUUCCUUGACUCACCUCGACCUCUCUCUUACUGGAUUCAUGGGGAAGAUUCCAUCUCAGAUUGGGAAUCUCUCCAAUUUGGUCUAUCUUGACCUCGGAGGUUAUUCUGUCGAGCCUAUGUUAGCUGAAAAUGUAGAAUGGGUAUCAAGUAUGUGGAAGCUUGAAUAUCUUCAUUUGAGUUAUGCAAACCUAUCCAAAGCAUUUCAUUGGCUACACACUCUCCAAUCUCUUCCUUCUUUGACCCACCUAGAUUUGUCAGGAUGCACACUCCCUCACUAUAAUGAACCAUCCUUGCUCAACUUCUCAUCUCUGCAAACUCUCCAUCUUUCCUUCACUAGUUUUUCCCCUGCCAUUUCUUUUGUCCCCAAGUGGAUAUUCAAAUUGAAAAAACUUGUUUCUCUUCAAUUAUGGGGUAAUGAAAUCCAAGGUCCGAUUCCUGGCGGUAUUCGAAACCUCACACUUCUUCAAAAUCUUGACUUGUCUGGAAAUUCAUUCUCAUCUUCUAUACCUGAUUGCUUAUAUGGUCUUCAUCGUCUCAAGUUCCUCAACCUAAGGGACAACCACUUGCAUGGGACUAUUUCUGAUGCCCUGGGAAAUUUGACUUCUCUUGUUGAACUUGAUUUAUCAGGUAAUCAACUUGAAGGAAACAUUCCAACUUCUUUGGGUAAUCUCUGCAACUUACGGGACAUUGAUUUCUCAAAUCUCAAACUCAACCAACAGGUUAAUGAACUUUUAGAAAUUCUUGCUCCUUGUAUUUCCCAUGGACUCACAAGACUUGCAGUUCAGAGUUCACGACUUUCAGGCCAUCUGACAGAUCAUAUUGGGGCAUUUAAAAAUAUUGACACGUUACUUUUUUCCAACAACUCAAUUGGUGGUGCUCUUCCUAGAUCAUUUGGAAAACUUUCAUCAUUAAGAUAUCUUGAUCUGUCUACUAAUAAAUUCAGUGGAAAUCCAUUUGAAAGUCUUGGAUCACUCUGUAAAUUGUCAUCUCUUUAUAUUGGUGGCAAUCUUUUUCAAACUGUUGUCAAGGAAGAUGAUCUUGCAAAUCUUACAAGCUUGAUGGAGAUUCAUGCAUCAGGGAACAAUUUCACUUUAAAAGUGGGUCCCAAUUGGCUUCCUAAUUUUCAGCUUUUCCAUUUGGAUGUGAGAUCAUGGCAGUUAGGUCCCAGCUUUCCAUCGUGGAUUAAGUCACAAAACAAACUUGAAUAUUUAGACAUGUCUAACGCAGGGAUUAUUGAUUCUAUUCCCACACAGAUGUGGGAAGCACUUCCUCAGGUUUUGUAUUUAAACCUCUCUCAUAAUCACAUCCAUGGUGAGAGUGGGACUACAUUAAAGAAUCCCAUAUCUAUCCCCGUUAUUGAUCUAAGCUCAAAUCACUUGUGUGGUAAAUUACCCUAUCUUUCAAGUGAUGUGUCUCAGUUAGAUCUUUCAAGCAAUUCAAUCUCUGAAUCCAUGAAUGACUUUUUAUGCAAUGAUCAGGACGAGCCAAUGCAAUUACAAUUUCUGAAUCUUGCAUCAAAUAAUUUGUCAGGAGAGAUACCUGAUUGCUGGAUGAAUUGGACAUUUCUUGUGAAUGUAAAUUUACAAAGCAACCAUUUUGUUGGGAACUUACCCCAAUCCAUGGGUUCCUUGGCAGAGCUGCAGUCUUUACAAAUUCGUAACAACACACUCUCAGGAAUAUUUCCAACCAGUUUGAAGAAGAAUAACCAAUUGAUAUCCUUGGACCUUGGGGAAAAUAAUCUUUCAGGAUGUAUUCCAACAUGGGUUGGAGAAAAGCUCUUAAAAGUGAAAAUCCUUCGCCUUCGAUCAAACAGUUUUGCCGGCCACAUUCCAAAUGAAAUAUGUCAGAUGAGUCAUCUUCAGGUUUUAGACCUUGCAGAAAACAAUCUGUCUGGCAAUAUACCGAGCUGUUUUUGUAACUUGAGUGCCAUGACACUAAAGAACCAAAGUACAGAUCCUUCUAUCUAUUCUGAAGCACAAUAUGUUGGUAGCUCUUACUCUUCCAUCUAUAGUAUGGUUAGUGUGCUACUAUGGCUGAAAGGAAGAGGAGAUGAGUAUAGAAACAUUCUGGGUUUGGUAACAAGCAUUGAUCUGUCAAGUAACAAAUUAUUAGGAGAAAUACCUAGAAAAAUCACAAAUCUAAAUGGAUUGAACUUUUUGAACUUGUCCCACAACCAAUUGAUUGGUCAUAUUCCACAAGGCAUUGGUAAUAUGGGAUCAUUACAAUCCAUUGAUUUUUCUAGGAAUCAACUUUCUGGUGAAAUCCCUCCAACCAUUUCAAAAUUGAGCUUUUUGAGCAUGCUAGACGUGUCUUAUAAUCAUUUGAAGGGAAAAAUUCCAACAGGAACUCAAUUGCAAACCUUUGAUGCCUCCAGCUUUAUUGGCAACAAUUUAUGUGGUCUACCACUGCCCAUAAACUGCAGCUCCAAUGGGAAAACUCAUAGUUAUGAAGGAAGUCAUGGGCAUGGAGUGAAUUGGUUUUUUGUUAGUGCGACAAUUGGAUUUGUUGUGGGAUUCUGGAUAGUGAUUGCUCCUUUACUGAUUUGUAGAUCAUGGAGGUAUGCCUAUUUUCAUUUCCUUGAUCAUGUGUGGUUCAAACUUCAAUCUUUUCGCUCAGGUAGUAUCACUGUUUAGUGUUGCUUAGAAUACUCCGAUGUUUUAUCAUUGUAUUGGCAGGUUGAUCAAUUUAUGUCAACAAAGAAAUUUAAACAAACUAAUCCAUUAUAUUUCAAUUUUCAGUAAUGUGUUAUAUUUAAUGAAUAAGAGUUGUACCGUGGGAAUUGUUGUCAUUGCAUCUAAAUACACAAGUGUAUCUAUUUUUUUUUAAGUUAUGUUUCUUUGAAAUUUAUUCAUAUGUUUGAAUCUCUCUUGAAAUGUGAUUUCAAAUAUUCCCUUGUUGUUGGGUAAUGAAAUCCAAGGUCGAUCCGAUUCCCUGGUGGUAUUCGAAACCUCACACUUCUUUAAAAUCUUGACUUGUCUCAAAAUUCAUUCUCAUAUUCUAUACUUGAUUGGUUAUACGGUCUUCAUCGUCUCAAGUAUUUGGACCUAAGGUACAGCAAUUUGCAUAGGACUAUUUAUGAUGUCUGGGGAAAUUUGACUUCUCUUGUUGAACUUGAUUUAUCAAUUAAUCAAUCUGAAGCAACCAUUCGAACUUCUUGGGGUAAUCUCAGCAACUUGGGAACUUGGGGGAGAUUGAUUUCUUAUAUCUCAAACUCAACCAACAGGUUAAUGAUAUUUUAGAAAUUCUAGCUCUUUGUAUUUCUCAUGGAUUCACAACACUUGCAGUUUCGAGUUCACAACUUUCAGUCAAUUUGACUGCUUUUUACCAUUCAGGGAUAUUUUUCAAAUUAUUUUCCAUAAAAUGACUCUUUUUAAUAAAAAAAGUCUUAUCAGGUGCUACUAUAUGAGUUAGAAGUCAUAAAAUGACUCUUUUUAAUAGAAGUCAUAAAAUUAUUUAUAACUGUAAUUUUUUUUAGUUGGGACUUCAAAGUCGUUAAUUUUUUUUUUAUUUUACAACUAGUCUUUUUUUAAUUUUUUUAACUUAAGACUUUAAAAUUGUAAGUUUAAUUUUUUUUUAUUUUUAUGACUUUUGAAAUUGUGUUUCGUUUUUUUUUUACGUUUAAAUUUUUUAAUUUUAGAAUUUUUUACUUACUUGUAUUUUAUUUUUUAUUUUUUUCAAAAAUUAUAAAAAAAUUAUUUAUUUAAUUAUUAAGUAAAUAUUUUAUUUAUUCAUUUAAAAAAUAAAAUUCUAUAACAUUAUUUAAAAUUUAUCUAAAUUUUAAAUAUGUAAAAUAUAUUAAAUAAAAUAAUAUUAAAAAACAUAAUAUAUUUUAAAUAAAAAAUAUUAAAAAAUAUAUAAUAUAUUUAAUAAAACCAUAAAAAAUAUAAUACAAAUCAAAUAAAACUAAUAGUAUGAAUUUUUUCCAUUUUAAUUAUUUUUUAUUUAUCACAUUUGGUUUAUUUAAAAUUUAGAUAAUCUUUUAAUAAUGUCAUUGAAUUUUUUUUAAAAUGAAUAAAUAAAAUAUUUAUUUAAUAAUUAAAUAAAUAAAAUUAAUAACAUUUUAAAAAAAUGUAACAAAAUAAAAAAUAAAAUACAAGAAAUUAAAAAAUUCUAAAAUUCUAAAAUUAAAAAGUUUGAACUUAAAAAAAAAACCAAAAUGACUACAAAGUCGUAAAAAGAAAAAUAAAAUAAAAAAACAAAACUUAUCACUUUGAUAUCAUAAUAAAAAAAACUAUUGACUUUGAAGUCGUAAAAAAAACACAAAUAUUGUAAUCGAUUAUCGGCUUCAAAAUUUAAAUUCAAAUUUCUAAAGGAUGUUGCAAAACGUUUAAACCUAGUGAUCGAUUACAAGCCUUGUGUAAUCGAUUAUAGGCUUUAAAAUUAAAUUCAAAUUUUAUAAGAGCAUUUUAGAAAUUAAUUUGAUCACGGGUAAUCGAUUACAUCCCCUGAUAAUCGAUUACCAGAGAGUAAAUAUUACUUUUAUGAAAUCUCAAAAAGCUUCUGGAAAAUAUUCUUUGGUCAAACCUGUGCAUCAUCAAUUCAUAAACUCUUUCUAAGAUUCUAGGAACUAAGUUCAUCAAUUAUAUUGAAUUUCUGGAUUCUUGACUUGGAUCAAACGUGAGAAGCACUUAUCUUUGACAUCGUCAAAACUUCAUAUCAUUAUAUGCUUCUACAAAAAUAUGAUAUUGAUUUUUUUGAGAACAAAAGUUAAUAUUCUUUUUCACACUUCUUUUUAUAUAACUAAUUAAUUUUCAUAUGAUAAAGAAAAUAAUAUUCAGAUUUGAGUACAAUUAGAAAUACAUGACACAACAACCUUUUCAAUUGAUGACAAUUAAAUCUAAUCUUUUAUAUAUAUAUAUAUAUAUAUAUAUAUAUAUAUAUAUAUAUAUAUAUAUAUAUAUAUAUAUAUAUAUAUGAGAAUAUUAUUUUGUGAAUUGAAAAAUUGAUCAAAAUUAAAUAGCUAGAUUGGAACGAAAUAUUUUUUUAAUAUAUUUUUUAACCGAAAUAGUCUUUAAAGUACACCCUUUUUCCUAUAAUUGAUUUUUUUUUUCCUAUAAUGAAACAUCAAAGAAUACUGGGAAAGGUAACUGAGUAAGAGGAAGUGAAGAGAAGGUUAGGAGGGGAAAGUGUGGUGACAGAGAAAAAGUACCAAGAGAUGUAUGUGAAUAGUCCAGGGAAAGGUGUGGUUGAUAAGCUUAAAGGUAUGGUUGGGACAUGGUUUACCAACCCAGCAGAGAAUCAAUCUUCACAAGGUAAAUAACAAUGAAUAGUAGCUCUAGUUGUCUCCAUGAGGUUUCUCUUGGUUGAUCAAUGCUUUUUGCAAAUUUUACUUAUUUCUAAAUUAGUUUAUUAUAUUCUUUUACCAUACUUCUCUGACUAAUUCUUUUGUUACUCUUCACGUUCUGCUUGAGUUUUGCAGUUAGACAAACAUAUUUUGUAUCGAUAUUAAAAUUUAUUUUCUCUAUAUUUGUCUUGUGACAUUUUUUCUAUUUUCUUAUCUUGGAAGAAGUGUUUUGAGAAACAAACGAAAUUAUGAUUAUGUAUGUUUCUCUUAGUCUUAAGACUUGAUUCCAAGAUGAAUCGCAGUUAUUUGUUUGCUUAUUUUGGGCAUGCUUGCAUAUUUUUCUAUUAUGUUUUUUUUUUCAUUUUGUAAGAGCUGUUUCAAAAAUAGUGGAGUAUUUAUUUUCUAGUAGUUUUAGACUUCAGUCCAAGAUGAGUUACAGUUUUUUUUUUUUUUUUACUUUAUUUUGGGUAUGCUAGUUUUUGCUGAAGCAAAGUGCCACAUUAAUUUUGAAUUUGUGGUUUGCAUGGGUCGAAGAUUUAUCUAUGAAUUAUGAGGCAGGAAGGGCAGAAGUGGAACAAGUUAACCAAGGUGCAGCAGGUGAAAGAAGGCUGCAGGAGUCAUCUAAUUGAAGAAGGGCUUUGAAGGAGUCUUUGCUUUGGGUGAUUGUGUAGAUUUUCUUAAAAGCUGUUUCAAUAUCUAGCCGUGUGUCUAGUUCUUUGUUGGAAGAAAGUUAGGAUGUUCAAGUCACAGUAAAAUAAAUAUUUGUGUUUUUUUUAAUGUUUAUGUAAAUAUCCAAUUUUAUCCGGGUUUAGUUUUAUCUUUUAAAUAAAAAUAUUUAAAAUAUUUUUGAGAAAAAGAAAAGAAAAAUUAUAUAUAGAAGAUUUGACAGUUACAAGAAGACUUGGCAUCAGAAAACUGGAGUAAUGGUGAUUCAAUUGAGAAAAAAAUAAAAUAUUACUAAAAGAUAAGGUCAUUUAAAAUAUUUUUGAGAAAAAGAAAAAAGAAAAAUUAUAGAAGAUUCUUUUAAAUAAAAAUAUUUAAAAUAUUUUUGAGAAAAAAAAAAGAAAAAUCAUAGAAGAUGUGACAGUUACAAAAUUGAUAUUCAGAAAACUGGAGUAAUGGUGAUUCAAUUGAGCAAAAAAAAUAAAAUAUUAGUAACCGAUAACGUCAUCGAAGUUGUAAGUCUAAAAACAAUGGUAUAAUGGAAUCCUAAGUUGUUCUUGGAUUAUAAAAGAAGAGACGUACUAGCAUACAAGGAGGGGGGCGGAGAAAAAAGGAGAAUUAUGUGAAGGCCGGGACACCCAUAGAAAGAUUUUUUUCGCAAUUCUUUCAAAAGAUGAUUAUGAUGCUAUAAGAUCAGGUCCUUGUUCUUUUUUCUCUAUAAGAUCAGGUUUGUUCUUUUUUUUUUCUUUUCUCGUUCAUUUCUUGUUAUGUUUGGUUUUUUUAUUUAAUUUUUGGUUUCAUGAAUUCGUGUAUGUAUGCUAUCCAAAUGUUUAUUUUCUGAAUAAAAUAAGUAUAUAUAUUUUGACCACAUGUUUACCUUCAUAUUAUGGGUUAAAAAGCAUCAUUUUUUAUUACUUAUUGGUCCCCCGAUAAAUAUUUAUUUUUUAUGUUUGGUCUCUAAUAAAUUUUUUUGAGACCGGAUUCCUAAUAUUUGAAAUUUUGUCUCUUAUAUUUGUUGUUAGUCCCAAAUUAUUAUCUACCUAUGUGGUUGUUUGACCAUGAUGUAUGUCACGUGUGGUGUCACUUGUUUGAUUUGGAUUACACGUGAGAAAAAAAUUUUAAAAAUAAAAAUAAAAACUAUGUCGUAUUGUCCCCUUCUUCUUUCUCCUUUCUGUCUCCAUCACCCUUCAUCUUCCUUAUAUCUCACCAUUGUGUCAUGGAUGGUGUUUCAUUUUCUCCCCCAGUGGAUGGACUAAAGGAAAACAAGCUAAAUGAAAGAAUAGAUAUAAAUCAACAAAAUCUUAACAACAAAACAUCAAACCACAAAAUGAGAAAAGAAAAAUUGUUUGGUGGGCUUCACUAAGGUUCACGGCUGGAUUGGUAGUUGGACUUCAUGUGGGGUUUCACAAUGAGGUUUGCCAUGAGUUGGGGCUCAUUGAGUUUGGCAGUGACAGUGGAGAUCACAGUCUUUGGGUUUUAUGAUGGGAUUGUGCACGCGCGGUUGAGAUCACAGUUGGGCUCCUACCAAUAUUUCUACCCUAUGAAUAAAGAUAAAGAAAUUUCUACACUAUGAAUAUUUGGAAUUAAUUAAGAUUAGCUAAUUCAAUCUAAAUAACAAUAUGCAAAAAGAUAAAGAAAUUAAGAGAAGAAAUAAAAAUAAGAAACUUAAGGAAGGAAAUAAAAGAAAAAAUUAAGGGAAUUUUUGUUUGAGAAUUUUAACAAACACUCCUGUAUGCAAAGUAAAUUGAGAUUAAAUCAAUGAAAAAAUUGUCUAGGUUUAAUUUUAUUGGAGUUCCUAUAAAGUAAUCACUACACAUUUAUAUUUAAUAAAUGUUAUAUCAUCAUUAAUCUACCAUAUUAUCUUAACUUUAAUUCCUUAAGUGAAGAGACCUAAAUCUCUUGAUUAAACUAUCGAUUCCUUGGAUUGGCAUAACCAAAGGAUUUGCAUUAAGACAAAGUGUUUAUUAAUGUUCUAUUAUCCCUAGACAUAAAAAUUAUUGGAUGUUCUCUCUAAUUCGCUACUCAAAGAAAUUUUUCUAUUACAAUUGAAUAAAAAAUCAUACAAACAUGUGUUCAAGUCAAAAACACAUAUCAGACAUAUAAGAAAAACAAUUACAAUAUUUUACUGAAUAAAAGAGUAGUCAUUUCAUGAAAGAAGAACCAAUUACUGUACAUUAAACUCUAAGAGAAGAUUAGUUCAUGGCAAAAAAAAAAACAUAAGAGAUAUACAUCACAUAAAUGUCUUAAAAUGACACCAAAAUCUAAGAAUACAUGAUAAUUAUCUAUCAUCCAAAUUUAAUUUAGGAUAAAAAGUAACAUUAAAAUUUUAUAGGGACAAAAAUGAUAUAUUUUACUCUAUCUUUUUCAUGCUUAAGGUAACUCUCAACAUUUGUUGUCAGUCAUAAAAAACAUUGACAUGGAUCUGAUGGAGUGGCUGUGGUUCAUGUUGAAAAAGUAGGGACCUUGAUAUAGAUUUGGUAGAGUUGUCUACGGUUUGUCAACAAGAUAAUUUUUUUUCUUUUAUUUUAUUUCAAAUAAUAAAAUUUUGAUAAUUUAAAAUUAAUUAUAGUUUUAUAUUGCAUGUAAUAGAAGACUUGAAUUUAAUAAUGCAAGAUUUUUUGUUGUUUACUUUACACAGGUGCAUGUAACGAAAGGAUUGAUUUAAAUAAUUGUUAAAAUUUGAAGACUCAUUAUUAAACCAAAUUUUAUUACCUUUAUUGUAAACUACAAAUGAUUUUUUAUAAAAAUAUUAAUAUUUACUUAAAAUAAAAUUUUCAUUAAUUUAAGCAAUUCUACACGUUAAACUAAUAAAAUAAAAUGUUUCUUAUUGAAGAGAGAGUGUGUGCAUCCUCCUCCAUUUAUAUUCUUGUCUUUGUCCACCUUUGGUUAUGUAGGUUACCUUGCAGAGAGAGUGUGUGCAUCCCAAGUGAGCGUGAGACACUUAUGAAGUUUAAGAAUAAUCUGAAUGAUCCUUCAAAUAGGCUUUGGUCUUGGAAUCCUAAUAAUACCAACUGUUGCCACUGGUAUGGAGUCCUCUGCCACAACCUUACUUCCCAUCUUCUCCAGCUUCACCUCCACACUUCUGAUUCUGCUUUCUAUCAUGAUGCCUACCAUUAUCGAUUCUACCAUAGAUUUGAUGAGGAAGCUUAUAGGAGAUGGAGCUUUGGUGGAGAGAUAAGUCCUUGUUUGGCUGAUUUAAAGCAUUUGAAUUACUUGGACUUGAGCGCCAAUUAUUUCCUUGGAGAAGGUAUGUCAAUUCCUUCUUUCCUUGGGACAAUGACUUCCUUGACUCACCUCAACCUCUCUUAUACUGGAUUCAAUGGGAAGAUUCCUCCUCAGAUUGGGAAUCUCUCAAAUUUGGUGUAUCUUGACCUGAGUUAUGAUGUUGCCAACGGAACAGUACCCUCUCAGAUCGGGAAUCUCUCUGAGCUUCGAUAUCUUGACUUGAGCUACAAUUAUUUUGAAGGUAUGGCAAUUCCUUCUUUCCUUUGUGUAAUGACCUCCUUGACUCACCUCGACCUCUCUUAUACUGCAUUCAUGGGGAAGAUUCCAUCUCAGAUUGGAAAUCUCUCCAAUUUGGUCUAUCUUGGCCUCGGAAGUUAUGAUUUCGAGCCUCUGUUAGCUGAAAAUGUAGAAUGGGUAUCAAGUAUGUGGAAGCUUGAAUAUCUUUAUUUGAGUAAUGCAAACCUAUCCAAAGCAUUUCAUUGGCUACACACUCUCCAAUCUCUUCCUUCUUUGACCCACCUAUAUUUGUCAGAAUGCACACUCCCUCACUAUAAUGAACCAUCCUUGCUCAACUUCUCAUCUCUGCAAACUCUCGAUCUUUCCGGUACUAGUUAUUCCCCUGCCAUUUCUUUUUUCCCUAAGUGGAUAUUCAAAUUGAAGAAACUUGUUUCUCUUCAAUUAGGGGGUAAUGACAUCCAAGGUUCGAUUCCUGGUGGUAUUCGAAACCUCACACUUCUUCAAAACCUUGACUUGUCUGUAAAUUCAAUUGCAUCUUCUAUACCUGAUUGCUUAUACGGUCUUCAUCGUCUCAAGUUCCUGGACCUAGAGGGCAACAACUUGCAUGGGACUAUUUCUGAUGCCCUGGGAAAUUUGACUUCUCUUGUUGAACUUGAUUUGUCAUACAAUCAACUUGAAGGAACCAUUCCAACUUCUUUGGGAAAUUUGACUUCUCUUGUUGAACUUGAUUUGUCAUACAAUCAACUUGAAGGAAUCAUUCCAACUUCUUUGGGAAAUUUGACUUCUCUUGUUGAACUUGAUUUGUCAUACAAUCAACUUGAAGGAACCAUUCCAACUUCUUUGGGAAAUUUGACUUCUCUUGUUGAACUUGAUUUAUCAGCUAAUCAACUUGAAGGAACCAUUCCAAAUUCUUUGGGAAAUUUGACUUCUCUUGUUAAACUUCAAUUAUCACGUAAUCAACUUGAAGGAACCAUUCCAACUUCUUUGGGAAAUUUGACUUCUCUGGUUAGACUUGAUUUGUCAUAUAAUCAACUUGAAGGAACAAUUCCAACUUCUUUGGCUAAUCUCUGCCUCCUAAUGGAGAUUGAUUUCUCAUAUCUCAAACUCAACCAACAGGUUAAUGAACUUUUAGAAAUUCUAGCUCCUUGUAUUUCCCAUGGACUCACAGCACUUGCAGUUCAGAGUUCACGACUUUCAGGCAAUCUGACAGAUCAUAUUGGGGCAUUUAAAAAUAUUGACACGUUACUUUUUUCCAACGACUCAAUUGGUGGUGCUCUUCCUAGAUCAUUUGGAAAACUUUCAUCAUUAACAUAUCUCGAUCUGUCUAUUAAUAAAUUCAGUGGAAAUCCAUUUGAAAGUCUUAGAUCGCUUUCUAAGAUGUCAUCUCUUCAGAUUGAUGGCAAUAAUUUUCAAGGAGUUGUCAAGGAAGAUGAUCUUGCAAAUCUUACAAGCUUGAUGGAGUUUCAUGCAUCAGGGAACAAUUUCACUUUAAAAGUUGGUCCCAAAUGGCUUCCUAAUUUUCAGCUUUCCUAUUUGGAUGUGACAUCAUGGCAGUUAGGUCCCAACUUUCCAUCAUGGAUUCAGUCACAAAACCAACUUCAACAUUUUGGACUGUCUAACACGGGGAUUUUAGAUUCUAUUCCCACCUGGUUCUGGGAAGCACUUUCUCAGGUUUUGUAUUUAAACCUCUCUCAUAAUCAUAUACAUGGUGAAAUUGGGACUACAUUAAAGAAUCCAAUAUCUAUCCAAACUAUUGAUCUAAGCUCAAAUAACUUGUGUGGUAAAUUACCCUAUCUUUCAAGUGAUGUGUUUCAGUUAGAUCUUUCAAGCAAUUCAUUCUCUGAAUCCAUGAAUAACUUUUUAUGUAAUGAUCAGGACGAGCCAAUGCAAUUAAAAUUUUUGAAUCUUGCAUCAAAUAAUUUGUCAGGAGAGAUACCUGAUUGCUGGAUGAAUUGGACAUUUCUUGCGGAUGUAAAUUUACAAAGCAACCAUUUUGUUGGGAACUUACCCCAAUCCAUGGGUUCCUUGGCAGACCUGUAGUCUUUACAAAUUCGUAACAACACACUCUCAGGAAUAUUUCCAACCAGUUUGAAGAAGAAUAAAAAAUUGAUAUCCUUGGACCUUGGGGAAAAUAAUCUUUCAGGAAGUAUUCCAACAUGGGUUGGAGAAAAGCUCUUAAAUGUGAAAAUUCUCCGCCUUCGAUCAAACAGUUUUGCCGGCCUCAUUCCAAAUGAAAUAUGUCAGAUGAGUCUUCUUCAGGUUUUAGACGUUGCACAAAACAAUCUGUCUGGCAAUAUACCGAGCUGUUUCAGUAACUUGAGUGCCAUGACACUAAAGAACCAAAGUACAGAUCCUCGUAUCUAUUCUCAAGCACAAUAUAAUAUGUCUUCCAUGUAUAGUAUAGUUAGUGUGCUACUAUGGCUGAAAGGAAGAGGAGAUGAGUAUCGAAACAUUCUGGGUUUGGUAACAAGCAUUGAUCUGUCAAGUAACAAAUUAUUAGGAGAAAUACCUAGAGAAAUCACAGAUCUAAAUGGAUUGAACUUUUUGAACCAAGUAAUUUUAAAAGCUUUGGUAGUCUCAAUAGUAUUUUUGAUAGUGACAAUAGUAGCCCAUAUAUAUAUAAAUGAUUAUAUGUGUGAUACAACAAAAUGCAGGAUAGAUAAAACAACCCAUACCAACUAUACAAAUUACAAGUUAAUUAUUAUUUUUACAUAUUUUGAUGUACAAUAAACAGCACCAACACAAAAAUGUUAUAUUUACUAGUAGCAGUAGUAAUUAACUAGUUUUUUAUAUAUAAAAGUGGUAAUUAACAACUCUUUCAUCACACAUAUGGACCCCUCCAAAUACAAUUUUUUUUUUCAUAGUAAAGGGAAUCUGCCGUCAAUUUAGUUCUCACUAUCAGAUUUAAUUAAACCACUGCUCUAACGAGGCACAUAUCCUGUUAAUAAAUUUAGUAUUUUUAAUGAAAAAUUAAAAUAAAAUAUCUCAAUAAAUAAUAUACAUGCACUUACACAUAUAAAAAUGUUAUUUAAACCCUGAACUGAACACACAAUGAUAUAUGAUUAUAAAUUGUCUAAUAAAUUAUAAGUUUUGUCUUUCAUGUAUGCACAGGUGUGUUUCUUCCCAAAUUGUGCAAAUGCUCGUCGACAAAUGGGUGAGAUCAAAAGCUCAGGUAUGGUAGCUCCAGGACCUGUGCACUCUCUUCAAUUCACCUCAAUUUCUCCACAACCUUUUGAUGCUAUGGAGCUCUCAGAUGAACCUGCCGUUGCUCCAUUCCCGCAAUACUAAGUAGAAGUAUUUUUCUUAAUGCUUGCAAGAAAUAAUUUAAAUGAGUGUAUUUUGAUGCUUAAUGCGUGUUUAGUUUGUAAUAAGGAUGUUGCGCUGCACACCAAUAUGUAGCUACGUAGGGGAUUUGGAAUGUGUCAUUAAUUUAUGUAUUCUGUUGUACAAAAUUUUAAUGCUGGAAGUGGUCUCUCAGACUCUUCCCAUUGAAAACCAGUGUAGUCGGCUUUCAUUAUUUUUGGUUAAUAUAUAUAAAUUGUUCUUUAGUACUGAUUGGUCUGAAUAGUGUGAUAGAUUCUAACUCUUUAAAUGAAUGGUUAAGAAUUUCAAUUUUAUCAACUUUUAGUUCUUCAUGGAAUAUGCUUUGUCACACUAUGUCCAGCUCUUGAAAAUCAUUAUUUUUUGUCCUUUGGAUUAAUAAUUGUUGGGCUGUGACCAAAAUUCAUAUGGAAGUUUAUUUUUGUUAUUUUUUCAGUUUUUUCCUCUGCUUAUAUAAAGCAAGGAUGCCCUGUAUUUUACAUAGAGGAUAAACUUCCACUUGUAUACUGCAACCAUAAUAAUAAUAAAAACUUUCUGUUUUCCUUUCCGUGGAUGUAACCUUACUCAAAGUGAACCACGUAAAUUUGUUUGUGUGUUCUUUCUCUCAUCUCUUUCUCUUUCAUUUUGCUGCAAUCUGUGUGUAUGAUAUUUUUGUUCUGCUGCAUCUACUGUUGCUGUUCUUGUUUGUUCUUCAUCACUUCCAUAACAAUAAUUCUAACCUGGAUCGUGUUUACCCUAUUGAUGCUUACAAAAUUUAGUGUUUUCAACUCCAAUGCAAGUCUUGGUUUUCUCACUAUCAACAAUGCUCUCCAUGGUCACCAACUUUCCUCCACAUGUAAUCUUUCAUCUCUUGAAGUAGAUAUUAAUGUCAGUGUUUCGCCAUGUUCUCCAUUCUUUAAAAGCUUGUUGCAUGUGCUUUCUAAUGUUAACAAAAUGACACUUUCUUGGAGGACCCUUAGGAUGAUGCUAUUUUUAAGUUUUAUUUUGUAUGUUUUGUCUUUUUCGGUAUAUGUUUGAAAGUAAUUUUUUUCUAUACAUUUUUAAACUUCUUAUUAUAUAUUCUAAUAAAGUGCUGAAAGUUAUAUUCCUAUUUCAUGCUUAAAUAAUUUGGUAAAUAUUUCUUUUAUUUCCCUUUCUUUCUUAUGCUCUCUUGAAAGAAAUUAUAGGAUGUUUUAUAUAUUGUGGGGAGUGUAAAACACAAACUUUUCUUAUAUAUUCUUUUGAACGUUUACAUAAAAUUCUUAAGGUGAAGAUUUAAUUUUAAAUUGUUUAGUUUUUUAUUUCAUUUUAUUAUUAACUUAUUCCUUUUUUUUGGUCCAAGAUUAACUUAUUCCCUUAUGCUCUCUUACGUCAGAUUAUAGAUUGUUAUAUUGUGAGUGCUCUGUUUGUAAUGUAUGUUGCGUUUAAUUGGCUUUUACGUAAGAUGAAAGUUUUUGAUUCUAAGAAACUAUUUGAGUGAAGCAGGGGAACAAAAAUCUGGUAUUCAUAUUAAGAAAUACAUUCUUUGGUGAUGCAGCAACACAAUGUAGUGCCAGUACAUGAUUUGCAGAGCAUUAUUUGAGAAAAUAGUAUCAAAUAAUGACAUAAUCAAUUGGUAUCGUUUGUGUGUGUAAAAUAGCAAAGCAAGUAGCGUGGCAAGAGCAGGAGUUUGAAUAAGAAAUAAAUGUUGAGCAUGUUAAAUCAACAAAACAAGAUUGUAAAUAAUGAUUUAAGAAUAUGGCUGAAAACAAGGAUGUGAUCCAACACUAAGGUAGAAAAUAAAAGCAUGUUAAUCAAAUGGCAAGCCAGGACAGAAAAAUCUUUAUUUAGUACUUUGUAGAGACUAAUAGAGAUAAGGAAGGGAAGGUGGAAUCUGGGUUAGUGGAGUAGAUCUAAAUUCAUAACAACACACCCUCAGGAAUAUUUCCUACCAGUUUGAAGAAGAAUAACCCAUUGAUAUCCUUGGACCUUGGGGAAAAUAAUCUUUCAGGAAAUAUUCCAACAUGGAUUGGAGAAAAGCUCUCAGAUAUGAAAAUCCUCCGCCUUCGAUCAAAUCAAAUGAAAUAUGUGAGAUGAAUCUUCUUCAAGUUUUAGACGUUGCACAAAACAAUCUGUCUGGCAAUAUAUGUAGCUGUUUCAGUAACUUGAGUGCCAUGACACUAAUCAACCAAAAUACAGAUCCUCGUAUCUAUUCUCAAGCACCAAAUGGUACAGAUUCCUCUUCCACAUAUAGUAUAGUUAGUGAGCUACUUUUGCUGAAAGGAAGAGCAGAUGAGCACAGAAACUUUCUGGAUUUGGUAACAAACAUUGAUCUGUCAAGUAACAAAUUAUUAGGGGAAAUGCCAAGAGAAGUCACAGAUCUAAAUGGAUUAAAUUUUUUAAACUUGUCCCACAACCAAUUGAUUGGUCAUAUUUCACAAGGUAUUGAUAAUAUGGGAUCUUUACAGUCCGUUGAUUUUUCGAGGAAUCAACUUUCUGCUGAAAUUCCUCCAACUUAACCAUUUCAAAUUUGAGCUUUCUGAGCAUACUAGACUUGUCUUAUAAUCAUUUGAAGGGAAAAAUGCCAACAGGAACUCAAUUGCAAACCUUUGAUGCCUCCAGCUUUAUUGGCAACAAUCUAUGUUGUCCACCACUGCCUAUAAGUGUAGCUCCAAUGUGAAAACUCAUAGUUAUGAAGGAAGUGAUGGGCAUAGAUCAGUUGCUUAACUUUGAAAUUGAUCCCUUGGUGCUUGAAUCUCUCUUGAAAUGAGAUUUCAAAUAUUCACACAUAUUACUGGGUAUUACAUCCAUUUCCAUCCAAUUAUGAGUGCAUAUUAGAAUUGGCUGCCUUUGGAGCAAAUUUGUUUCCAACAAUGACGAAGGUGAUUGUAGAAGAUUGGUAGGAGGAGGUUGGGGUUUCCGUGUGCUAUGUCCUACGAUAAAUCUGCAGGCAUAAAAGAAUCCAACGGAUAUAAAAAUAAAUAAAUCAUUUUACAGAGUGAUCUUUAAAAAUGAAAUUCUGAUAAGAAGAUUGUGAUAAAAAACAUGGUGGUGAAAAUAAUAAAAAACAUGCAGCUGCCAAAUUUGUUUCCAACAAUGAGGAUGGUGAUUGUAGAAGAUUGGUACGUAGGAGGGGGUUGGGGUUUGGGUGUGCUAUGACCUACGAUAAAUCUCUAGGUAUAAAAGAAUCCAACGGAUGUAAAAAAAUUGUUCACAGUGGAUCACUUAGACGUCGUCUCUUUUACAGAGUGAUCUUUAAAAAUGAAAUUCUGUAUUCAUGUUUGCGUUUUGAAUGUUUCUUCUUUUCCUUGAUGUAUUUAUCAUUUAUAAAAUUUUUGUAGUCUAUGGGCUAUGGUUCAAGUUGAAGUCAGAGACAAUAAUAACAUGGCUGGACUUUGUGGACUGUCCAAAGGUUUAAAAUGAAAAAAUUAAAAACUUUGAGAUAGACUUGAUGGAGUGGGCCAUGGUUUGUUUAGAAGACAAUUUUCUUUUACAUUAUUUUUAGUUUGAAUAUUGAAAAUUUGAUACAACAACCAUUCCAAUUAAUGACGAUUAAAUCUAGUCUUUUUUUAAUAUAUAAGAGAAUAUUAUUUUGUGAAUUAAAAAAUUAAUCAAAAUUAAAUAACUAGAUAUGAACGAAAUAAUCUUUUUUAUAUAGAUUUUUUAAUCAAAAUAGUCUUUAAAUUAGACCCUUUUCCUAUAAUUGAUGUAUUUAUCAUUUAUAUAUUUUUUGUGGCCUAUGGGCUAUGGUUCAAGUUGAAGUCAGAGACAAUAACAUAGCUGUACUUUGUGGACUGUCCAAAGGUUUAAGAUGAAAAAAUUAAAAACCUUGAGAUGGACUUGAUGGAGUGGGCCAUGGUUUGUUUAGAAGACAAUUUUCUUUUACAUUAUUUUUAGUUUGGAUAUUGAAAUUUUAAUAAUUUAAUAUUAAUAAUGGGUUGGGAUAUCAUGAAAUAGAAGACUUGAAUUUUUUUUAAUAAAAUGUUAGACUUUUAUUGUUUAAUCAACAAAAUUUUAUGAAAGGAUUGAUUAAAUAAUAGUUAAAGUCAAUACAAAAUUUUGUGUAUAUAGGAUUUUUAAAAAAGGAGAUAGAUAAAGUAAAUUCAAAAUUAGUUCCUAUUCUAGAAAUUAAGUCGGGAGAAUUCGAUAAUAAAGUCAAUAAUUAAAAAAGGCAACGUAAAAAAAAGAAAAAAGAAAAGAGAGACGCUUGCAUCAGUAUAAAUAAUAGAAAGAAGUAAGUUUAAUAUGCAGAAGCAAGAAGCACUUAUACAAUUAAGCUGUUUCAUAUAUCCUUGUGUGAUCAUGAAUUCCUCCUCCAUUUAUAUUCUUGUCUUUGUCCAGCUUUGGUUGUUCAGCUUACCAUGCAGAGAGAGUGUGUGCAUCCCAAGUGAGCGUGAGACACUUUUGAAGUUUAAGAAUAAUCUGAAUGAUCCUUCAAAUAGGCUUUGGUCUUGGAAUCCUAAUAAUACCAACUGUUGCCACUGGUAUGGAGUCCUCUGCCACAACCUUACUUCCCAUCUUCUUCAGCUUCACCUCAACACUUCACCUUCUGCUUUCUAUCAUGACUACUAUGAUGAUGGAUUCUACCGUAGAUUCGAUGAGGAAGCUUAUAGGAGAUGGAGCUUUGGUGGAGAGAUAAGUCCUUGUUUGGCUGAUUUAAAGCAUUUGAAUUACUUGGACUUGAGCGGCAAUUAUUUACUUGGAGCAGGUAUGUCAAUUCCUUCUUUCCUUGGGACAAUGACCUCCUUGACUCACCUAGACCUCUCUGAUAGUGGAUUCUAUGGGAAGAUUCCUCCUCAGAUUGGGAAUCUCUCAAAUUUGGUGUAUCUUGACCUGAGUUUAGAUGUUGCCAACGGAACAGUACCCUCUCAGAUCGGGAAUCUCUCUAAGCUUCGAUAUCUUGACUUGAGCUACAAUUAUUUACUUGGAGAAGGUAUGGCAAUUCCUUCUUUCCUUGGGACAAUGACUUCCUUGACUCACCUCAACCUCUCUCAUACUGGAUUCUAUGGGAAGAUUCCUCCUCAGAUUGGGAAUCUCUCCAAUUUGGUCUACCUUGACCUCGGAGGUUAUUCUGAUCUGUUUGCUGAAAAUGUAGAAUGGGUAUCAAGUAUGUGGAAGCUUGAAUAUCUUCAUUUGAGUAAUGCAAACCUAUCCAAAGCAUUUCAUUGGCUACACACUCUCCAAUCUCUUCCUUCUUUGACCCACCUAUAUUUGUCAGGAUGCACACUCCCUCACUAUAAUGAACCAUCCUUGCUCAACUUCUCAUCUCUGCAAACUCUCCAUCUUUCCCUUACUCGUUAUUCCCCUGCCAUUUCUUUUGUCCCCAAGUGGAUAUUCAAAUUGAAGAAACUUGUUCUCUUCAAUUUAGGGGUAAUGAAAUCCAAGGUCCGAUUCCUGUUGGUAUUCGAAAUCUCACACUUCUUCAAAAUCUUGACUUGUCUCAAAAUUCAUUCUCAUCUUCUAUACCUGAUUGCUUAUAUGGUCUUCAUCGUCUCAAGUAUCUGGACCUAAGGGGCAACAACUUGCAUGGGACUAUUUCUGAUGCCCUGGGAAAUUUGACUUCUCUUGUUGAACUUCAUUUGUUAUAUAAUCAACUUGAAGGAACCAUUCCAACUUCUUUGGGAAAUUUGACUUCUCUUGUUGAACUUGAUUUAUCAAAUAAUCAACUUGAAGGAACCAUUCCACCUUCUUUAGGAAAUUUGACUUCUCUGGUUAGACUUGAUUUGUCAUAUAGUCAACUUGAAGGAAACAUUCCAACUUCUUUGGGAAAUUUGACUUCUCUUGUUGAACUUGAUUUGUCAUAUAGUCAACUUGAAGGAAACAUUCCAACUUCUUUGGGUAAUGUCUGCAACUUAAGGGUGAUAGGUUUAUCAUAUCUCAAACUCAACCAACAGGUUAAUGAACUUUUAGAAAUUCUUGCUCCUUGUAUUUCCCAUGGACUCACAAGACUUGCAGUUCAGAGUUCACAACUUUCAGGCAAUCUGACAGAUCAUAUUGGGGCAUUUAAAAAUAUUGUGCUGCUAGAUUUUUCCAACAACUCAAUUGGUGGUGCUCUUCCUAGAUCAUUUGGAAAACUUUCAUCAUUAAGAUAUCUCAAUCUGUCUAUUAAUAAAUUCAGUGGAAAUCCAUUUGAAAGUCUUGGAUCACUCUCUAAAUUGUCAUCUCUUUAUAUUGAUGGCAAUCUUUUUCAUGGACUUGUCAAGGAAGAUGAUCUUGCAAAUCUUACAAGCUUGACGGAGUUUGGUGCAUCAGGGAACAAUUUCACUUUAAAAGUGGGUCCCAAUUGGCGUCCUAAUUUUCGGCUUUCCUAUUUGGAUGUGACAUCAUGGCAGUUAAGUCCCAACUUUCCAUCGUGGAUUCAGUCACAAAACAAACUUGAAUAUGUUGGACUAUCUAACACGGGGAUUUUCGAUUCUAUUCCCACACAGAUGUGGGAAACACUUCCUCAGGUUUUGUAUUUAAACCUCUCUCAUAAUCACAUCCAUGGUGAGAGUGGGACUACAUUAAAGAAUCCCAUAUCUAUCCCCGUUAUUGAUCUAAGCUCAAAUCACUUGUGUGGUAAAUUACCCUAUCUUUCAAGUGAUGUGUCUCAGUUAGAUCUUUCAAGCAAUUCAAUCUCUGAAUCCAUGAAUGACUUUUUAUGCAAUGAUCAGGACGAGCCAAUGCAAUUACAAUUUCUGAAUCUUGCAUCAAAUAAUUUGUCAGGAGAGAUACCUGAUUGCUGGAUGAAUUGGACAUUUCUUGUGAAUGUAAAUUUACAAAGCAACCAUUUUGUUGGGAACUUACCCCAAUCCAUGGGUUCCUUGGCAGAGCUGCAGUCUUUACAAAUUCGUAACAACACACUCUCAGGAAUAUUUCCAACCAGUUUGAAGAAGAAUAACCAAUUGAUAUCCUUGGACCUUCGGGAAAAUAAUCUUUCAGGAAGUAUUCCAACAUGGGUUGGAGAAAAGCUCUUAAAUGUGAAAAUCCUCCUCCUUCGAUCAAACAGUUUUACCGGCCACAUUCCAAAUGAAAUAUGUCAGAUGAGUCUUCUUCAGGUUUUAGACCUUGCCCAAAACAAUUUGUCUGGCAAUAUACCGAGCUGUUUCAGUAACUUGAGUGCCAUGACACUAAAGAACCAAAGUACAGAUCCUCAUAUCUAUUCUCAAGCACAAUUUUUUAUGCUUUACACUUCCGAGUAUAGCAUAGUUAGUGUGCUACUAUGACUGAAAGGAAGAGGAGAUGAGUAUAGAAACAUUCUGGGUUUGGUAACAAGCAUUGAUCUAUCAAGUAACAAUUUAUUAGGAGAAAUACCUAGAAAAAUCACAAAUCUAAAUGGAUUGAACUUUUUGAACUUGUCCCACAACCAAUUGAUUGGUCAUAUUCCACAAGGCAUUGGUAGUAUGGGAUCAUUACAAUCCAUUGAUUUUUCUAGGAAUCAACUUUCUGGUGAAAUCCCUCCAACCAUUUCAAAUUUGAGCUUUUUGAGCAUGCUAGACGUGGCUUAUAAUCAUUUGAAGGGAAAAAUUCCAACAGGAACUCAAUUGCAAACCUUUGAUGCCUCCAGCUUUAUUGGCAACAAUCUAUGUGGUCCACCACUGCCCAUAAACUGCAGCUCCAAUGGGAAAACUCAUAGUUAUGAAGGAAGUGAUGGGCAUGGAGUGAAUUGGUUUUUUGUUAGUGCGACAAUUGGAUUUAUUGUGGGAUUCUGGAUAGUGAUUGCUCCUUUACUGAUUUGUAGAUCAUGGAGGUAUGCCUAUUUUCAUUUCCUUGAUCAUGUGUGGUUCAAACUUCAAUCUUUUUACUCAUGUAGUAUCAGUGUUUAGUGUUGCUUAGAAUACACCGAUGUUGUAUCAUUGUAUUGGCAGGUUGAUCAAUUUAUGUCAACAAAUAAAUUUAAACAAACUAAUCCAUUAUAUUUCAAUUUUCAGUAAUGUGUUAUAUUUAAUGGAUAAGAGUUGUACCGUGGGAAUUGUUGUCAUUGCAUCUACAUACACAAGUGUAUCUAUUUUUUUUUAAGUUAUGUUUCUUUGAAAUUUAUUCAUAUGUUUGAAUCUCUCUUGAAAUGUUUGUAUCAUUGUAUUGCCAGGUUGUUCAAUUUGCAUUGUACUCAUUGCUAUUUUCUUUCUAUCUUUUUUUUUUCAAAUUUGAGAGUCUUAUUUAAAUUCUGUUUUGGGAUGUACAUAUUUGCAUAUUGAGCAUAUUUGUAGUUAAGAUCAAAUAGUUGUAAUUCGGUGUAUCAAAUGGGGAACUAGUGGUUCAAGAAAACGUGGUUUAAUAGGAAAAAACUUAUAUUUAAUUUUAGUCACUAACCAUUGAAGUGAAUAAUUAGUUCUUUCGUGUUAAUUAAAGUCGUGACUCGUGGCUGCAUACAAGACUUGACUCUCCAAGCCGGCCAGGCCAAGAACUUUGAUGAGAUAUCCAUAGAUAACCAAUGAUGCUUGAGAACCAACAAAAUUGUUGGAGUAAUAUUCUAAAUUACCCUAACUAUAAAAAGGGCAAAUAAUAGGUGUAACUUUUUAAGUAUUAUUCGUUUUGCUUUUUCAAUUUUUACUUUAUCUAAUAAUAAAAGUCAACUUUUAAAAUUAAUUAUCAAAUUUAAAUGUUAACUUUACUUAAAAAUUAACACAAAAAAUACUAAAGAAUUUAUCUUUAUAAAACAAUUUUUUUGAAGAGUCAAAAUGAAUUAAUAUUCAAGUGUUCCAGGAUCAGUAUUAAUUACAACCAAAACUAACGGAAUAUGAAACCUGAAACAGACAAGUGAUAACAAAAUCGCAGGAAGUAUCUUGGCUAAUUUUUUAUUUGAUAAAUAUAUAAAUUUUUGGAAUUCAUUUUUGUAAAUAUUUAAUAAAUUUUUUAUCUUUACAAAAUUAAAAUGUGUUAUUGGUCAGAAUGUAGAUUCAGAUAAAUUUAAAUUAUGAGUUUUUAUAUUGAUUAUACAUAUAUAUAAUCGAUAGUAAAUUAUAUUUACAUUAAUUAUACAUAUAAUCAAAAAUGUAAUAAAUAAUUUGAAAUGUUUAAAUCUUACUUCAACAAAAAAAAAAUAUUUUAAUUUUAUGAGAACGAAAAAUAUAUUAAAAUUUUAUCCAGAUAACUUUUCAAUAUUUUAAUAUUUAUAAAAUUAAAAAUAUAUGUUAACCUUAUAAAAAUAUCAACAAAUAAACAAAAUGUCUUUUGUUUGACAGUUUUAAGAAUUAAAUAAUUGAUAGUAAUCAUAAUUUUAAAAAAUUAAUUAACUUAUUAUACAAAAUGUUGAGCUAAAGAUCAAUUAAGGGUAUUUUUGAAUGAUCAUGGCCCAAGCAUUCUUUGACAAGGUCACUGCCCAUGAAAGCUACCGAUAUCGCAUCAACAUUUACUCACUUCUUCCAUUAAAAGGCACUGGAGGCUGAAAGUCGUAAUCUUCAUUUUUAUACUUUUUAGAUUAUACAAAGUUGGAAAAAUUAAAACAUUAUGUGGUGGGCGAAUUAGUGAACAAAAAUUAUAAGAUCUGCACAGGUUAUUCUAAUUUAAUUCUAAUUAAGAAAUUAAUUAUUUUUCAUUUUACUCCCUUUAUGACAAAUUUAAUUUUUACUUAUAAGCCGGUCUGUGAUAAACCUUGUACCAUAUUUUAAAGCAAACCAUAACACAUCAUAAAACUUAGUGAUAUAAUUUUAGAUGUCUUUGUGUGUGUGAGAUGUAUUGUUAAUAUUUAUAGCAUCCUUCCUCAUAAAAUUUAGCGUGAUGUAAUGUUAAUGUUUACGACCAAGCUAAAAGUACAAAAAAAUAAUUUUUAUCUAAAGGUUUUCUUGUAAUAAAUAUAAUGGGUGAAAUUAGCCAUAAUCAAAUUCUACUUUUUUUUAUUUCCUUUUUAUAUACAGUGCCAUAUAUAACAGGAAACUGAAUUUGUCCGUUUUCACACUAGACUAACAGCGCCAAGAAUGAGAAUGAACGUAAUUUUCUGCAACUUUGAUCUGUAGACUCUAGGUUAGUAUUAAAAACAUAAAACAAAAUAUUACUGUAAACAUAAAGAUGAAAAUUAUUGAGUCUAACCUUUUUUUUUAUGAAAAGAGGAGAGUAUAAGGGAGGAAAGGAAGAACCAAUAGAAAAAUCAAUUUUUGAUUCAAAAUGUUCUUGCCCCUGUAGCUCAAUGGUACGUAGAGACUUCAGUCUUGCAAACUGAAGGUCUGUAGUUGCACACUAUGGGGGCAUCCAAUAUUAUUAAUUUUUUUUCACUUGAUCAUGAAAAAUAAUGUUGUGUUAUGAUAUAAAAACAUCAUACGUAAUUUUCAGCAUGAGAUAGUUUCUGUAUGAGGACCCAGUAUAGGAGCAAUCUUUUUGUUUUCUUUCAAACAUAAAGUAUCGCAGGUAGUUUGGAGCAACAGGUUCUCCAUUGACUAGUAGUAGUAGCUAGUGACCAAACUUAAUUCCUCAUUAUCAUAGCCAUCAUACAAACCUAGCUCACACUGUUCACUUGCAUCGAUAUGAUCUUGUCUAACUAUCACACCAUAAAACACUAAGUGUAUUGAUCAAUUAAUGUAAUCUUAUUUUAGUUUAAUUGGAAGUUUUAAAUUUUAAUCUUAAAUAUAUAAUUACAUUAAAUAUUUAUAUAUAAAAAUGUAUCAUCUAUAAUAAUUCUAUUUCUAUUGAACAAGUAGAUUAUCUUUAAUAAAAAAUACCUUGUGAUUUAAAAAUAAAAAACUAUAACACAGCAUCAAUUUUUACAUUGCUAAUUAACUAAAAAUAAUUCUAAUUUUUAUCAUUGAAUGCAUGAAUUAUAUAUUUGACAUACGGUUCUAUCUUAAUUAAAUUGAUCAAAUAUUGUAACAAAAACAAAUUGAUCUAAUAUUGUAUGUAGUUACUUUUGUUUUCUAUUUAUUUUUAUCUUUUAUGAAUACGCAUCUAAAAAACAUUUUCAGAACUGAAUACACAAAAUGAUAUACGAUUAUAAAUUGUCUAAUAAAUUAUAAGUUUUGUCUUUCAUGUAUGCACAGGUGUGUUUCUUCCCAAAUUGUGUGCAGUAGCAGAAGGUGCAAAUGCUCGUCGACAAAUGGGUGAGAUCAAAAGCUCAGGUAUGGUGGCUGCAGGACCUGUGCACUCUCUUCAAUUUCUCCACAACCUUUUGAUGAUGUAGAGCUCUCAGAUGAACCUGCCAUUGCUCCAUUCCCUCAAUACUAAGUAGUUUCUCGGACUCUUCCCAUUGAAAACCAGUGUAGCCAGCUUUCAUUAUUGUUGGUUAAUAUUUAUAAAUUGUUCUUUAGUACUGAUUGGUCUGAAUAGUGUGAUAGAUUCCGACUCUUUAAAUGAAUGGUUAAGAAUUUGAAUUUUAUCAACUUUUAGUUCUUCAUCCUUCUACGAAAGUGAUUAUUAGUCUCUCAAUUAUCUUUUGGGCGGUGUUAAUCUAUAAUUCUGUUUGUCAUUGCUCAGUCACUUUCAUAAAUAAAAAAUCACUGUUAAAUAAUGAUGAUGUGAUAAUCAUAUGAUUUCUCACUUGGGUUAUGACGUAAAAAUCUUGUGACAAAACGUUGUUAAGGUAUUACAAAUAUUUUGUCAUCAGUGUAAAACUGCCAAAUAAUUAAAAUUUAAAAAAAAAAAAAGAAAAAGGAUAUAUAAUAAACAAAAUCAAUAAUUCACAAUACACAAAUUAACCUUUUAACAUGUGAUUAUUAUAUCAAAACCUUUUUUUUUGGUACCUUUCAAUUUGUCAUUCAAGUCUAGAAGGACCUACGUGUGGACAUCUAAAGGAGUCCAUUUAUGAGUGAAAAUUUUCAAAAUUUGUUUAUCGUAUCGUAGCAGGCUAAGUUGGAUUUUAUAUUGCUAUUCACAUUACCCAUGUGGGUAGAAAAUUAGAAAAUUCUAGAAGUAUUCUUUUUACAUAAAUAUGAUUUUGUUAUACAAAUAUACAAUAGAAUUAUAUUUUUAUUACAUUGUUUGGGACACAAUUCUAGAAGUAGUUUUUAUUGUUCAGUUUCAAAAUCAUUAAAAAUUAACCUCAGUUUAUGUUUGGAGUUUUUAGUUUCAGUUUAUUUUAAUUUUUAGAUAUUAAAAAAUUAUUUAAUAGAUAAAAUAAUUUAAAUAUUUAAUCUUAUCACAAUCCAAUAUAAAAUCAUGUAAUAUUAAAAAAAUAUUGAUACAAAAAUAAAUAAAAAAAUAAUUAAACAUAAUAAAAAUAAUUUAAAAAAUAUUAUAAAAAACAGUAAAGGUUAAAACAUAAACAAUAAUCAAUAAAUUAAACAAAAUUUUAUUGUUUGUUAUAUGUGAUAAAAACCAUAUCAGAAAGAUGUAAAAAAUCAACUUAGUGCAAUUUUUGUUGAACAUGUUUGUAUUUCAAAAUUAUAUUUUAAAAUGGAAAGUUGAAAAUUGACAAUCACCCCUAACGCGACCUUAAUUUUUAAAUAAGUAAAAAGUAUUGUAUGUUGAAAGAAGCAGUUGAUCAUAUGAUUGACGCCCAAGUAAAUUGAACAAAUUAAAGCUGCAGAAAUCAAUUUUCAAUGAUCUGUCAUUGCUUACUUAAGCUAUGGAUAAUUACUUGAUUUAUGUCUCAUUACACAAUUUUGGAAGAUCAGCUGGUAAAAAUGUAUAAUAAAAUUUAUUGUGGCUUAAAAUAAUGCGGUGUUUGAUUUUGUGAGGUCCUUAAGUGGCAAACAUAUGGUGUGAUCCACAAGUUCCGUAACAAUUCAAAAUAGAAGGUUGAAUUGCUCUAGGAAUCCUAUCAUCUUACAAGAUUUAACAUUUUCAAUCUGUGAUUCUUCUUUACAUGGGUGUCAAUCAUAGUAUAUGGUGGUUAACAAGUUGCAUUUAGCAAGAAUUUCUUGAGUUGCUUCUAAUCAAUUCUCAUGCCAUUUUAUUAAUGUCUUAUGGCUAACAGUUGGGGCAAAAAUUGAUAUUACCCCAUUGAGAAAUAUAUCUCUAGGAUGAUGACUGUCCACAAUUAUCCAAAACACUUCAGUGCAACAAAAACUCAAUAUCCAUCUGCUGGAAGGAACGAUCAGUUUCUAACUCGAGCAAUCAUGGUAUAUGGGAGUUCGCUGACUAUUUUCCACAAUGUCAGAAUCUCCUAUUUGACCCCAUGUUCAAACUCGAUUAAAACAAAUGCCCUUGGCAUCUUUGACCACAAAUGAAGAAUAGUUGCAGAAAUUUGGAAAUGAAAUCUUAAGGUUUGGGUUAAGGGUUUGUAAAAUAUAGGUAUUUAAUUUGCGAUACAAAUGUCAUAUUAUAUCGUAGGAGAGGCAAGACGAAGGCCACAUAAUCAAGAAAGUUAACUAUUUAAGCUAACAUAAAACUUGGUGAGAACCUAUGGAUUGCAAACAAGCAGGGAAGUAUCAAGUGAGUUUUUUUUUUUCACAUGAAUGAAAAAUAAAUAUUAACCAUUAGAUUUUAUCAUGAAUGAUCAAAUUAAAAUCUAGGACAAGUGUAAAAUUACUUACAUAAAUCAAUGGUAUCUAAUUUAAUUGGUUGAACAGGUGCAUAAAUUAUUGUAAAAUUCACUAGUAAUUAUCUUUGAUUUCUAUGGAUAAAAAACUUACAUAAACUUGUUUUUAUUAUCCAUUUAAUUUUAGUCUUCCAUUGAAUCAAUAUCAACCUGGAUAAAUUCAUAAAAAGGUAUAGAUUUUGUUAUUAUCAAGGGUAUAUGUAUUGGAAGGAAGGUGUAAAGUUUUUUGGCAGUAUAUGGGUAAUAUUUUCAUUUUUUUUCUAUGAUCAUGAUCAAAUAACAUUUUGACUUUUCUUUAUAUAGGUUUUCAGAAUAAGAGGGUUUAGUGGUAAUUAAUAUUGAAAUCAACAGAUUUUAUGACAGUCCAAUGAUGUUUUUUAAUAAGAAAUUUUUUUAGGUAAAUUGGAUCCGAGAUACCAACUAAGACUAGGGUAGACUUCUUGAGAGCAUUUACAAAAACUAAGAUAACCUCAAGACACAAAGAAUACUUGGAAUGAUAUUUAUAAAUUACCCAUCUCAAAUGAUAUUUGAAUUGGAGUUAUUACCCUUGAUAAAUUACAUAUCCUUAAAAAUCUUGUUUUUGUCGGUAAUAACUCCAGAGUGUUCUAUGUCAUGCGAUAGGGGCAACAAGUCUGUGGUAUUCAGAUCAGCUUCAGCCAUAUCAGUUGUAAUUCUUGAUAUCCUUCCUCAAGAAUCAGAGGCAUUGAAGUUGGCUUCGUCUCUUAAAUUAAUAUCAAGCAACAAAUUCUGAAGUUUUAGAUCAAGCUCUGCCACAGAUGAAUUAGUUUCCUUUUUCUUUGGUUUUCUUUUCUGAAUAUUUUGUUUCUUCCGUUGAGCUUUUCUUUCCUCGAACUCCAAAAUCUUCUCACGACAAGCACUGUAGAUGAUUAAUAAUGAGACAAUGAUGAAAGGCACCCUAAACAAAAAGUUAUCUUAUAUACCCACCAGCCUUCUUGAAUUUGAAUUGUUCUAAAAGAUACUUGGUAUAGAUGCAGCAAUAAACCAAACAGCAUACUAACUCAAGUUGCAAGCAAAAAAUAAGCAAAAUAUACAUUUGAUAAGAAUCAGAUAAAACAUUUCCUUUCUGUGUUUUAGGGAGUAAAGUAUGUUCAUGAAUUAUGAACUUACAUUACCUUUCUAUAAGAUCUGCAGGUACUAUUGAAGUUUCAAGUCCAUCCAUUCCUUCCCAAGAAACCUCGUAGCAUUCUCUCCCUUGAACUCUUCGGCUCUUAAUGAUUUCUGACACAGGACACUUCACAGGGAUCUGUGAUCGGAUAUAAUAUAAAUAAGAUUCUUGUAUAUAUCCAGGUUCAAAAAUAGGGAGCCUGUAGAUAAAAUUUAUGUUCACUAAUAAUAGUAAUGGCAUUAUAGAAACUCGAUGAAUGGAAGAUUUCCCUGUUUAUUGAUGAUACACUGAAUGCAGUAGAAGCUACUGUAAAUCAAUGAUCAUCGAAGAAUUGAACCAAUGUUAUACAAUACCAAAAUAGAAAAUGUGUAGCAUACUUACAUUACUUAAUAAUCCAAUGGACAGCUUUGAUAGAUAAUGAACAUGUGAAAGAGAACAUAAGUUAUCAAAAUGCCACGCGAUUCUAAGCAUGAGCAGUCACUCUUUUAUUUAGUUUAAAAUAAUUUUUAAAUAUUAAAACUUUUCACAUGAGCUCAGACAGUAAUGAAAUGUUAAUUAGGGAGUGGAAAGGGUUAGCAGUACCUCAUGUAAAGGAAGGUUCAGUCCAACUUCAGAUGAAGUUAAACGCAAAUUGGCAAAUCGUCGUAAAUUUCUUUAUGAGUAUAUUGAAUAUAUUUCAAUCAGUAUUAAGAAUCAAUCUUUAUGAGUGGAAACCAUGAAUAAAAAAGACAAACCUACUUGUGCACAAUAUCUGAAUCUGCUUGGUGACAUUUUGUGUUCAUAUAAGCAUUAAUUACUUGUAAAAUGUUAUCAUCCGGCCGUAAAUCAUUCUUACCUCCUGCAUAGACAAAAGAUAGAAGCUAAGAUACAAUGUUCAAGAGACACCAACAAUCCUCCAUUUGACAAAAAUAAUUAUUAACUGCAAGUCAACAUUUGUGUACAAGUUGAUGCAGACAAUGCAUUCUAGAAGACAUAAAAAAAGCACAAAGAUAUUAGGUAUAUAAUUCCAUCCUUUGGUUUAGAAUUAGAUAUUAUAUUGGGUCCACUGUAACAUCUCUCAUUGCUUAACAAUUUACAUUUACAUGGACAGUAAUCAGUUAGUGUUAAUUUAACUUUUUUCUAAUAUACUAAUUUAGCUGAUAUUAUAUUUUCAGAUAGUGCAUAUAAUUGGUUCAUGACAUGGUAUCAAAACAUGCAUGAUUAAUAGCAUGUUUGAAUCUAACUCCAUGAUCCACAUUGUCCAAGAAAUUUGAGUCAAAAUUUUAAAAAUGACACAAAAGCAAGUAUUUUUUGCUUCAAUAUUAAUUUGACGUGCAUUCACAACAAUGAACACCAAACCAAACGGGCACUAAGUGGUCUAGAGUUUGAUCAUUGUUACCCCCAUUUUUCUAAUAAAAAGUAGAAUUUCAAAACAAGGUAGGUGAGCAUUUACAUUAUUUAUGCUUCAAUCCAAAAGGUUUUGGUGUUUUACUAGUGGAAAGGGACAUGUAAGAGACUCAAUAAUUCACACCUUAAAGUUUGCAUUUAUUAUGUACAAAUACAGUUAAUAUCCUAUAAAUCAAAUCCUGAUACGUUUGUUGACAAAAUUCUUUUAAAAACAUUAAAACCUCUCUUCUAUGUCAAAUAUUAAGUGUAUUAUUACAUAAUUUGGACAGCUAAUAUGUCCCUAAUUCUCUGAAAAGUUUACUUGUAUAGUAACACUAGAGCAGUGCCAUAAACUGUUUUCUAGUUUGAGAAGGAAACCUGUCAGAAAAAAUAAUCAACUGCAACUUUCAAUUCAAGUAAUGUGAAUUGAAUACUCCGAAGACGGUAAUAUCCCCACACUUACAAGUUACAAUGACAAAUGUUGAACAUUUUUCAUGUGACAUACAGACAUUUACCCCCUUAACUAAAAAAAAAGACGAUAAAAAAUAUCAAAUUAAAUUGUAGUGAAAAAUGAAACUAUUAAUUUUAAUUAAAGAAAAUACUACUUAUUUAUUCCUUCCAAUAAUCAAAUAUUUUCUCAUUACCAACUUGUCUCAUUCAUCUCUUAUCUACUACUAAUUGUUACUUGUAGUUAAGUGUGUUAGAUUCAUGGGUUAACAAUGAGUCAUGUAUGUAAUUAAUAAUCAUUAAUGUCAUAUUUUUUUAUCAUUUGAAGUGGAGUAUUCAUUUUUUCUCUUAAUAUUACUUUAUCCUUCACAAAAUUCAAAUAAGAUAUUUUAUUUGAGAGGAUGAAUUCAGAACCACUCAAACUAAUGAGUUAAGGACUUAUUGGUUAUUAACAUCGAAUUAAAACUAGUUUUAUGUAUUUUGUUUUUAUAAAUUAAAGACUAAUACUUGGUUAUUGUCAUUAUUCAAAAAAGAAAAAAGGUUAAAAAGAAAAGAAAAGUGAGUGAGAAAGACACACUCGAGUCGAGCGGGAGUCAAAGCUGGAAGUGGCAAAUGGUAAAGAGUUGGGAACGAGAAAUCCAAAAUUUUGCAAUAUAUGUCGGGGACAAAUCUGUCAUUUGACUCUCCACAUGUGUUCCUUCCAAUUUUCAAUACAGUUAACACCAGAAUUAUCUUUCUCUACUGAACCUAACAUUCAGCACACUUCAACAAAAAUCCAUGACCAACACUUGCCACAACAAUUUAGAACAAAUUCAACACAUACUCUUUGUGCUUCAGCUGGAAGUCAUGAUCAAUUUCUACCAGAAUAUCCAACUCAAACCAAUACCCCACAAACCUACACCACCACCCAAGUUGAGGAGCCACACUAAGAACCAUCAAACGAGAGCAGUUACACAGAUAAAAUCUCCUCAGCAACCACAGCAAUAGCUGACAAAGCCAUCACUGCCAAAAAUGUUGUAGCUUCAAAGCUCGGAUACAGUGAUGACACCACCGAAACAACUCAAACAAAGCAUCAAGAAGAGAACACAAGCAAUGAAAACCGUUAACAAUCUCAUCAGCAACCUCAGCCAAAAGCACUGUCACUUCGAAGCUUGUAUAUGACGCUGACACCGAAACAACUCAAUCAAGGGAUCACCAAGAGAACACAGGCAGUGCAAAACCAUCAACAAUCUCUUCAGCAACCUCUGCAAUAGCUGAUAAAGCCAUAUCAGCCAAAAACACCGUCUCUUCCAAGCUCGGAUACGGUGUCAACAACACCGAAACAACUCAAGCAAGCCAUCAAGAGAACACAACCAUCAACAAUCUCUUUAGCAACAGCUUGCAAUAGCUGAUAAAGCCGUGUCAGCAAAAAACACCGUAGCUUCCAAGCUCGGAUAUGGCAACAACACUGAAACAAAAACAACUCAAACCACUCAAUCAGCAACCUCUGCAAUAGCUGAUAAAGCUUUCUCAGCCAAAAACACCGUAGCUUCGAAGCUUGGUUUUGGCGCACAGCACCAACAACACCACAAGAGAAGAGAACUGACCAUGCUGCUGCUCCUACAGAAUAUGGAAAAAGUGUUGCUCAGUCUCUGACAGAGAAACUAGCUCCAGUUUCUGGAAAAGUUGCUGGUGUAGGAAGUGGUGUGAAGUCCAAAGUUUCUGGAACUCAAACUAGUAGUGUGGGUGUGGAACAGGACAAGGGGGUUUCUGUGAAGGACUAUUUGGUGGACAAACUGAGGCCUGGUGAUGAAGACAGGGCUCUCUCUGAAGUGAUAUCAGAGACUCUGCACAAGAAGGAACUGCCCCCAGUGGAAGUUACUGAAGAAGGUGUGAGAAAGGUGGUUUCUGAUGCUGUGCAUAAGAGAGAGGAUGAUCCUGAGAGAAGAAUGGAACAUCAAAGAAUACUGGGAAAGGUAACUGAGUCAGAGGAAGUGAAGGGAAGGUUAGGAGGUGAAAGUGUGGUGACAGAGAAAAAGUACCAAGAGAUGUAUGUGAAUAGUCCGGGGAAAGGUGUGGUUGAUAAGCUUAAAGGUAUGGUUGGGACAUGGUUUACCAACCCAGCAGAGAAUCAAUCUUCACAAGGUAAAUAACAAUGAAUAGUAGCUCUAGUUGUCUCUAUGAGGUUUCUCUAGUUUGAUCAAUGCUUUUUGCAAAUUUUACUUAUUUCUAAAUUAGUUGAUUAUAUUGUUUUACCAUACUUCUCUGACUAAUUCUUUUGUUACUCUUCACAUUCUUCUUGUUUUGCAGUUAGACAAACAUAUUUUCUAUCGAUAUUAAAAUUUAUUUUCUCUCUGUUUGUCUAUUAUAUUUGUCUUGUGACAGUUUUUCGAUUUUCUUAUCUUGGAAGAAGUGUUUUGAGAAACAAACGAAAUUAUGAUUAUGUAUGUUUCUGUUAGUCUUAAGACUUGAUUCCAAGAUGAAUCGCAGUUAUUUGUUUACUUGUUUUGGUCAUGCUUACAUAUUUUUCUAUAUGUUUUUUUUUUUUUUCAUUUUGUAAGAACUGUUUAAAAAAAAGUGGAGUAUUUUUUAUCCUAGUGGUUUUAGACUUCAGUCCAAGAUGAGUUACAAUUUUUUUUUUUUUUACUUUAUUUUGGGUAUGCUAUUUUUUACUUAGGCAAAGUGCCACAUUAAUUUUGAAUUUGUGGUUUGCAUGGGUCGAAGAUUCAUCUAUGAAUUAUGAGGCAGGAAGGGCAGAAGUGGAACAAGUUAACCAAGGUGCAGCAGGUGAAAGAAGGCAGCAGGAGUCAUAUAAUUGAAGAAGUGCUUUGAAGGAGUCUUUGCUUUGGGUGAUUGUGUAGAUUUUCUUAAAAGCUGUUUCAAUAUCUGUGUGUCUAGUUCUUUGUUGGAAGAAAGUUAGGAUGUUCAAGUCACAGUUUAUUUGUGUUUUUUUUAAUGUUUAUGUAAAUAUCCAAUUUUAUUCGGGUUUAUUUUUAUGUUUUAUAUAAAAAUAUUUAAAAUAUUUUUGAGAAAAAGAAAAGAGAAAAAUUAUAGAAGAUUUGACAGUUACAAGAAGACUUGGCAUCAGAAAACUGGAGUAAUGGUGAUUCAAUUGAGAAAAAAAAUAUUACUAAAAGAUAAGAUCAUUUAAAAUAUUUUUGAGAAAAAGAAAAAAAGAAAAAUUAUAGAAGAUUCUUAUAAAUAAAAAUAAUUAAAAUAUUUUGGAGAGAGAAAAAAGAAAAACCAUAGAAGAUCUGAAAGUUACAAAAUUGAUCAUCAGAAAACUGGAGUAAUGGUGAUUCAAUUGAGCAAAAAAAAAAAUAUUAGUAAAAGAUAACGUCAUUGAAGUUGUAAGUCUAAAGACAAGGAGAUCGUGGUAUAAUGGAAUCCUAAGUUGUUGUUGGAUUUUAAAAGAAGAGACGCACUAGCAUACAAGGAGGGGGACGGAGAAAAAAAGGAGAAUUCUGUGAAGGAAAACCCAUAGAAAGAUUGUUUUUUCGCAAUUUUUUCAAUGGAUGAUUAUGAUGCUAUAAGUUCAGGUCGUUGUUCUUUUUGCGCUCUAUAAGAUCAGGUUUGUUUGUUUGUUUUUUUUCUUUUCUCUUGUUCAUUUGUUGUUAUGUUUGGCUUUUUUUAUUUAAUUUUUGGUUUCAUGAAUUCGUGUAUGUAUGCUAUCCAAAUGUUUGUUUUUUGAAUAAAAUAAGUAUAUACAUUUCGACCGCAUGUUUACCUUCAUAUUGUGGGUUAAAAAGCAUAUUUUUUACCUGCUUAUUGUUCCUGAUAAAUUUCCGUAUAUAAAACAGUAAGAUCAAGUGUCGAGUUUACAAGGACUUUAACUGUACCCUGAGUUUGUAUAUGUUCAAUUUUAAGUAAUCAAUAAAUUAAAAUUGAUAUUUGUCAAAUAAUGAUACGGAAUAUAAAAUUUGACAUAAAUGAAGAUAAUUAAGCAUAAUACAUUAAAGAGAUAGAAUACAAACACUCAGGAGUGGGUUGUCAAUUGAAGUAGGAUUACAGAAUAUGUUGAGACUCAACCUAUCAAAACUACUCUUGAUGCAACAUUAAGGGUUUUUUACUACGUUAUUUUGAUUAUUACCUUCAUCCACUAACAUACCCUAAUCAUGAUUUCUCAUGUGAAAGAGUUUAAAUUACCUAAUUUCACUCCUAAUCCCUUAAGAGCUAUAUCAAAUAAUUUUCUUUAAGAAUAAAGAUGUAUAAUAAAUAAGGCAAAAUAAUAUCAUUCUAUUCCUAGACACUAAUUACCUAGAUGUUCAUAGGAAAUAAACAUUUUCCAAUGCAUAAACCCUAUAACACUACAUGAGAAUAGGUAAUAAAGCUAUAAACAUGAUAUUAAGCACAGAAAAGACAAUAAUAUUAAAUAACAUUAAAUAAAUAGUUAGAAUCAUUACAUCAAGAGUGUUUGAUAGUUGAACUCCCAACAAUGGAUGAUUUAGCCUCUCAUUGUCAUGAGAGGGUUACUAAUACAAAAAGAAAGCAAGAGGUGUGAAAGAAAAUGGAGGAAAGGGUCCCAAGUGAAUGGAUUUUCUCUCUUCUCUCGUGUCUUAGCUUCUCAAUUUUCGUCCCCCUAAAGAAUUGCUUAAUUUUUCCUUUUUUUUUUCCUUUAAAAUGAAGCACAAUCAUGUUUUGUGAUAUUGAUCGUGUGCUAAGCCAGCAUGUGCUCGCACGAAGUGCACAUGCAAAGUCCAUCUGACAUAAGUGAAUGUGCGUUAAGCCGCAAGGUGCAGGCUAAACCGCAGAUGUGUACUAAGCCGUAGAUGCGCACUAAGUCAUCGUAUGCGCGCUAAGCUUGACCUCCAAGUUGGCUCCUCGCGUUGAGCGGUUGUUGACGCGCUGGGUGAGCUGCUCCAGUUCUUCAACCAUAUUACAAACCUCCUACUAUGUAAUUCUAUAAAAAAAAAUACACUAAAAAAUACUAUAAAUUUGAUAGCUUUAGCAUUUAUUGGACAAAAACUCAAAAGAAGUUAAAUUUCUAAUGUUCUAACACAAAAUAAGCAAUAAAAGAGAGGAAAAUUGGAUAAUUGCUAUGUGAUUUAAACAUAUUUAAAUUACAUAAGCAUAUCAAUUAACAGAUUAUACGUGGGAAAAAGUUUUUUUAAAAUAAAAACAAUGUUGUAUUGCCCAUUUCUUCUCUCUCUUAUCUAUCUCUUCAUCACCCUUCAUCUUCCUCAUAUCCCACUACUGUGCCACUGAUGGUGUUUCAUUUUUCCCCCGGUGGUUGGACUAAAUGAAAACAAAAUAGAUGAAAGAAUAGAUAUGAACCAACAAAAUCUUAAUAUCAAAACAUUAAACCACAAAAUCGAGAAAAGAACAACUGUUUGGUUGGCUUCACUAGGUUUAAUGGCUGGAUUCACAUUUGGAUUUCAUGUGGGAUUUCACAAUGAGGUUUGUCGUGAGUUGGGGCUCAUUGGGUUUUGCAGCGGUGGUGGCAGUGGAGAUCACAGUCGUUGGGUUUUAUGACCGGUUGCGAUUGAGAUCAUAGUUGGGUUCCUACCAAUAUUUCUACACUAUGAAUAAAGAUAAAGAAAUUUCUACACUAUGAAUAUUUGAAAUUAAUUAAGAUUAGCUAAAUUCAUCUAAAUAACAAUAUGCAUAAAGAUAAAGAAAAUUAAGGAAGGAAAUAAAAGAAAAAAUUAAGGGAAAAUUUUUUGUUUGAGAAUUUUAACAAACACUUGUGUAUGCAAAGUAAAUUGAGAUUAAAUCAAUGAAAAAAUUGUUCGGGUUUAAUUUUAUUGGAGUUCCUAUCACGUAAUCGCUACACAUUUAUAUUUAAUAAAGAUUAUAUUAUCAUAAACCUACCAUAUUGUCUUAACUUUAAUUUCUUAAGUGAAGAGAGCUAAAUCUCUUGAUUAAACUAUCAAUCCUUUGGAUUAACAUAAUCAAACAAUUUGCAUUAAGACAAAGUGUUUAUUGAUGCUCAACUAUCCCUAGACAUAAAAAUUAUUGGGUGUUCUAUCCAAUUCGCAACUUAAUGGAAUUUUUCUAUUACAAUUGAAUGAAAAAUCAUGCAAACAGGUGCAAUCCAAAAACACAUAUUAGGCAUAAAAGAGAAACAAUUACAAUGUUUUAUUGAAUAAAAAAAAGUAGCUAUUACAUGGAAGAAGAAACAAUUACAUUAAACUCUAAGAGAAGAUUAGUUCAUGACAAUAAAAAAACAUGAGAUAUACAUCACAUAAAUGUCCUAAAAUGACACAAAAAUUAAAGAAUACAUGAUAAUUAUCGGUCAUCCAAAAUUAACUUAGGAUAAGAAAAAGUAACAUAUUAAAAUUUUAUAGGAACGAAAAUGAUAUAUUUUAGUCUAUUUUUUUUUAAUGCUUGAAAUAACUCUCAACAUUUGUUGUCAGUCAUAAAAAACUUUGACAUGGAUUUGAUGGAGUGGCCUAUGGUUCCUGUUGAAAAAGUGGGGCCUUGAUAUGGAUUUGGUGGAGUUGUCUAUGGUUUGUUAGAAGAUAUUUUUUUCUUUUAUUUUAUUUUGAAUAAUAAAAAUUUGUUAAUUUAAAAUUAAUUAUAAUUUCAAAUUGCAUGUAAUAGAAGCCUUGAAUUUAAUAAUGCAAGACUUUUUGUUGUUUACUUAACACACGUGUAAUGAAAGGAUUGAUUUAAUUAAUGGUUAAAUUUGAAGACUCAUUAUUAAACCAAAUUUUAUUACCUUUAUUGUAAACUAUUAAUGUUUUUUUUAUAAAAAUAUUAAUAUUUACUUAAAAUAAAAUUUUCAUUAAUUUAAGCAAUUCUAUAAGUUAAACUAAGAAAAUAAAAUGUUUCUUAUUUUAGUAUUUGGCACAAGAAUAAAUUACAUUUCUUUGUAGAUUAUUUAAGUUAUCGUAUGAAUUAUUUUUUACGAAUAUUAUAUUGAAGUGAGUAUUUUUAUGAUUGCUUAAAUUUGGCACUUAAAAUUAUUUAAAAAGUAAAAUGGAAAUUAAAAUUAUGCUGCUCCUAUUAUUUAAGCUGACAACUUGUAAAGAAAAUAAAAAAUAUGAUACUAAUUUUUAUGAUAAAAAAAAUAAUAAUAUUCAAUAAAUUAUAUAUUUAUUUUUCUCUUCUAUCACUAUUCUUAAAAUAUCACCACAUAAGUAAAUGAAAUUCAGGAAAAGAUUUUAAUAUAUGAAGACUUGUGGUCUAAAAAUUAAAUAGCCAGGACCAUAGAUAAAUAAUUUCAAAAACAUGCCACACUUCUAGUAGAUCAUAUCCUCUAAUUUACAUUUUAAGUUAAAUGUGAUCUACAAUACGUGAAGAAAUUUGGACCAAGACUUAUAAAAGGAAAAACUAUGAUUCAAUAAUUAUGAUAGACCAAGUUAAACAAGCAUUUUACACUUUUUUUUAUCUCACUAAUUAAUUUUUAAUGAAAAAGAAAAUACUAUGCAGGUUAAAAUACAAUUAGAAAUAGACGACAUAACAAUCUUUUCAAUUAAUGACAAUGAAAAUUAGUCUUUUUUCACAUAUAAGAAGAAUGUUAUUUUGUGAAUUAAAAAAUGGAUCAAAAUUAAAUAGCUAGAUAGGAACGAAAUAGUCUUUUUUUAUAUAGAUUUUUUAACUGAAAUAAUUUUUAAAUUAGAUCCUUUUUUCUAUAAUUGAUGUAUUCAUCAUUUAUAAUUUUUUCCUUGCUUACUUAAUUCUAAACAUUUGUAGUCAAUGAUAAGGAACUUGAUAUGAAGGUAAUGUGGUGACCUAUGGUUCAAGUUGAAGAAGUGGGGGGACAAUGACAUGAACUUGAUGGAGUGGCCUAUGGACUAUGGAUGAAGUUGAAGAAGUCAGAGACCUUAAUAUGGGUGGACUUUGUGGAGUGUCCUAAGGUUGAAGAUGAAAAAAUGGAGGACCUUGACAUGGAUUUGAUGGAGUAGUCUAUGGUUCAAGUUGGAAAAGUGGGGACCUUGAUAUGGAUUUGGUGGAGUGGCCAGUGGUUUCUCUAGGAGAAAAUCUUGUUUUCAUUUCUUUUAUUUUGAAUAAUAAAAAUUUGAUAGUUUAAAAUUAAUUAUGGGUUCAAAUUUCAAGUAAUAGAAUAUUUGAAUUUUAUAAUGCCAGACUUUUUGUUAUAUACUUAACACAGGUGUAACAAAAGAACUGAUUUAAAAUAAUAGUUAAAAUUUGAAGACGAAUUAAACUAAAUUUAAUUACCUUUGAUGUAAAUUACUCAAAGAUUAAAAAAAUUAUUAAUAUUUUCUUAAGAUAAAUUUUUCAUUGAUUUAAGUAAUUAUAUACGGUAAAUUAAAAUAAAAAUUGUUUCUUAUUUUAGUAUUUGGCACAAGAAUAAAUUAUAUUUCUCUAUAGAUUGUUUAAGUUAUUGUAUGAAUUUGUUUUUUUUUUAGAAUAUUAAAUUGAACGUGAGUAUUUUUAUGAUAUUUUAAAUUUGACACUUGCAAUUAUUUAAAAAGUGAAAUGGAAAUUAAAAUUAUGUUUCUCCUCUUAUUUAAGUUGAUAUCUUGUAAAAAAUACAAAAUACAAUACCGAUUUUUUUAGAAAAAAAGUUAAUAUUCUUUUUCACACUUCUUUUUAUAUAACUAAGUAAUUUUUAUAUGAUAAAGAAAAUAAUAUUCAAAUUUAAAUACAAUUAGAAAUACAUGAUACAACAACCUUUCCAAUUGAUGACAAUUAAAUUUAGUCUUUUUUUAUAUAUAAGAGAAUAUUGUUUUGUGAAUUGAAAAGUUGAUCAAAAUUAAAUAGCUAGAUUGGAACGAGAUAAUCUUUUUUUUAUAUAGAUUUUUUUAAACUGAAUUGGUCUUUAAAGUACACCCUUUUUCUAUAAUUGAUUUAUUAACCAAUUAUAUUUUUUUUUCCUUGCUUGACUUAACUCGCAAUAAUUGUUGUCAAUGACCGAACUUGAUAUGAAGGUAAUGGAGUGACUAUGUUUAAAGUUGAAGAAGUCAGACCAUAACAUGGCUGGACUUUGUGGAGUGUCCAAAGGUUCAAGAUCAACAAAUGGAAAACCUUGAGAUGGACUUGAUGGUGUGAGCUUUGGUUUAGAAGACAAAUUUUCUUUUACAUUAUUUUUAGUUUGAAUAUUGAAAAUUUGAUAAUUUAAUAUUAAUUAUGGGUUGGAAUAUCAUGAAAUAGAAGACUUGAUUUUUUUUUAAAUGUUGGACUUUUACUGUUUUUGUAACAAAAGUUUAACGAAAGGAUUGAUUAAAUAAUAGUUAAAAUUCAAAGUUUAAUGAUACCAAAUUUUCAUUUAAGCAGUUCUAUAGGGUAAAUUAAAAUAAAGUGAUUCUUAUUUAUUUUUGUAAAAAAAAAAAAGCUGUACCAAAAAGAAUGUUAUUUAUUUUAGUAUUGAGCACAAGAAUAAAUCAUAUUUCUUUGUUAUUAAUUUUUUUUAUGAAUUUAGUGUCCAUAGGAAUUUUAAAAAAAGAGAUAGAUACAGUAAAUGCAUAAAUUUUUCGUAUUCUAAGAAUUAAUUCGGGAGAAUUGGAUAAUUAAGUCGAUAAUUUAAAAAAGCCAGCGUAAAAAAAGAAGUGAAUUAAAAUGUUAAAAAAAUAUUUUAGUAUUAGUCACAAUAAUAAAAAAAACGUAAAAAAAUAAUGAAAGUGAAAAAAAGGCUUAAAAUAUAAUUGUCGUCUUUUUUUAAUAUGUUAUUUUAGUUUUUUAUUUUUUAAUUGAAAUAUUUUAUCUCUUAUUUUUAAAAAAUCUUGUAAUUUUAGUCUUUUUAUUUUUUAAUUGAGAAAUUUUUAAAAAAUAUGUCAUUUUAUUCCAUUUGAUCAAAUUCUUGUUUUUAAUUAGAAUAUUUUGUCCUUUAAAAGUUAUUUUGAAGAAACCAAGAAAUACAAUAAAUUUUAUUGAUUUUAAUAAAAUAAUUAUUUCCUAUUCUAAGAAUUAAGUCGGAGAAUUGGAUAAUAAAGUCAAUAAUUAAAAAAAGAAACGUCAAAAAAAAAAAAAAAGAAAGACACUUUCAUCAGUAUAAAGGAAACCGUUCUAAGAAGUGAAUUAAAAUAUUAAAAAAGUAUUUUAGUAUUUGGCACAAUAAUAAAAAAGGUAAAAAAUAAUGAAAGUGAAGAAAAAAAACAGGCAGGGCAGCAGUAUAAAUAAUAGAAGUUUGAUGAUUUAUAUGCAGAACCAACAACUACACUUGUUUUCUAUAUAUUCUUGUGUGAUCAUGAAUUCCUCCAUUUAUAUUCUUGUCUUUGUCCAGCUUUGGUUGUUGAGCUUACCAUGCAGAGAGAGUGUGUGCAUCCCAAGUGAGCGUGAGACACUUUUGAAGUUUAAGAAUAAUCUCAUAGAUCCUUCCAAUAGGCUUUGGUCUUGGAAUCAUAAUCAUACCAACUGUUGCCACUGGUAUGGAGUCCUCUGCCACAACGUCACUUCCCAUCUUCUUCAGCUUCACCUCCACACCUCAGAUUCUGCUUUCGAGUAUGAAUACUAUCAUGGAUUCUACCGUAGAUUCGAUUUGGAAGCUUAUCGGAGAUGGAUCUUUGGUGGAGAGAUAAGUCCUUGUUUGGCUGAUUUAAAGCAUUUGAAUUACUUGGACUUGAGCGGCAAUGAAUUCCUUGGAAAAGGUAUGGCAAUUCCUUCUUUCCUUGGGACAAUGACUUCCUUGACUCACCUCAAC
rnacentral:lncRNA from 1 species